UCAGAAGAACUAAGGAAGAAAAAAAAAUGGAUUCUCAUUUUAGAUGAUUUGUGGAAUAAUUUUGAGCUUGAGGAAGUGGGAAUUCCUGAGAAGUUAAAAGGAUGCAAGCUGAUUAUGACAACUCGAUCAAAAAUAGUUUGUGAUCGGAUGGCUUGCCACCCCAAAAUCAAAGUGAAGCCACUUUCCGAGGAAGAAGCUUGGACUUUGUUCAUGGAGAAACUUAGAAAUGACAUAGCACUUUCACGAGAAGUGGAAGGAAUUGCGAAAGCUGUUGCAAGGGAAUGUGCUGGUUUGCCAUUGGGAAUUAUUGCAGUGGCAGGAAGCUUGAGGGGAGUGGAUGAUCUACAUGAUUGGAGGAAUACAUUGAAUAAAUUAAGAGAAUCAGAAUUUAGGGACAUGGAUGAGAAGGUAUUCAAGUUAUUGAAGUUUAGUUAUGAUCGGUUAGGUGAUUUAGCACUAAAGCAAUGUCUCUUGUACUGUGCAUUAUUUCCUGAAGAUGAUAGGAUUAAGAGGAAGAGGUUGAUAGGUUAUUUGAUCGAUGAGGGAAUAAUUAAAGGAAAGAGGAGUAGGGGAGAUGCAUUUGAUGAGGGCCACACGAUGCUUAAUAGACUUGAAAAUGUCUGUCUAUUGGAAAGUGCUAAUUGUAAUAAUGGUAGACGUGUCAAGAUGCAUGACUUGAUUAGGGACAUGGCCAUCCAAAUACUGCUAGAGAACUCUCAAGGCAUGGUCAAAGCAGGUGCACAAUUAAAAGAGUUGCCAGAUGCAGAGGAAUGGAUGAAGAAUCUGACGAGAGUUUCAUUAAUGCAAAACAAGAUCGAAGAAAUUCCUUCCAGCCAUUCACCAAUGUGUCCAAAUCUGUCCACUCUAUUUCUAUGUGAUAAUAGAGGGUUGAGAUUUGUUGCGGAUUCAUUUUUCAAGCAAUUACAUGGGCUCAAGGUCCUCGAUCUGUCUUGCACAGGUAUUGAAAAUUUGCCAGACUCUGUCUCUGAUUUGGUGAGUCUCACUGCGUUAUUGCUCAAAAAGUGUGAGAACUUACGUCAUGUUCCAUCAUUAAAGAAGCUCAUGGCACUGAAGAGGUUGGAUCUCUCUCGUACUGCGCUUAAAAAGAUGCCGCAAGGAAUGGAAUGCCUAAACAACCUGAGGUAUCUUAGAAUGAAUGGAUGUGGUGAAAAGGAGUUUCCUAGUGGGAUAUUACCAAAACUCUCUCAGCUGCAAGUUUUUGUACUAGAAGAGCUUAAGGGGAUCAGUUAUGCUCCGAUAACAGUUAAAGGAAAGGAAGUAGGAUCCUUGAGAAAUUUGGAUACUUUGGAAUGCCAUUUUAAAGGUUUCUCUGACUUUGUGGAGUAUCUCAGAUCUCAGGAUGGGAUCCAAUCAUUAAGUGGAUACAGAAUUUCAGUAGGAAUGGUGGGUACAUAUUUUUGGAAAUACAUGGAUAAUUUGCCAUGUAAAAGAGUUCGGUUGUGUAAUUUGAGUAUCAACAGAGAUAGAGAUUUUCAGGUCAUGUCCUUAAAUGACAUUCAAGGACUGGUUUGUGAAUGCAUCGAUGCAAGAAGUUUAUGUGAUGUUUUGUCAUUAGAGAAUGCAACUGAACUGAAGCACAUCAGCAUUUGGGAUUGCAAUAGCAUGGAGAGCUCGGUUUCAUCUUCUUGGUUCUGCUGUGCUCCACCACCAUUGCCAUCAUGUAUGUUUUCUGGGCUUAAAGAGUUUUAUUGUGUUAGAUGUAAAAGUAUGAAGAAGCUGUUCCCACUUGUGUUGUUGUCAAACCUCGUAAACCUGGAAGUGAUUGACGUUAGAGAUUGUGAGAAAAUGGAGGAGAUAAUAGGAACAACAGAUGAAGAAAGCAGCACCUCCAUUUCCAUCACGAAAUUAAUACUCCCAAAGUUAAGAACUCUGAGACUGAGAUAUUUACCAGAACUGAAAAGCAUUUGCAGUGCAAAACUGAUUUGCAAUUCUCUUGAAGAUAUUACUGUAGAGGAUUGUGAUAAGCUGAAGAGGAUGCCAAUUUGUCUUCCAUUGCUUGAAAAUGGCCAGCCAUCUCCUCCCCCUUCUCUUAGAAGAAUGAAUAUAAAAUCAAAAGAAUGGUGGGAGACAGUAGUGGAGUGGGAGCAUCCUAACGCAAAGGAUGUCCUUCGUCCCUUUGUAAAGUUUGGGUUAGUUUGAGGAGCCAUCUCAUCCUUUCGUUAAUCCUUUCGUUGUAAGAAUACUAAUUGAUUGUAACCUUAAAUUUGCUCGUAUUCAAUAAUAUUCAAUUCUUUCAAUCAUUUUUGAUAUGAUUGAUGAAAAUAGUCCUUUAAAUCAACAAGGAUAUUCUUAUUAGUUAAUAUUGAAAUAAUCCUUCGUCCCUUUGUAAUUUAAAAUUUGAUUAAUAUUAUAUUUUCAUCCUAUUGAGGUUCUCCAAGAUGAAAAUCCAAAAAAUAAAAAAAUACUACAUUGAUUUAUCAUUAAAGUAACCUAAUAAAAUAAUAGAUGUUUUGAAAGAGGGGGUAUAGCGUUUAUUGUACUCCAAACUCAUUGACUGAUGUACCUCUUAAAUAAAAGCACACCAUAUACUGUCAAUAAAAAUAGUGAAUUAUUCUAUAUUAAAAUAUAUUAUUUUAAUGUAUUUUUAAAUAAAAAAAUAUUAAAAAUAACAACAAUUACAUUCAAUCUAAUUACACAAAUCUGACUUAAUACAUAUUAAAGUUUGUGAAGAUUGAAUACCUAGUCUUUAUUUUUUAGUUAUUCUAUAUAAAAUAUAUUAUUUUAAUAUAUUUUUAAAUAAAAACUACUUUAAAAAUUUUAAAAAUAACAACAAUCACAUUCACUUCCGCACUGUCAAAAUCAUUCUAAAAGUAGUAAUGUUCUUUAAAAAAUCAUUGUUUAUGGAUUCAGUAAUGUUUUUUCUAUUAAAUGGAUUAAUUGUUUGAUUAUAUUUAGAUCAUUUAUUUAUCUGUAUUAAUUUAAUUUUUUUACUAUAAUAUUGAUUUAAUAAAAAGAACUCCUACAACAUGCACUUAGCUGCCAAAAAAAUCCUAAAAUUGACUCAAUUGGAAAGGAUCAUGGUACUUACUAUCAAGAUUGUUAUGCCCGCAAUCAAAACAUAAUUUGUUUUUGUACUUAGAAUUAUGUUUGAGUGCAUUUAAAAAUUUGUUUAUUUAAAAAAAUAUAUUAAAUUAAUAUUUUUAAUAUUUUUUGAUAUAUUAAUAUUAAAAUAAAAAAAUAUUUUAAAGAGAAAAAAAAAUAUUUGACAAAGAAUAAAUAGGAAGCUUACGAAUAGUUAAGAGUCGUAUUGCAAAGUAUAGUUUACCGGUUGACUCACAGAUUAACUGAUUAACCCCAUCAUAUUAUUUAUUUAUAAAAACUAAAAUAAUAAUGUUUUUUUUUAAUAUUAUCUUUUUAAAUAUUUUUAUUUUAAAAAAGUUUCACGUUGUAGAUAAAAAAAUGUUUUAAUUUAGCAACGAUAGAGCAUCCACAAGGAAGAUGUUUUGCCUCUUUUUUUUUAAUUUGUUUUUGUUUAUUUGAUUAUAGGCUGGUUUAGAAUUCAGCUAACAUCUAAUAAAAUAUUUUUAUUCUUAGAAAUUUUGUGAAAAACAAUCAGAAAACUAAUUUAAUUAGGGAUUAUUAAUUGAGUAAUUAAUUACCUUAACCUUACAGAGGAUUUUCUUUUCUUUUAUUUUAUUUUUAGAAACAGCUAAUUUAAUCAAACCCCAAUAGCCUGAUUCUUGGAUCACAGAAGCUUGAGACAUGGCACGUGCUACAAGGAAAAAAGCAUGAUUGUGUUGAAAACCUUUAAGAUUGGACUGUCGCAUUCUAACAAUAAUGUUUGUACCAUUUAAUAAUAAUUGGACCCAACUUCACUUCAACUUUAUUUUAUAUUUAUAAUAAAUAAAAAGCAUGAUUGUGUUGAAAAUCUAUUUUCUGUUUUUAUUUUUCAAUUUUGAGAUGACUCCUCAGGAAACAAUUCCAACCAAUUAUUUGCCCUGGAAUUUGGAUGAUGUGUAAUUCCAAGCGGGCACGCUGCAUUUCUUAGCCAGGUGGAGCAAGAAUUGAGGUAGCUUGUUUCUGGCUUUUGCUUCUCUGGGUAUGAUUUAUUGGGCUACUUUAUAGGAUUUUUUAUAAAGCAUUUUGUUUUUAAUUUCAUUUGAUAAUUUAUUUCAAUAAGCUUGUUAUGGAGCUCUUGUGGUCUAAGAAGAAAAAACAAUUCAAUGUAGAGGUGAUUUUGUUCAAUUUAAUUGAUUAAAAAUAAGUGAAAUUUUGAAGGUCAAAUUUGAUAUUAAAAUUAUAUUCAAGACUGAAUGUGAUAUUAAAACUAAAAAUAAGUAAAAAGUUUUUACACUGGUAAAUGUUAUGAAAAGAAAUUGCUAUCCAGCUGGUGUACAGAUUGGAUAGCAAAUCAAGCGUUGAAGUUUUCUACUGCAGUGAAGCUCCCUCUCGUUUUGAUAAGUGUUCGAAAAUAUUUUAUUAUUUGUUUGUUUUUAUGGUUUAAAAAUAUGUUAAAAAAAUUAAUUUUUUAUUUUAAAUUUAAUUAAUUUUUUUGUGUUUUGAAAUUGUUUGGAUGUAUUGAUAUUACAAAUAAUUUUUUAAAAAAUAAUAAUUAAAUAUUAUUUUGAUAUAUUGUUAAACAAAAAAUAUUUUUAAAAAUAAUUGAUACUGCACUCUCAAACACCCCUCAAUGCUAUAUUAUUGAAAUAAAAUGCUAAAAUGUGAAUAGAAAUAAUAGAAAUUAAUGUGUAUUUUUUAAUUGAAUUUCUAUUUACUUUAUAUACUCUUAAACAGGUCUUUAUGUUUGACUUCAGAGUUUAUAGAAAAGCAAGUCAAGACCAAUCAAAUUCGAAGGAGUUAACCUAAUUUAACUGAUUAAAUUUUAAGUUUAUUCUUUAAAAGUUAUUAAUUUAAGUUUAUUUAUCCGUUAAAUUCACUUGGAACCAGCCUGGAUACACUAAAAGUAGUAAUGUUUUUUUUCUCUUGAAAACAGCCUGGAUGCACUUAAGUAUUUUAAUCACAACUUUCCCCUCACAUAUCAGCUUGCUGUGAUUCAUGACGCGUUGGAAAGGUAUCUUAAAGGGCUACAAAUUAGCCUCUAAUGAGGAUUUCGAAAAAAGAACUCCUAAAGCAUUUACGUGGCUGCCUAAGAAGUCCUAUAAUUUAGGUUUCUGAUGAAAACGUGCGGGAUCAUGGAGACGUGAUGAAAAAGGAGGGCUGCCUCUUUUAGAAAAAGGGGUAUUUGUUGGCAAUUGCGCCAGAGAAAAAAAGAAGAAGGAGAACAGGCAAGGAAAGGAAUGGCUAAUACAGUGAAGUAGUAAUAUUUUUUUUUGAUAUAUUGAUAUUAAAAAUAAAAAAAAUAUUUUGAUUACUAAUAACGAAUAGUUAAGAGACGUACUGGUGGACUUAACCUGAGUAAAAAACAAAACCACAUCAUAUUAUUUAUUUAUAAAAACUAAAACGAUGGUAUUUAUUAAAAAAAAAACUAAAAUAACAAUGUUUUUUUAAAUAGUAUUUUUUUAAAUAUUUUUAUUUUAAAAAAGUUUCACAUAGUUGUAGAUAAAAAAAAAAAAGAUGUUUUAAUUUAGCAACAAUAGUUAAGAGACGUAUUGGUGGACUCACAUAUUAACUGAUUAACCUGAAUAAAAAACAAAACCACAUCAUAUAUAUAUAUAUUGGGUUGGUGUUUAAUUUUAUAAUUAUCUAUUUUUAUUAUUAUAUUAUUAAAUAAAAACAAUUUUAAAAAAAAUUAUAAUCCUAGUUGAGUCCAUAACCUGGUUCAUGAGUUUGAUGUGCUAGACCAAGUGACCUGAUUCACAAAUUUGACAGGUUUACUACUGAUCGAAUAUGUUUUUUUUUUUGUUUAUGGUCUUUUAAUUUUUUUAAUUGAUUUUUUUUAUUUUGUCCUUCAAUAUUAUAUUGGUUUCGAAAUAGACUGCAUGAUUUAUUUUUGUUUGUUUUCUAUAGGAUUAUCAUAAUUUUAAAUAAAUAUUUAUCUUAGGGAUAAUACUCAAUUUUAUGAGCAUAUUUUUUUUUCAUAUAAUUAAAUAAAAAAAGCUUAUAAAAAAUUACUAAACCCAAUAAAAUCCAUGACCCGGGUCGCAAGGUACCGAGAUCGAUCAAAUCUGUUAUUAUUUCAAUAUUUUUUUUAAAAAGGUUGUUGUCUAGAGUUUUUUUCUUAAAGCUAAGCCAUGUUUUACUGAUCUUCUAAGUUAUAUUUGGAUAUUGAUCAAUUUAAAUUGAGUUAAUUUCCAUAUAAUUUAAUUAAAAACUUAAAUUAAAUAAAUUAUUAGGUUAAAUUUUUUUAAUAUUAACUACCUAACCAGGUUUAAUAAUAUCGCCAACAAACUUUCUUCACUCUUAAUAUCUUAUAAUAUAAUGUUUGGUAUGUAAAGUAGUGGGUUGCUUCCUAGCAACUUCCCUCCUAUCAAACAAAACAAUAAUUUGUGUAUACUGCAACUUUAUUAUUUUUCUAAAUCAUAUAAUCUUCUCUGAUCUGUGAUUUCUCUUCUGUUUUAAUCCUCAGGACGUACUAAUCAUCUUCUACCUCUUUUCCUUUCCACACCUCACCAGUGCGAACUAGAUUUAUGUGAUUUCUCUUCUCUUUUUUUUGGCUGAUUACUUCUCAAGCGAACCAGCACUUGAAUCCAGGUAAAUUAUUUGUACUUCAUCUUGUUGGUGUUUUUGUUUUUAUAUAUUUAACUAUGGUUUGAAUCUUUAAAGUAAUCCAUGCCUAGUGGAGAGUUCAUAUAUACUAAUUAAUACUGAAUUCAUUGCUUUCAUCUUUUCAAAAUUCUUUGCUGUUUUUAACUCAUUAUUUUAGAUUCACCCUUUUCUUUUCCAAUUAAUGGGACUGCCAUUGAUUUUUAUUCAAUAUUUUUCAACUUGAACAUUAGUAUUAUUUUCAACUAAUUAAUACUGAAUCACCACUGAUGACUCGAGGAUUCCACCUCUGGACCAUUAGCAUAAACUAGCAAUUAAUUAGAUUAACAUAAUUAAUUAUCUUGGAUUCUACUUCAUUAAUUGGGUACGUAGACGCUGCGAUCUGGCCCCCUGGAAACUUGAGGGGCACUUAUUGACAGUGGCUAACAUUAAUGUGACCCCUUCAUGAAUAUAUAUGAUUUCUUCUGGAUUCUUGUGAAGAAUACUGUUUGGUGUAGAUCUUUAGCCCCUGUGAACUUUCAGGAAAUGCUGCCGUGUAACUGUUAGCUUUUUUUUUUUUUUAGUUUAACAUGGGUGUCCGGGCCAGCUUGCACGUACCUCGACUAAUCCCAUUGGCCCUGAAGUUAACGAUCAUGUAAGCCUCCAAUGGUCAUCAUAUACACAUGACUCGAACCUGAAAUUACAAAAAAAACAAAUUUCUUGUUCCCAAGCUCUUACCAGUAUAACUAUUAGCUUUCAUUUAACCGAUCUGCUUAGUGACCUCACAAAUAUGGGAACUGGGAUCCAUAUUUAAUUAUGACAAAAAAAAAAAAAAAACCAACCCUUUUCAUGUUGUCAUCAACUUUAAAUGAACUGAUAGUGCUUCAAUUAUUCCUCUGGAGUAGACACCCAUGUUACUUUUAUGUAUUAAAUUAGUAUGGUUUGCUAAGAAUACCUUCUUGAAAAAAGGAACCAUAAGUAAUGGGAUUAACCUACCCAAGGUUAGGGUUAAGUUCAAAAUGGCCUUGGAGUCAUAAACUUAAAUAAAAUAAAAAACAUAUUAUAAGAUAUUACGAAUCCUUUUCAGAGGCUUGUACUUGAUGCUGCAGAAUAUAAGUUAUAGUAAAAAAUGGAAAUGGGACUUUGCGUGAUAAAUUAUAUGUUAGAAUAAUGUCACACAAGGGCAGGGGAAUCUUAACAAGCUAGCAAGGAUAUAUACAUAUAUAUAUAGUACACCACCAUAACAUCCAACAUACCUCACUAAUUAUUAAUUAAUUCUCGAACUUUGAGAACUUAAAGAAUAAAAAAUAUUCGCAAUCAGUUAAUUACCCCUCUCUUCACUGUAUUAAAGACCUCCAAAACAAUCAGCUCUUCUACCUUCAACAGUUAUCCUGCAUCUUUCUAUCUAUCAUAAAAAUAAUUUGAGUAUGAUAAUUUAUCUUAAAAGACAAAGGAUUAAAUCAUUAACAACAACAUUUAUAUUUCAUAUUUUUCAUCCGAAUUUCUUUAACAAACAAGAAAGUCAUAUAUAUAUAUAUAUUCUUUUCUGAUCUGUGCUUUCUGUUCUUUUAAGACCUCAGUUUUUUUUGUCUUUUCUGAUCUUUUCUGGUCAGAUGGAAGAGUUCCAACCAUCUUUUAUGGAGGAGGUUGACAACAUGACAUGGGAUCAGCUGGGUUUUCAAUCAGAAGAAGAUACAUUCAAUAUGUCUGAGCUUCUCUCGUACGUCAUUCUUAAGCAUAUUUUAUCAGAAGAUGAUUGCUUGCAGUUUAGUUAUUCUUCAGUUUAUCCUAUUAUUCCCAAAAAACAAUAUAAUGUCGUCACUGUCCAUGGAAGCAGGCCGCCACCGGAGGUUCCAGUCAACCAAAGCUCCAUAUCAUGCAAUGAUCAAGGUGGACAGAACAAUGUGAUCAACAAUAGUAUUCAACAAACAACUCCGUUUCCAACUUCAUUUCCUGAAACAAUGGUGAGUACUCCAAGCUUACUCCAAUUUGCUACAAUGUCCAUUGAAUUAGCAAGUGUUUGUAUUAUACAAAAAGUUUUAUGUUAAACAAACAGACAACAAUUGAGAGAUUUAGACAUUUUUUAUGAUAUUUUUUAUCAUUAAGUUUUAUAUAAAAUUGGCCUCAAACUCCAUCAAGGCAUCAUAAUUCCUUUAUUCAUCAACCUCAGCCGGGACAUGGCUAUAUGACACCGAACGCAACCACUUCACAACAUGGUGGCUUCAAUCAACCUGGACCUUCUUUUCCUCCUCCCCGGUAUCCAAUUUUUCAUGUUUAGUAUUUUCUGUAAAAAAAAAAUAGUUUUUCAAUCAUUAUUUAACUUCUUCUUCCUCCUCCUCUUGUUGUUGUACUUAUCAGUGAAUUCAUUAACAAAUGUUGCUAAUUUAGGGACCAACAAUGGACUCAUUAUCUGUUACCAAUGAGCAAUCAAGUGCCUGCGAUGCUACCUGGACCUCAACCUCCAAUGAAUCAAUGGUAUUAACCUCGAAUUUACGCUUUUUUAAUCAUGAAAACAAUAAACUUGACCAAAAUUGACGAGGAUCUUUCAAGUCUUUUUGAGCUCUCUAUCUCUCUUUUUUUGUGCACAUAAUGGAACUAGAAAAUCAACCAAGUGAGCAUAACAGUUCUAAGUUUAACUAUUUGAAUAUUCUUCAGGCAUCAGAACUCCUUUAUUCAUCAACCUCAGCCGGGACAUGGCUAUAUGACACCGAACGCAACCACAUCACAACAUGGUGGCUUCAUUCAACCUGGACCUUCUUUUCCUGCUCCCCGGUAUCCAAUUUUUCAUGUUUAGUAUUUUCUAUAAAAAAAAAUUAGUUUUUCAAUCAGGAAAGAAACAUCAUAGCUUGAACAUGAACCCAACAAGCUAAACAUAUUGUUUGCAAAUGAUUUUGGAUUCAGGAGUCAAUAUUUUUCUAAUCAAGGACAAGUCGAUCAAGCUGCUGUAAUUCCUAACAUGGACAAUGUGCAACAAGAGAACUUCGUGCCUAGGUACUGAGUGACUUCUAGCUGUUGUGUUUUAACACCAUUAACUUUUACUGCUUAAGAGAGACUACCAAUUAUGGAAAGGUUUUAUAAUAUGAUCACUUCAUUUAUAUAUAGGUCAUAGAUAACCUCCAAGUCCGAGGAUUGCGAAAUCAAACUGCUAGGCCAAAUGCCUCAAAUCCUGGCCUUGGAUUGCAAGAUCAAACUGCUAGGCCAAAUGCCUCAAAUCCUGGCCCUGACACCUCCCUGCAAAGUCAAAUUAGGGGUUUAAAUACUCAACAAGUAAGAAGUCUAACUGAAUUAUCGUAGUCUUUUUCCCCUCUAUGAUUGUGCAAUAAAAUACCUAUCAAUUUUAAUAGCAAAAUAAGGGUAACAACACUGAAGUAGUUUCUUAUCCAUCCGGAUAUGGUGUAACUUGAUUCGUUAAUUUUUAUUCCAUAUUUUGACUGAUUUUUAUUCUAUACUUUGACUUCUUUUUUCUCUGUAGGUCGAAAUGGUUGGAUCAAAUGAUCCGUUUUGGAAUUAUAUUGAAAAAAAGUCUGAUGGUAGCAUGGAGUGUAAGUUUUGUCAACAUACAUGGGCCAAUAAAACUUCCAUUUCAAGGUUCAAAUGGCAUUUAUCAGGAGAGGAACGACAUGGUGUUGCCAUUUGUCGUGAGGUGACUAAAGAAGUUCAAGAAGCAGCCUUUCUAGCUAUGUGUUGUGGCAACAAAAGACAUAAAAUCACAGCAAGUUCAAUCAAUGUUAAUGAUUGUGGAAUUUCAACAAUGGUAGGAGGUAUUGGAAGGGUACAAAGAGAAGUUCAGGUUGUAGAACCCGGGGUAGGGGAAGAGAGGAUUUCUUCUCAUGCAAUAGCAGGAAACGACGUAGUAAGCAUGACCGGAAUGUGAGCACAAGAAGAUAGAGUUUUCGAAGGGACACUCGAGAGCAGACUGAGGACAGAACCAGUGGAUCGAGCGUUGGAACAAAGCAAUGCAGUGCUGGAAGGAUACAAGUGGGAGUUCAGGGCAUGGAACAAGGUCCCGGAGAAGAGAGAAUUCAGUCGCAUUUACAAGCGGAAAAUGGCAUGGAAAACACUGGUGAAGGAUCUUUUCGGCAUGAUGCAUUUGCGACUAUACCAGGAACAGAGCAAGUGCAGCUUCUGGAGCCUCGAGGAGAUUCAUCCCAAUUUUGUCUUGACACUGGAAGAUGUUAUGAUCAACCUUGUGCUCCAUCAGUAAACGAUGAUGUAACUAGGCAUGAUGCACUGGACAUGGUUAGAGUGAGGACAGAACCAGUGGAGGAGGAGGAUGCGGAGAAUAAUGGAAGAUCAGUAGUCCAGGCUGGCGCAGGAGCUAGAUCUUCUGAAAGUCUGAAAUACAACAAGACUAGAGGAGUUCCAUUACCUACUAGCUCUAUAAAGCCAGUGGGCCAAGCAUUUAAAGAAAAUACGAAGGUGCUAUGGUCUUUGAUAAUGGACGGUAAAGUCCCAAUCAUUGGCAUUUAUGGGAUGGGGGGAGUUGGUAAAACAACAAUACUGCAACAUAUCCAUAAUGAACUUCUACAAAAACCAGAUAUUUGUGAUAAUGUUUGGUGGGUGACUGUGUCUCAAGAUUUCAGCAUUAAUAGAUUGCAAAAUCUUAUUGCCAAACGUCUUGAUCUAAACCUUUCAAGCGAAGAUGAUGAUCUACUUGGAGCUGCCGAACUGUCAGAAGAACUAAGGAAGAAACAAAAAUGGAUUCUCAUUCUAGAUGAUUUGUGGAACAAUUUUGAGCUACACAAAGUGGACAUUCCUGAGAAGUUGGAAGGAUGCAAGCUGAUUAUGACAACUCGAUCAGAAACGGUUUGUCAUCGGAUGGUUUGCCAGCACAAAAUCAAAGUGAAGCCACUUUCUAAUGGAGAAGCAUGGACUUUGUUCAUGAAGAAGCUUCGACGUGAUGUAGCACUUUCACCAGAAGUGGAAGGAAUUGCGAAAGUUGUUGCAAGGGAAUGUGCUGGUUUGCCAUUGAGAAUUAUUACAGUGAUAGGAAGCUUGAGGGGAGUGGAUGACCUACAUGAAUGGAGAAAUACAUUGAACAAAUUGAGAGAAUCAGAAUUUAGGGACAAGGAAGUAUUCAAGUUAUUGAGGUUUAGUUAUGAUCGGUUAGGUGAUUUAGCACUACAACAAUGUCUCUUGUAUUGUGCAUUAUUUCCUGAAGAUCAUAGGAUUCAGAGGGAGAGGUUGAUAGGUUAUUUGAUCGAUGAAGGGAUAAUUAAAGUAAAGAGGAGCAGGGGAGAUGCAUUUGACGAGGGUCACACGAUGCUUAAUAGACUUGAAAAUGUCUGCCUAUUGAAAAAUGCUAAAAUGAUGCAUGUUGCUUGUAGAUUUGUCAAGAUGCAUGACUUGAUUAGGGACAUGGCCAUCCAUAUACUGCUAGAGAGCCCUCAAUACAUGGUUAAAGCAGGUGCGCAAUUAAAAGAGUUGCCAGAUGCAGAGGAGUGGACGAAGAAUCUGACGAUAGUUUCACUAAUGCAAAAUAGAUUUAAAGAAAUUCCUUCCAGCCAUUCACCUAGGUGUCCCUAUCUAUCAACUCUAUUGCUAUAUCAAAAUCAUGGGUUGGGAUUUAUUGCGGAUUCAUUUUUCAAGCAAUUGCAUGGGCUCAAGGUCCUCGAUCUGUCUUGCACAGGUAUUGAAAAUUUGCCGGAUUCUGUGUCUGAUUUAGUGAGUCUCACUGCAUUAUUGCUCAAUGAUUGUAAGAAAUUAAGACAUGUUCCAUCAUUAAAGAAGCUCAGGGCACUGAAGAGGUUGGAUCUCUUUCAAACUUUUCUUGAUUGGAUGCCGCAUGGAAUGGAAUGCCUAACCAACCUGAGGUAUCUUAGAAUGAAUGGAUGUGGUGAAAAGGAGUUUUCUAGUGGGAUAUUACCAAAACUCUCUCACCUGCAAGUCUUUGGACUAGAGGAAACGUUAAUUGAUCGAAGAUAUGCUCCGAUAACAGUUAAAGGAAAGGAAGUAGGAUCCUUGAGAAAUUUGGAAACUUUGGAAUGCCAUUUCGAAGGUUUCUUUGACUUCAUGGAGUAUCUCAGAUCUCGGGAUGGGAUCCAAUCAUUAAGCACAUAUAAAAUUUUAGUAGGAAUGGUGGAUUAUUGGGCAGACAUUGAUGAUUUUCCAAGUAAAACAGUUAGGUUGGGUAAUUUGAGUAUCAACAAAGAUGGAGAUUUUCAGGUCAAGUUCUUAAAUGACAUUCAAGGACUGGAUUGUGAACGCAUCGAUGCAAGAAGUUUAUGUGAUGUUUUGUCAUUAGAGAAUGCAACUGAACUGGAGGAAAUCAUCAUUGAGGAUUGCAAUAGCAUGGAGAGCUUGGUUUCAUCUUCUUGGUUCAGCUCUGCUCCACCACCAUUGCCAUCAUAUAAGGGUAUGUUUUCUGGUCUUAAAGUGUUUUAUUUUAGUAGAUGUAACAGUAUGAAGAAGCUGUUCCCACUUGUGUUGCUGCCAAAGCUCGUAAACCUGGAAAGCAUUGGAGUUAGUGAGUGUGAGAAAAUGGAGGAGAUAAUAGGAACAACAGAUGAAGAAGAUGAAGAAAGUAGCACCUCCAAUCCCAUCACGGAAUUAACACUCCCAAAGUUAAGAACUCUGGAAGUGCGUGCUUUACCAGAACUGAAAAGCAUUUGCAGUGCAAAAUUGAUUUGCAUUUCUCUUGAACAUAUUAGUGUAACGCGUUGUGAGAAGCUGAAGAGGAUGCCAAUUUGUCUUCCGUUGCUUGAACAUAUUGUUAAUCCUUCCGUUGUAAGAAUACUAAUUGAUUGUAAGCUUAAAUUUGCUCAUAUUCAAUAAUAUAUCAUUCUUUCAAUCAUUUUUGUUAAAAAUCAUGUGCAAAACAUAAUUAUUUUCGAUAUGAAUGAUGAAAAUAAUCCUUUAAAUCAACAAGGAUAUUCUUAUUAAUUUAUAUUGAAAUAGUCAUUCGUCCCUUUGUACCAUUUUUUUUAACUCGAUAGACAAAUAAUUAUAAUUUGAAGUUUGAUUAAUAUUAUAUUUUUAUCCUAUUGAGUUUCUCCAAGAUGAAAAUCCAAAAAAAAAAAAAAUACUAUAUUGAUUUAUCAUUAAAGUAACCUAAUAAAAUAAUAGAUCUAUUCACUAGUAUAAAUCAUCUAAAAUCAUUAACUAGCAAUAAAUUAUUUUUUCAAUAUAUAAUACAGAUUAAAAAGAAUAAAGAGAGAGAGAGAAGACACUUUUAUAAGGAUAUAUUUAGAAUAAAAUUUCAUACCUCUAUCUAUUCUAUUUUCCUCGUACAAAAAUUCAUUCUAUUUUUCUAUAUUUCUCAGGAUUUUUUAAUCUAUAUUUUUAAGUUUUUUCUGUUUUUAUAAACAACAUAUAUAAACAAAAACUAGAAGGAUUGGUUAAUCAAUUCCUCAAGAUUUUUUAAUUUGUAUUUUAAAGUUUUUUCUGUCUUUAUGAACAACAUAAAAAAUAAACUAAAAGAAUUGGUUAAUCCAAAGACGGGUGUUUCUAAAGGUUGUGUUUUUUUUCAUUUGAUGUUAAUAUCAUAGAAAUUGUGAAGGGUGCAAAAGCUAAAUUGUGAAGGGUGCAAAAACUGCAUAUUGCAUCUGGUUGUGAAGGGUGCAAAAACUGCAUAUUGGCGGCAACAAGUGCCUGGUGGUUUUGUCUGAGUAAAAGGGAUAGAUGCUAAGUUAAGAGUUCAAGGAAGAGAGACAAAAGGUGGAAGGGACAAUUGUGUCGAUUGUUGGUUACAUUAUUGUUAAUAAAAAUGUAAGAAUUUAGGAGCAUGAGAGAACAUUUUCACAAUGAAGAUUAAUUCAUCUCCACAGCAGAAUACAGGAAAAAAAAAAUUAAAUCAAUAAAAGUAAGGUAUUUCAUCUCUUCGAACAUUCUUGAAUUCUGGUCAAUUCAAAUCACAACAAACAUCGUAAACAAUGUCAAAAGUAUUCUUCUACCUCAGUGAAUUUCAGUACAACUACUGCACACAAGAUGCUUAAUUCAUCAAAUGCUAAUUCCUGUCUAUCAACUCGGUUUGGGAAAAUAACUGAAAAACUCUGUUAAAUGAGUUCCUGUGGUUUUGAUGAGUCUAUGAAAGUGCAUUCUAUCAUUGGAAUAAAAUGCUAAAAUGUGAAUAAAAAUAAUAGAAAUUAAACAGACAAGUCAAGGCCCAGGAGUCGUGAAAUUCACUUUGAACCAGCCUCCACACACUUGAGUAUCUUAAUCAUAACUUUCCACUCACAUAUCGGAUUGCUGUGAUUCUUGACGCGUUGGAAAGGUAUCUUGAAGGGCUACAAAUUAGCCUCUAAUGAGGAUUUCAAAAAAGGAACUCCUAAAGCAUGUACGUGGCUGCCAAAAAAGUCCUAAAAUCUAGGCAAUUUGUUUCUGACACAACGGGGAUCAUGGAGACGUGAUUUUAGGGAUUUAUGUAGUUUAUGGAUUCACUCAUGUUUCUUCCAUUAAAUGGAUUAAAUCUUUGAUUAUAUUUGGAUCAUUUAUUUAUCUGUAUUGAUUUGAUUUCUUUACUAUAAUAUUGCUCUUAGUAUAUUGUGGUAAUUAAUUUAAUAUAAAAAAUCUAAAUUAGUAGUCUUUGAGGUUACUUAAAUUAAAUAUUGGUGCCUAGCUUUUAUUUAUUUAUUCAUUUAUUUCUAAAUACUGACCUUAAAAAAUUAUUGAAUUUGUAAUUCAACCAAAUAAAAUAUUACCAAUCUAGUUCAUAUCUAGCCAGAUUAAUAAAAAAGGAUAAAAUGAUAUUUACUGUACAAAGUGAUUGUUGGCAAUCAAUUCCUGGAUCAAGAAGAUAAGGUCCAGCCAUGGAGUAUAUACUUGGAUUGAAAAAUAAAAACUAAUAAUCUACAGAAUGGGUUCAUGUUAACUGAGGAUGAGGUCUGAUGCACCUAGCUACCGACUUUAAUAUUUUCAUUUAAGGAAUUGCAGCGUUGUGUCCCGAGGGAGGCCAACAGGCAAAUACUAAUAUCAUUUUUUUAUUUUUUAUUUUUUAUUGUAAAUUUAUUUUUGAAAAAAAAUUAAAUUUUUUAUUUUAAAUUAUUUUUUUAAAUAUUUUCAAAUUAUUUUAAUAUACUGAUAUUGAAAAUAAAUUUUAAAAAAACAAAAAUAUUAUUUUUAAUAUAUUUUUAAAUAAAAAAUAUUUUAAUAAUCAACCGUGAUCUUAAUUUCAAACUGUCAGUGCCCUAUACCAAACUAUAUUAUCAACAAGAUUUUCCUCAGAUGAAUUAAAGCAUUCUGCAUUUGACACAACUUGAAAACAUGUUUCUUCUUAAAUUAUUAUACCUGUGUUUUUUAAAAUCUAAAUAUUUGAGAAUGUGGCCGCUGAAAGCUUACCUGAUCGUUAAAUUCAGGACCCAUAAAAAUUAAUCGAGAUGCACGUACGUAAGCUGGCCCGGACACCUCACGUGAAUAAAAAAAACAAUGCAUCAAUUAAUUAUUAUUUGAGCUGAUUAUUUUAUUUUUAAUUUUAUUUUUAUAGGGAUUUAAGGCUGAUAAUUUGUUUUAAUUAACUUAUUGUGAAGUUCUCAAGGUUAAAAAAAAAAUAUUUGAUUUGAUAAAAUUUUGUUCAGUCUAAUUCAUUAAAAAUAAUUGAAACUUUGAACAUCAAAUAUGAUACUGAAAUCAAAAGGUAGCCUGGUGUGUUUUUCAAAAUUCUGUUUCUAGAGUUUUUGCAUUUUUUAUUUUUAAUUUUGAUUUAAAAUUUUAUUUUAUUCACUUUUUAGUUUAUAAAUUUGAGAUUAAAAAAAAUCACUAAAAACUCGGAAAAAAAUAGAAAAUUAUUGGCCGACAAUUUUGGCAACAAGAAAACACGAUCAUCUUUGUAUUAAUGAAAAACUAGUGUGUAGAUUGGAUAGCAAAUCAUACUUUAUAGGUCGAGGGCUAAAAAUAUAAAUUUGUAAAAGGGUGUUCGAAAAAAAAUAAUUUCCAUGGGUAUGGAAAAGUUCAAUAAGUCCUGGUUGAAGAGGCUUAUAUACGAAACGCCUCAAAAUAAUCCCUGGAGCAGGAGAUUCAAUUAACCGAGAUUCAGGAGAUGAAAUUGCACCUCAACCGUCAAUGGGUUUAGCCAGGGCAUUUAUAACACGACCCAAAUACGCCUCACUCACUGGUAUCUGAGCAAUUUUUCCUGUUGCUUUUACAAAACUUCUCUCUUGUAUCAUCAAGCCGUCACCCAUUAAUACAACACCAACAUUAUUUGAUUCCAAAUUAAGAGCAAUGCCUAUCGUACCCUCUUCAAAUUCUACCAAAUCACCUGCCACAAUGCCGUCACCCACAUGAAGUACAGUCCCAGUAUUUACAAUCUUUACUUCCCUAUUAUAUUGCUCAAUGCUUUCACGGAUAAUACUACUAAUCUCGUCGGCUCGAAUGAUUACCAUGAGUAUUUCUUAUUUUUUUUUUUUGGAAAAAAAAAUAAUGCCUACAGUAGAAGGUCUGAUUGGUGGAAUAACUAUCAUAGAAUAAGAUAAUAUUUGAUGUUGCGACAAUAAUAAUUUUUAAAAAUAUUUUUUAUUUAAAAAUAUAUUAAAAUAAUAAUUUUUUAUUUUUUAAAAUUUAUUUUUAAUAUUAACACAUUAAAAAAUUUAAAAUUAUUUAAAAAAUUAAUUUAAAACAAAAAAAUAUUAACAUACUGUGACAUUAUUGUUAUUUUUUUCGUGGUGUUGUUUGUUCUAGGUAGGGCCGGAAAGGUCACGGAAUGGAGAGUUGCUGCUAACCAUUAACCCAUGACAUGGCUCAAAUGAGUGAGACUAAUUAAAAGUCUGUAAAAAUGUAUCAAGUGACUGUUUGCAAUUAAUAUUUUUGAAUUGUUUUUGGUAUAGAAGUUCUUUUUUAACCUACUCUUAAGGUAAAAUACUUCUCGUCUACUUAAUAAUUCUGUCAUAACUAGCCUCACUCAACCCACAAUCCGACUUGAUGGUGAACUUCUGUGUCACAGCCGACAAUUUACUAUAAUUAAUGCAACCAUUCCAUAAUGGUUCAUCGGAAUCUUUCAAUAGAUAAAAAAACCUGGCCGCAUCUGCAUUAAGUUCUUCUUCUACAAUUGGACAUUGACUAACAUUACCUUAAUUCAUUCUCAUUGCAUCUAUAACCAUAAUCUUGCAAGGAUUACUGUUGUCAUUUACAACUCCAUGCACGUUGCUAGCACUAGAAGUUGACCCAACCAUUCUUUUUAUCAUGCUCUCAUUACGAACAAAUAAUUCUUUGUGUAACCAAUACAAGUAAUCCUCCAUAAACCGGCCACUUGUGUGGAAGAUGCAUCGUUACAACAUCUGGAUGCAUAUACUUUUUAUUUUUACACUUUCUGCGUGGACACCUAAUACUGCCCCCACUAAAAUUUCUCAGAAUAGAUGUUGCAAAAUUAAUAAAACCCUGAACCCCAUUACAAUAAUCCAUCGAUGAACGACCAUCCAUGACCUCUAUAAAAUAAUGAUGACAACAUGUAUUGAUUAAUUAUGUUAAGUAAAUAAAUUUAUAAAAAUAUUGGUUUAACUCGAGAUUAUCCAACAAACUAAUUAAAACUUAUCUUAAAUUUUAAUUAUCAAUUAUCAACGUCCAUACAAAUUUAUACACAUAAAUUUACAUAAAUUACAACUCCGCAAUAGCGUUGAUAAAAAUUAAAACGGAUACAUUAAACAAGCUAUUAUUUAUUUAUUACAACAUAUCUAAUACGGUAAUUCGACAUAAAUUUCAACAAUUUAUAAACAAAUAUAAUUUUACAAAAUCUAAAACAAAACAUAACAAGUACAAAAUUAUACAUUCAUACUACAAGUUUGUUUGAGAAAAAAUUAAAACUUGUACUUACCCUAACAAAAUACAUAUACUAAAAAAAAUUAAAUAAUAAUAAAAUUGACAUUUUAAUAUUAAAAAUAAAAAAUAUAGAUUUACUUAUAAAAAAUAACAAAACCACAAUAAAUCAGAACACGGAUAUUGUGACUACAAAAAAUAAAGAAGAAUUAUUUGUGUUGAGAAGUGAGGGAUGUUUUGGGGGUGGUUAUUUGCAGCUUGGGAGGUGAGAGUUUGUUUAGAUGCAUGUAUGUGGAAGAAGAAGGAGAAAUAGGGGAGGGGAGGUUCGACAACUUGGUGAUAUAUUAACUUUUACCGAUGGAAUCACCGACGAAAAUAUUUUAUCGAUGAUUCCAUCAGUGAUUCUGACGGUAAAGGGGUCAUGUCACUGUACGGAGAUCCUGGUUUGAAUCCCUCGGUAAUUUCGUCGGUAAAAUCACUCGCAAAAUCUUCCACGUCAAUGACCUGCUUUUUUUUCUUUCAAAAUUCUAUAUAUUUCGUUCGUAAUUCUAUCGGUAUAUACCGACAAACGUAUUCCGUCAGUAUAUACCAACGGGUUUACUGAUUGAUUUACAUCCGUCGGUAAUUAUUACCGCAAAUUACCGAUAGAAAAAUAUUGUCGAUAAUUCCGUUGGUUUUAGUCGAAUUUCUAGUUGUGAUAUUGAUUUGGUGAAAUUUGAUCGAUUCAAUCAAACCAAUCUAGUUCAUAUCUAACCAUAUUAAUAAAAAAAAGAAUGAAAUAAUAUUAUUUUAAUAAAAAUAAUUAUUCUGAAUUAACUUAAUAAAUGACUUAUAAGUUAUUAAAUAUCUGGUGCUAUAUUAAAAAAUUAACUUAAUAAAUGACUCAUAAGUUAUUGGCAAAAUACAGGUAUAAUCGGAGUACACCAUGUUGUCAAAAAGACACAAGUCUUGAAUUUUACUUUUAUUCUUGUUUUUUUUUAAAAAAUUGGAAAGGCAGGUAUACUAUCAAUAUUUUUUUUUUUUUACUUUGUAUGCUUUCCUCUGUUGCUAAUAUCCACCUCAGCAUGUACCAUCUGGUUAUAAACACCUUGGGUAAAUCAAGAUAUAAUAGAAAAACAUUCACUGUAGUUUGUCUCACAAAAAUUUCAUGGUUUUUGUCCUUUAUAACUUGAUAGAUACGAGGCAAGGAGUUAGGAGGUAGUAGCUUUUAUUUAUUUAUUCAUUUAUUUCUAACUACUGACCUUAAAAAAAUAUUGAAUUUGUAAUUCAACCAAAUAAAAUAUUGAUUUGGUGAAAUUUGAAUGAUUCAAUCAAACCAAUCUAGUUCAUAUCUGGCCAGAUUAAUAAUAAUAAAAAAUGAUAUUGACUGACUAGAUUAUUUGGUAUAACAGCAGUGCACCAUGCUGCCCAAAAGACACAGUCUUAAUUUUAUUUUUCCCUUUUUUUUUUGAAAACCGGGAAGGCAGGUAUACUAUGAUUGACUUCGGCAGUCGGUAGGAAUUAUUUUUUAAAGCAUUUUUUUUCAUGUGUAAAUAUAUUAAAUAAUUUUUUUAUUUUUUAAAUUUAUUUUAAUAUUAAUGUUUCAAAAUAAUUCAAAAAUAUUAAAAAAAUUAAUUUAAAAUAAAAAAAAAUCAAGUUUUUUUUAAAAACAUGAUUCCACUGUGAAAUUAUUAUUAUUUUUGCCGGGGAGUUGGUUGUUCUACGUAGGGUCGGAAAGGUCACGGAAUGAAGAGUUGCUGGUAACCAUUAAUCCAUGACAUGGCUUAAAUGAGUAAGGCUAAUUAAAAGUAUGUAAAACUGUAUCAAGUGACUAUUUGUAAUUAUUAUUUUUGAAUUGUUUUUACGUGGUAAUAUAAAAAAAAUUAAAAAAAUUAUUAUUGAGCUGACCUUACUAAUAAAUAGUAUUAUUUAAGGGAGCUAGCGGCUGUAACGUUCUCUUCCACAUCUCAUCUCAUUAUACAAUUCCCUAUUUUCCUUUCCCCAUCUCAUGAUCUGUGAUUUCUCUUCUUCUUUUUUUCUAAGCCAUAUAUUUUUCUAAGCCAUAUAUUCUUCUCUGAUCUGUGAUUUCUCUUCUUCUUUUUUUGGCUGAAUACUGGUCAAGCGAACCAGCACAUCUUGAAUCCAGGUUAAUUAUUUGUACUUCAUCUUGUUGGUGUUUUUGUUUUUAUAUUUGUAACUAUGGUUUGAAUCUUUAAAGGAAUCCAUGAUAAAUAAAUUGAUCUUUUUCUCGGAUUUUAUAAUCCAUGCCUUGUGGAGAGUUCAUACUAAAUCAAUACUGAAUUCAUUGUUUUCGUCUUUUCAAGAUUCUUUGCUGUUUUUAACUCCUUAUUUUAGAUUCACCCUUUUCUUUUCCAAUUAAUGGGACUGCCAUUCAUUUUUAUUCAAUAUUUUUCAACUUUUUUUUUUCUUACAAUGAUUCAAUGAAUUAACUUGAUCAAUAAUUACCUGAAUCUUUUUGAACAAAACAAUAUCCUAUUAUUUUUGUGUCUGUUUUAUAAUGUGUAACUAAGGGUUAAAAUAGAGGAAAUUGAUUUUUGAAAUUAACAAAAAUAAUCUUGCUUUCGUUUUGCUCUUCUACUUUCCUUCCCUUGCUUUCUUCAACAGUUAUCCUGCGUCUUUCUAUCUAUCAUUCUAGAGUUUUAGGAUCUCGUGUCAUAUAAAGAAUUUGAGUAUGAUAAUUUAGCUACAAAGACAAAGGAUUAAAUCAUUAACAACAACAUUUAUAUUUCAUAUUUUUCAUCCGAAUUUCUUUAACAAACAAGAAAGUCAUUCAUAUAUAUAUAUAUAUAUAUAUAUAGAUAGAUAGAUAGAUAGAUAUUCUUUUCUGAUCUGUGCUUUAUGUUCUUUUUAGACCUCAGUUUUUUAUGUCUUUUCUGAUCUUUUCUGGUCAGAUGGAAGGGUUCCAACCAUCUUUUAUGGAGGAGGUUGACAACAUGACAUGGGAUCAGCUGGGUUUUCAAUCAGAAGAAGAUACAUUCAAUAUGUCUGAGCUUCUCUCGUACGUCAUUCUUGAGCAUAUUUUAUCGGAAGAUGAUUGCUUGCAAUUUAGUUAUUCUUCAGUUUAUCCUAUCAUUCCCAAAAAAACAAUAUAAUGUCGUCACUGUCCAUGGAAGCAGGCUGCCACCGGAGGUUCCAGUCAACCAAAGCUCCAUAUCAUGCAAUGAUCAAGGUGGACAGAACAAUGUGAUCAACGAUAGUAUUCAACAAACAACUCCGUUUCCAACUUCAUUUCCUGAAACAGUGGUGAGUACUCCAAUUUGCUACAAUGCCCAUUGAAUUAGCAAGUGUUUGUAUUAUACAAAAAGUGUUUGCAUUUUUGUUUUUAAUUUCAUUUGAUAAUUUAUUUCAAUAAACUUGUUAUGGAGCUCUUGUGGUCUAAGAAGAAGAAACAAUUCAAUGUAGAGUUGAUGUUUGACUUAACAAGAUUUUGUUCAAUUUAAUUGAUUAAAAAUAAGUGAAAUUUUGACCGUCAAAUUUGAUAUUAAAAUUUUGAAGAUAAAUAUUGAAGACUGAAUUUGAUAUUAAAACUAAAAAUAAGUAGAAAGUUUUUACAAAGGUAAAUGUUAUGAAAAGAUCGAAAUUGCUAUCCAACUGGUGUGCAGAUUGGAUAGCAAAUCAAGCUAUGUUGAAGUCUUCUACUGCAGUGAAGCUCCCUCUGGUUGCUUGAAGCUAAUGCCUGAUUGUUGCGUUCCUGGGUUUUGAUAAGUGUAUGAAAGUCUAUUUUAUUGUUUUUGUGUUUUAAAAAUAUUUUUUAAAAAUUAAUUUUUUAUUUUAAAUUUAUUCUAACUCUUUUGUUUUAUCAUUCUCAAAGUCCAAACAACAACGGUACUGUCAAGAUUGUUAUGCUUAUGCCCGCAAUCGAAACAUAAUUUGUUUUUGUACUCAGAGUUAUGUUUAUUAAAAAAUCUGGUUAUUUUAAAAAAUAUAUUAAAUUAAUGUUCCAAAGUUUAGUAGUUAAGAAAUGUAUUCCAAAGUUUAGUUUACUGGUUGACUCACAUAUUAACUGAAUAACCUGAGUAAAAAAAGAAAACCACAUCAUAUUAUGAUGGUGUUUAUUAAAAAAACUAAAAUAACAAUUUUUUUUUAAUAUUAUCUUCUUAAAUAUUUUUAUUUUAAAAUUUUUUCACAUAAUUGUAGAUAAAAAAAAAAUUGUUUUAAUUUAGCAACGAUAGAGCAUCCACAAGAAAGAUAUUAUACGGUUAUUAAUUUUCAUUAAAAGAAAAGCUAAGAGACUUGGGAGAACUACUAUAUAUCCACACCUAUUUCAUAAAUUACAAUAGUACGUAAUUCAAGGUGUUUUGCCUUUUUUGUUUUGUUUUUUUAAAAUUUCUUUUUGUUUAUUUUAUAAUAGGCUGGUUAUAAUUCAGCUUUAAUUUAUUAAUUUUUAUUCUAUUUUUUUAUAAGAUUAACGUAAUUUAUAGGUUUGUUAAAAUAACUUAAAUUAUAGUUUUCAGAUUUGGUGGGAUAUUUUUUUGUUUAUUAAUUAAAAGAAAAACUAAAAGGUGUAAGAGAAUCACUAUUUACCCACACUCAUUUCAUUAUGGAUUACAAUAGUAAUCUAUAGUGUUUUGUCUUUUCUGUUUUUUUUCCUUUCCUUUCCUUUUUUUUUAUCAUUUUUAAAAAUAAGUUUUUGUCUAUUUCAUAUUUGGGCCGAAUUAGCAUAUAUAUAUAUAUAUUGGGUUAGUGUUUAAUUUUACAAGUAUAAGUAUCUAUUUUUGUUAUCAUAUUAUUAAAAAAAAAUAAUUUUUUAAAAAAGUAUAAUCCUAGUUAAAUCCAUAACCUUGUUCAUGGGUUUGAUGUGCUAGCCCAAGUUACCUGAUUCACGAGUUUGACAGGUUUAUCAAUUGAUCGAAUAUGUUUUUUUUUUUGUUUCUGGUCUUUUAAUUUUUUUAAUUGAUUUUUUUUUUAAUUUUGUCCUUCAAUAUUAGAUUGGUUUGGAAAUAGACUAAAUGAUUUAUUUUUAUUUGCUUUCUAUAGGGUUAUCAAAAUCUUAAAUAAAUAUUUAUUUUAGGGAUGAUACUCAAUUUUAUGAGCAUUUAUUUUUAUCAUAUAAUUAAAUUAAAAAAAACUUAAAAAAAUUACUAAACCCAAUAAAAUCCAUGACCCAAGUCGCGAGGGACCGGGAUCGAUCAAAUUUGUCAUUGUUUCAAUAUUUUUUUUAAAAAAAAAAAGUUGUUGUCUAGAAGUUUUUUUAAAAAAACUAAGCCAUGCUUUACUAGUUUUCUAAGUUGUAUUUAGAUAUUAAUUGAUUUAAAUUGAGUUAAUUUCCAUACAAUUUAAUUAAAAACUUAAAUUAAAUAAAAAAUUAGAUUAAAAGAUUUUAAUAUCAACUCCCCUAACCAGGUUUAAUAAUAUCGCCAACAAACUUUCUUCACUCUUAACAUUUUAUUUUUAUAUUUUAAAAAAAUUAAUCCCCUAAAAAAAACUAUGACAUAUUAUUGAGUGUAGGUUUUGUUUAUUAAGAGUAAGGAUUGAGUCUUUGACUGCAUGUAAUGGCAUCGACUGAAAACCUUUAAUCACAUGCUAUUAAUCACAUAUUUAAUCUGUUAUUGUUAGAGCACAUGCUUUUCAAAAACUUUGAAUUUUUUCUUUUUAAAUUAUUAUUUUUUUAUUAAAAAUAAAUUUUAAAAAAUAAAAAAAUUAUUAUUUUAAUUAUUUUAAAUAAAAAAUAUUUUAAAAAGAAAAGUAUAUUAUUGUUUCUCAUAUUCAUGUGUUUACAUUUUCUAGGCAUCUUCUUCUAAGCUUCAUAAUUGGGUAGGUAAAGUAGUGUUUUCAACUCCUUAUUUUAGAUUCACCCUUUUCUUUUCCAAUUAAUGGGACUGCCAUUCAUUUUUAUUCAGUAUUUUUCAACUUUUUUUUUCUUCUUACAAUGAUUCAAUGAAGUAACUUGAUCGGUAAUUACCUUACAUUAAACAAAAUAAGAAUAAUUAAAAUAUCAAAUGUGUUCAUUAAAGUAGCAGGAGAAAUCGCUAUAUAGCCAUCCGAAAAGGAAAAGUUAAAGAUUGCAGGUUUGCUGCUCAAUUCAACUAAAUAUUUUGAAGUUAGAACUCGUUUGUUUUUUUUGUUUUAAAAAUAUUUUUUAAAAAAUAAAUUUUUUUAUUUGUUUUAAAUUAAAAAUUUUUCUAUUUUUAAAUUAUUUUGAUGUGUUGAUCUCAAAAAUAAUUUUAAAAAAUUAAAAAAAUAUAUAUCAUUUUAAUAUAUUUUCAAAUAAAAAAUACUUUAAAAAACAAUUAUUAUUACAUUCUCAUAAUUUUCGCUUUAAGAGUAAACUUCACUUUUGCUCCUAUAAAUACACCAACAUUUCACUUCUACUCCUAUAGUUUUAUAUUUCUCAUUUGAUGCUAAAAGUUUUCAAAAUGUUUCAAUAUUACCCAUUCCAUUUUUUUCCUACCACAUAGAUAAGAUAAUAUUGAAUAAUUUCAAGCUGUAGGGUCAGAGUUUGAAUCCUCAUCGAUCUACAAGUAUAAACAUGCUAUAAUUUACCCUUGCUGUCUUUUCCCAAACUAAGUUAUUUUGAAAUCCUAUAUCUUAAAAUGAGGCAUUUUAAUGUGUUCAAGGGAUUCCGACUAUCCAUCUGCUGUUUGUAGAAUUUAAGCACUUUUUUCAUUAGUCACUUUUAUUAAAUCAUUUAAUAUUUGCGUUUAUUCUUUUAAUUUGCUUCAAUGUGGAAUCGACACUCCAGAGAAUGUGAGAUUAUUUUCUUGAGGCUUUCUGCCCUCUCUCUAGUAAACUAAAAAACAGCAACGGUACUGUCAAGAAUGUUAUGCCCGCAAUCAAAACAUAAUUUAUUUUUAUACUCAGAAUUAUGUUUUUGUACUCAGAAUUAUGUUUGAGGGCAUUUGAAAGUCUGUUUAUUUUGAAAAAAAUAUUAAAUUAAUAUUUUUUGAUAUAUUAAUAUUAAAAAUAAUAAAAAAAAAGCUUUUCUUUUCUUAGAUUCACUCUUUUCUUUUCCAAUUAAUGGGACUGCCAUUAAAAUAUGCUUUUCACCAUUUAUUUGUUUUUCUUUUAUUUUGACUUACGUAACGUGUGUACCCAGUAAUCCACUCAUAUAUAUAUAUUUUCUUUGCUAUGUGCUUUCUGUUCUUUUUUCACCUCAGUAUGUACUAAUCAUCUUGUACUUUUGGUCAGAUGGAAGGGUUCCCACCAUCUUCUAUGGAUGAUCUUGAAUCACUAUUUCUCUCGUACGUCAUUCUUAAACAUAUUUUAUCAGAAGAUUAUUGCUUGCAAUUUAGUUAUUCUUCCGUUUAUCCUAAUAUAUUAUUCCAUGGAAGUAGGCCGGCACCGGAGGUUCCAGUCAACCAAGGCUCCAUAUCAUGCAAUGAUCAAGGUGGACAUAAGAAUGUGAUCAACGAUAGUAUUCAACAAACAACUCAGUUUCCAACUUCAUUUCCUGAAACCAUGGUGAGUACUCAUGCUUACUCCAAUUUGCUACAAUGUCCAUUGAAUUAGGCAUCAUUAUUCCUUUAUUCAUCAACCUCAGACGGGACAUGGCUAUAUGACACCGAAUGCAACCACAUCACAACAUGGUGAAUUCAAUCAACCUGGACCUUCUUCUCUUGCUCCCUGGUAUCCAAUUUUUCAUGUUUAGUAUUUUCUGAAAAAAAAAAAAAAGUUUUUCAAUCAUUAUUUAACUUCUUCUUCUUCUUCCUCUUGUUGUUGUACUUAUCAGUGAGUUCAUUAUGUUUGAAUAUAUAUAGGUAUCGGCCUAAUCCUAAUUUAUUUGAUCCUCAAUGUGCCAAUCCUUUGAGGUAAGCUAAAAUGAUAUCUUAGUAGAUUAAUAGCAAAGAAUUAUGCAUAUGUAUAAAGAAAUUACUAACAAGUGUUGCUAAUUUAGGGACCAACAAUUGACUAAUUAUCAGUUACCAAUGAGCAAUCAAGUGCCUGCGAUGCUACCUGGACCUCAACCUCCAAGGAAUCAAUGGUAUUAACCUCGAAUAUAUCUACACUUUUUUAAUCAUGAAGACAAUAAACUUUUGAAGUCUGUUUGAGCUCUCUAUCUAUCUUUUUUUGUGCACAUAAUGGAACUAGAAGAUCAACCAAGUUAGAAUAACAGUUCUAAGUUUAACUAUUUGAAUAUUAUUCAGGCAUCAGUACUCCAAUAUUCAUCAACCUCACACCCGGACAUCGCGGCGACCAAUUAAAAAUUAUCUUGCAUGGAAAGAACGGAUUUCUGGCAUCCUAUUCUUCGAUGGUGAAUGGUCUUUGUUUAAGGAGUCGCCACCUAGUAUUACGGUUACUAGGAACCCUAACUGGUCAACAGAGAUUCUAUGGUCCGAGACUGGUUACGUAAAAGGGAAGAUAUUAUCACCCCUUAAACGUCCUGCCUAAGGCAGGCUGCAUUGCUGAUCUUUGUAAUUAAUUGCUAACAUUUUUUUUUGUUGGUUUAUACUAUGAUUGUUUGUGUGUAAUAUUCCUGGCUCUGGCGCCAGUGAAUAUUCAACUACAGAUAUUUCCAACUCUGGCGUUGGUAAAUAUUACGUAGGUAUGAAAAUAAAUAAAUUUAAAUCAUCAUUUUUUUUAUUCCUGACUCUGGCGUCAAUGAAUAAACAAAUAAAAUCAAUUUUUUUUUUACGCAAUCGCAUUAUUUUUAUUUUUAUGUAGCUAAAAAAAAACAAAAUAAAAUAAAAUAAAUUUACAUUAGUAUCUUUAUUCCUGACUCUGGCGUCAGUGAAUAAACGAAUAAAUUUACAUUAGUAUCUUUAUUCCUGACUCUGGCGUCAGUCAAUAGUUUUAUUCUGACUCUGGCGUCAAUGAAUAAAAACAAUAAAUUCAUAUUUAUUUUUUAUUUAUACAUACACACUUCCUUUUUUAUUAUGUAUUUUUUAUUUUUUAUCUUUUUAUUUUUUUAUUUACAUUUUUGGGCUGGGAUUAGUCACUGGCUCAAAUCAGUACCAAGUAGCAGGCGUGCAUGACAGCGCACGCCUGCUACAGAAACAAAGGAAUUGUAAAAGUAAAAUUCACUGCUACAGUAGCAUGUGAAUUAUAAUUCACAGCUACUGUAGCAAAGCAAAUGAAAUAUAAGGCAACAGAGAAGAACAAAGGAACUUACCUGAUGCGCGGAGACGAAGUCGAAGACGAGGGUAAUGGCGUGCUCUGGUCCUUGCUUCUGUUUUUCUUCUCUGGUUUUCGGGUCCUUAUUCUCUGGUUUUUCCUUCCCCGGCCUCUGCUGCGCUGCUGUUGUUGUAGUUGCUGGUGCAGAAGGAAGAAGCUUGUUGCUGUUGCCAGGGGAAUUAAUCCUGUUUUCUUUGCAGUUCACGGCUGAGAAGACAAAAUGUCAUUGCAACGUGCUGCUGGAAUGAAUAUUAACUGGGGGCUGCUACGGGAAGAAGAGAGGAAAAAAAGCUGGGGGGGGACUCGGCCGCGCUUUUUUUUUCUUUGUAAAUGUCUUUUUUUAUGUUUUUUUUAGGUUUCUGGUAAUGGCCUUCUUUUGGUUUUUUUUUUCUUUUAGGGUUUCUCUCUAAUCCUCCCUCCUCUAUUCGCAUAGACUGGGAUCAGUAUUUAUAGUGUAAGAGUCCUAUCGCUUGUAAGAAGUAAAGUCUCAAUCAAACUCAUUUUCUUUUUUAAAUUCAAAUUAGAAUCGAAUUCGAAAUCAUACAACUUUCAUUAUCUUGAAGGUAAGGAUUAUCUUGAAAAUAAGGAUCAUUUUGAAAGUAAGGAUUAUCUCAAAGAUAAGGAUAGAAUGGCAAAAGCACAUUAUAGUCCUUAAUUUUCAUGCAAGUUGACAAAUCACACUUUUCAUCGAAAUAAGUCUCUGAUCUUUUAAUUUUACAUUUUAAACCCUGUAAAAAUUAAAUUAAAAGCCAAUGGGCCAAAAUUGGGUUAUGACAGUUGCCCCCUCUUUAUAAUAUUUACUAUGCAAUGAUAUUAGAAAAUUUCAUUUUCUUUUAGCUUUGUGUAGUAAAUUUAUAAAGAAAAUUAGAUACAGAAAGAAAUUUUGCUUCUUUUUUAUUUUUAUUUUUAGUUUUGAAAACUUUGAAAAUAGUAGAUUGACACAUGACCUUUACAGAGAGAUGUAGAAAUCAAGAAACAAAUGAUUUGGGAGACGACCCUUUUUUUUUUUGAAAUGGAUCAAAUUGUUUUAGGCAACCUGCCCAAUGAUAAAAGAAACGCGAAGAAUUUCGCGAGUGGUCUAAUUGUUCCAGGCGACCUGCCCAGUGAUUGAAAAAUACGAGGAUUUUUUUUUUUGUGAUGGUAUAUUGUAAUGGGUUACCGGCCCAGAUGGUCACAUUGUAAUGGGUUACCUGCCCAGUAUAGGAUGGUAUAUUGUAAUCGGUUACCGGCCCAGAUGGUCACAUUGUAAUGGGUUACCUGCCCAGUAUAGGAUGGUAUAUUGUAAUGGGUUACCGACCCAGAUGGUCACAUUGUAAUGGGUUACCUGCCCAGAUGGUCACAUUGUAAUGGGUUACCUGCCCAGUGGAUGAUAUAUUGUAAUGGGUUACCGACCCAGAUGGUCACAUUGUAAUGGGUUACCUGCCCAGUUGGUCACAUUGUAAUGGGUUACCUGCCCAGUAUAGGAUGGUAUAUUGUAAUGGGUUACCGACCCAGAUGGUCACAUUGUAAUGGGUUACCUGCCCAGAUGGUCACAUUGUAAUGGGUUACCGGCCCAGUUGGUCACAUUGUAAUGGAUUUUUCAGAUGGUUACAUUGUAAUGGGUUACCUGCCUAGUGGAAAAAUACGAGGAUUUUUUUUUCUAAGACAUGAUAGGGCUCGAAGGCGCAUUAUUCAAUAGAUGGAAGCUCGAAGGAAAUGAGGGCUCGAAGGCGCACUCAAAAGGAGGUAGGAUAGGAAAUGCAGUACCUUUGAUAGUCGAGGGCUCGAAGGCGCUCUCGAAAUGGAGAUAAGACGAGGGCUCGAAGGCGCGCUCGAAUGGAGAUAAGACGAGAGCUCGAAAGCGCGCUCGAAUGUAGAUAAGACGAGGGCUCAAAGGCGCGCUCGAAUGGAGAUAAGACGAGGGCUCGAAGGCAUUCUCGAAUGGAGAUAAGACGAGGGCUCGAAGGCGCGCUCGAAUGGAGGUAGGAUAGGAAAUGCACUACCUUUGAUGGUCGAGGGCUCGAAGGCGCGCUUGAAAAGAAACAAGACGAGGGCUCGAAGGCGCGCUCGAAUGGGGAUAAGACGAGGGCUCGAAGGCGCGCUCGAAUGGAGGUAGGAUAGGAAAUGCACUACCUUUGAUGGCCGAGGGCUCGAAGGCGUGCUCGAAAAGAAACAAGACGAGGGCUCGAAGGCACGCUCGAAUGGGGAUAAGACGAGGGCUUGAAGGCGCGCUCGAAUAGAGAAUGGAAGGUGGUGGGAAAAUACAGAUAUUUUUCAGGUGGCCUAAUUUUCAUGGGCGGCCUGCCCAGGUUGAAAAAUUCUCAAAAGUGAAAAUUUUUCAAAAGCUAUUUCAAUGUUCUCCAUUUCAAGUUGGCCUUCCGCUUGAUGGAUUCUGUUAGAAUUUUCUCUAAUAAAAUUUACAACACUCAUUGUCCAAUGUCUCAAAGUUUAAAUGAUAUGCAUGCAUCUUUACCUGAUUUGAAAUAUAGGCCCCCCAUUUCUUCUUAGUCUUCUCGUUGCUUGGUUGGUGAGAUCUUGCUAUCUCAUUUGAGUCAUCUUUGUCGUUUGGCUUUCUAGCCCACUCGAGUUAGCCCAUGUAAGUUUAUUUCCAGAUUUGUUUACAUAACUCAGCUUUUGCGGUGCCCAUCGUGACCCACUUGCUUGCUAGAGAUUUUCUAAUCUCGUCAAAUAAUUUGAGAGGAUUAUUCAUUACCCCUCGUCUCACUGCUAAAAACAUUCGGUAUCACUUGCUGAAAGGAUCGAGCUGUCUUUUAUAAACCAAAAUGCCCCCUUGUCUUGUUGUAAGGGAUGAUAGAUUUUCCUUAAACACAAUAUUGCCCCCUUGUCUUGUUGUAAGGGAUGAUAGAUUUUCCUUAAACACAAUGUUGCCCCCUUGUCUUGUUGUAAGGGAUGAUAGAUUUUCCUUAAACACAAUGUUGUCCCCUUGUACUGAUCAUUGCCCCCAAGUGUGUUAUGUCACUGACUUAGAUGAAUAAUGGUUUUAAGAGGCCAUUCUCUCAUUUGGUGAAGGAAUAUGGGUCUAGAAUGAAUCUUGAAAUCUUGAUCUUGCCUUUUGACAACAAAAAUUGUUUUGAUAUGAAUUUAAAACAAUUUACUUUUGAAAUCUUGCAACUCCUUGGUUAUUAUCUUUCUUGGAAAAGAGAUUAUUUGCUCUUGUGUUUGGUAAUGAGGUCUUUGAUGAAAAUACAUCAUGAGAUGACCUUUUGUUUCAAAGUGAAGGGCUUGAGCAAAAGCUCGAGGUUUUGUACGAGAAAAAAAACUUGUCUUUUUUUUUAACAUUUAUUAUCAACAUGAAUAAUAAUGAGUAGUUCUUUCUUGAUGUCAUGAAUCUUAUAAAAAAAAUAUUCUUUGCAUUUUGAGAGCAUUGUUUAUUGUUCUAGGUUGCUUGCUUCCUUGAUUAGAAAGGACUUCUAUAGGCACGUAACGUAGGCUGUGGUUUUUGGCUAUGAAAGAAAAGGAUUCAUAAGGCUCAAAGAGUGUUUCAGGGUUUCAAAGACUGAAGAUCACGAUCAAUAGUUUGACUUUUGACGUCAUUCAUAUUUUCUUUUGCCGCUCUUCUUUGAUUUGCUGCUUCUUUUUUUCUUUUUCAUUGCUUUGCUAGAGCAUACUCACUUUAUCUUGGUUAUCAUUUUUUCUUGUGAUUUGGGCAUGCCCUCUAGCAUUUGAGUUUUUUGGGCUCUUUUGCCUUUUGGCUUUCUCACGGCUCUAUCCUUUUUCUUGAUUAUUGAAAUUUCACUUGCCCCCUUUUUUUUUGUGAUGUGGGCAUGAUUCCUAGCAUUUGAGUUUCUUGGGCUCUUUUGCCUUUUGGCUUUCUCACGGCUUUAUCAUCCCUCUUGAUCAUUGAAAUUUCACUUGCCCCCAGUGUAGGGUGUGAUCUUAGUCGGAAUUUUUUUAUGAAAGAAAAAAUAAAUAAAUAAAUAAAUUCUUCAAGCUCAAAAAGGGUUUGCAAGGAUGUACUUAUUUUAGAACGUAAAAGGAAUAACAAAGAUAGCCUUUCCUCAUUUCAAGCGCAAGCAGCUAUGAUUAAUAAACUUUGACCUCGUAUAAUGUGAUGGUUUAUUCUUUGCAAAGAUGCAUUUGGUGAGUUAUGAGCAACAAGUUCACUACAUACCAUUAUUCAUACAUUUAAAAACACAUGAUUCAAGAGUAAUGGGGUAAGGGUGUUUAUUCUUUUUUUUUUCACAAUUGUUUUUAUAAUUUAGUCACCUCAAUGAUGGAGUUGCUUGAUUCACUUGUCAUUCUACAAGUAGAAUGUCAAAAAUAUCAUUUUUGAAUAAACAUCAAAUUAUUUUUUGAAAUCAAAAUGCCAGAUCAAUUUUUUUCAUCCUAUUGGAGUGGGAGCAUCCUAACGCAAAGGAUGUCCUUCGUCCCUUUAUAUCUUUUUUUUAACUUGAAUGAUAAAUAAUUAUGAUUUGAUGUUUGAUUAAUAUUAUAUUAUCAUCCUAUUGAGUUUCUCCAAGAUGAAAAUCCAAAAAAUAAAAAAAAAAUACUAUAUCAUAAAUCAUCAGUGAAAGUAUUCUUCUACACAUUUUUAAAAUGUCCAAGAGAGAGUAUGAAUAUGGCAGAUUGAAGUUUGUGAGUGUAGGAAAAUGGAGGAGAUAUUCUUCUCUUAAAGAACUCUGAGAUUGGAUUGGUUACCAGAACUGAAAAGCAUUUACAGUGCAAAACUGAUUUGCAAUUCUCUUCAUCCCUUUGUACCUUUUUUUUUAAAACUCGAUAGACAAAUAAUUAUAAUUUGAAUUUUGAUUAAUAUUAUAUUUUCAUCCUAUUGAGUUUCUCCAAGAUGAAAAUCCUAUAUUGAUUUAUCAUUAAAGUAACCUAAUAAAUGUAAUGUUUUUUUUUUUCUUGAAAACAGCUUGGAUGCACUCAAGUAUUUUAAUCACAACUUUCCACUCACAUGUCAGAUUGUUGUGAUUCUUGACGCGUUAUCUUGUUUGUAAACGUUGUGUUUUUAAAAUUUUUGAUUUGUUUUAAAUAAUUUUUUUAUAUUUUUAAAUUAUUUUAAUAUAUUAAUAUUAAAAAUCAUUUUAAAAAAUAAAAAAAUAAUUUAAUAUAUUUUUAAAUAAAAAAUAUUUUAAACCACAACUACUCCUUCUUCCAACUGGGAAACUCCUUCUUCCAACUGCUUCCCAGGCUUAAAAAAAAGUCUCGACGAGGAUUUCAAAAAAAGAACUAAAGCAUGUACGUGGCUGCCAAAGAAGUCCUAAAAUUUAGGUUUUUGAUGAAAACGUGUGGGACACGUGAUGAAAAAGGGGUUUAAAAGUGGUUUGCCCAUAAAGAAGACGUGUGGGAAUUGCAGUAAUGUUUAUGGAUUAAGAAAAGAAAAAGGGAUUAAUGUAGUUUAUGGAUUCAGUAAUGUUUCUUCUAUUAAAUGGAUUAAUUGUUUGAUUAUAUUUAUUUAUCUGUAUUGAUUUAAUAAAAAGAACUCCUAAAGCAUGUACGUGGCUGCCAAAAAAGUCCUAAAAUUUACUCAAUUUAUUUUUAAAAAAAUUAAUUUUUUAUUUUAUUUUUUUAUUAACUUUAAAUUAAUAUAUUUUUAGUGUUUUCAAAUUAUUUUGAUGUGCUAAUAUGAAAAAUAAUUUUUUAAAAAUAAAAAAAAUUAUUGACAUGUAUUUUGGUAUGAAAAGUUAUUUGAAAAGCAAUAAUAAUUACAUUACUAAACAAGCUAAAAAAUGUGGAAAUUGCACCAGAGAAGGAAAAAAAUACAAGAAAAGAAAAGGGAUUAAUGUAGUUUUUUCUGUUAAAUGGAUUAAUUGUUUGAUUAUAUUUAGUUCAUUUAUUUAUCUGUAUUGAUUUAAUUUUUUUACUAUAAUAUUGAUUUAAUAAAAAGAACUCCUAAAACAUGUACGUAGCUGCCAAAAAAAUCCUAAAAUUGACUCAAUUGGAAAGGAUCAUGGUGCUUACUGCCAAGAUUGUUAUGCCCGCAAUCAAAACAUAAUUUGUUUUUGUACUCAGAAUUAUAUUUGAGUGCAUUUAAAAAUUUGUUUAUUUAAAAAAUAUAUUAAAUUAAUAUUUUUUAAUAUAUUAAUAUUAAAAUAAAAAAAAUAUUUUAAAGAGAAAAAAAAAAUAUUUGACAAAGAAUAAAUAGAAAACUUACAAAUAGUUAAGAGUCAUAUUGGAAAGUAUAGUUUAGGUUUUUGAUGAACUAAAGCAUGUACGUGGCAGCCAAAAAAGUCCUAAAAUUUAGGUUUUUGAUGAAAACGUGUGGGACACGUGAUGAAAAAGGAGGUUUAAAAGUGGUUUGCCCAUAAAGAAAAGAAAAGGGAUUAAUGUAGUUUAUGGAUUCAGUAAUGUUUCUUCUAUUAAAUGGAUUAAUUGUUUGAUUAUAUUUAUUUAUCUGUAUUGAUUUAAUAAAAAAAACUCCUAAAGCAUGUACGUGGCUGCCAAAAAAGUCCUAAAAUUUACUCAAUUGAAAAGGAUCAUGGUACUGCCAUGAUUGUUAUAUGCCCGCAAUCAAAACAUAAAUUUGUUUUUGUACUCAUAAUUAUGUUUGAGUUCAUUUAAAAAUCUGUUUAUUUAUAAAAUAUAUUAAAUUAAUAUUUUUAAUAUUUUUUAAUAUAUUAAUAUUAAAAUAAAAAAAUAUUUUAAAGAGAAAAAAAAAUAUUUGACAAAGAAUGAAUAGAAAGCUUACGAAUAGUUAAGAGUCGUAUUGCAAAGUAUAGUUUACCAGUUGACUCACAGAUUAACUGCUUAACCCCAUCAUAUUAUUUAUUUAUAAAAACUAAAAUAAUUAUGUUUUUUUUAAUAUUAUCUUUUUUAAUAUUUUUAUUUUAAAAAAGUUUCACGUUGUAGAUAAAAAAAAGAUGUUUUAAUAUAGCAACGAUAGAGCAUCCACAAGGAAGAUGUUUUGCCUUUUUUUCUUUAAUUUGUUUUUGUUUAUUUGAUUAUUGGCUGGUUUAGAAUUCAGCUAAGACAUCUAAUAAAAUAUUUUUAUUCUUAUAAAUUUUGUGAAGAACAAUCAGAAAACUAAUUUAAUUAGGGAUUAAUUGAGUAAUUAAUUACCUUUACCUUACAGAGGAUUUUCUUUUCUUUUAUUUUAUUUCUAGUAACAGCUAAUUUAAUAAAACCCCAAUAGCCUGAUUCUUGGAUCACAGAAGCUUGAGACAUGGCACAUGCUACCAGGAAAAAAGCAUGAUUGUGUUGAAAACCUUUUAAGAUUGAACUGUCGCAUUCUAACAAUAAUGUUUGGACCAUUUAAAGAUUGGACCCAACUUCUCUUCAACUUUAUUUUAUAUUUAUAAUAAAUAAAAAGCAUGAUUGUGUUGAAAAGAAAUUGCUAUCCAACUGGUGUGCAGAUUGGAUAGCGAAUCAAGCUAUGUUGAAGUUUUCUACUGCAGUGAAGCUCCCUCUGGUUGCUUGAAGCUAAUGCCUGAUUGUUGCGUUCCUGGGUUUUCAUAAGUGUAUGAAAGUUUAUUAAUUUAUUAUUAGUUUGUUUUUGUAUUUUAAAAGUAUUUUUUAAAAAUUAAUUUUUUAUUUUAAAUUUAUUCUAACUCUUUUGUUUUAUCAUUCUCAAAUUCCAAACAACAACGGUACUGCCAAGAUUGUUAUGCCUGCAAUGAAAAUAUAAUUUGUUUUUGUACUUAAAAUUAUGUUUGAGUACAUUUAAAAUCUGUUUAUUUUAAAAAAUUAUUAAAUUAAUAUUUUUAUAUAUUUUUAUAUAUUAAUAUUAAAAAUAAAAAAAAUAUUUUGAUUAUGAAUAGGAAGCUUACGAAUAAUUAAAAGACUGAUUUCAAAGUUUAGUUUACUGAUAUUUAAAAUUAAGUUACUUAAAAAAUCUGAGUCAAUGAGGACAUUGUUUGGUAAAGUGAUGGACCGUAACAAAAACAUCAUUUUUUAUGUUUUUAUUGGCAAAAUAAAGGUAUAACCAUAUUACAUCAUGUUGCCAAACAAACACAAAUCUUGAAUUUUAUUUUUAUUUGUUUUUUUUGAAAAUUGAAAAGGCAAGUAUACUAUCAUGGACUAAGAUAAUAUUUGAUAUUGAAGUAAUGAUUUUUUUCAAAGUGUUUUUUGUUUGGAAAUUUAUUGAAAUAAUAUUUAUAUUUUAUAUUAGUAUAUCAAAAUGAUACAAAAAUAUUAAAAAAAACAUUAAUUUGAAACCAAACAAAUAAUAAGAAUAUUUUCACCUUGGAUUGUAUCUCUUCAUCUUUAAAAUUGUAUCUAAAAAAAUAACUAAUAAAGUGUAAUUAAUUAAUCUAAUGCUGGAAUUAUUAUUUACCCUGGAAUAUGGAUGACGUAUAAUUCCAAGUGGGCAUGCUGCAUUUCUUAGCCAAUGAAACUAUAAUUUCUUCAUAAUUUUUCAAGUUCCAACAAUAAAUGUAAUUUUCGAACUAUUAAAUAUAUUAAAAUCUUAAAUGAUAACUUGAAAAAUAAAAUCAUUCAUCAAUCAAUUUAAGAUUUCUACACUGUAAUUUGUUAAUAUUAGUUAAAAAAAUAUAAAUUUUAUGUAAAUAAAAAUAAUUUAAUUAACUGGUGUGGUGAAUCUCAUUUCAUAACGAAUUCAUAUAUCGGUCCAAUAAAUUAGGUCCAAUUUAAUUAACUGGUGUGGUGUAUAUAUAUAUAUAUAUAUAUAUAUAUAUAUAAAAAAAAAUAAUCAUCAAUAGUUUUGACAUUAGAAGUCAAUUCACCAACAACUUAAAAAUUCAACCUCUUUAAUAAAAAUACUUUUUAUAUUAAAAAAGUUGAAUUUUCCAUGAAUGAUUGGUGAGAGAAUUUUUAUUGAUUUCAUAUAAUAAUAAUAGUUUUUUUUGUAAAAAUGAUACCGAGAAAAAAUAAUCACAAGUAUACAAGACAAAAUUCAACCUCUCCACAUUGAUGUGUUAGGUUGGAAUCCUUAAACUGUUUUUGCCACAGUUCUUCGACUAGGUUUUAAGUUUAGAUUUUGACUUGUUAUAUAUUUUUUAAAUUGAUUUUUUUUAAAAAAAUCAUUAAUAUCUUUCCUUACGGUAAAUAAAAAAAACAUAAUUCAUUCUUCUAUUUAGAAGAUAUUUGGAAUCAUUUGCUGGAUCUAUUUUCUGUUUUUAUUUUCAGAUUUUAAAAUGACCCCUCGGAAAACAAUUCCAACCAAUUAUUUGCCAUGGAAUUUGGACGCUGUAUAAUUCCAAGUGGGCAUGCUGCAUUUCUUAGCCAGGUGUAGCAAGAAUUGAGGUAGCUUGUUUCUGGCUUUUGCUUCUCGGGGUAUGAUUUGUUGGGCUAGUUUAUAGGCCUUUUGCACUAGGGUUUUUGUCCUUUCUGCUAAUUUAUCUAAAUAUAGGCUUUAGAAUCUUUUUAGAUUGUGUUUGGUAUUGCGGUAGUUGUUGUGGUUAUUGUUUAAAAAAAAUUGUUUUAUAAAAAGUACUUUUAGUUGUGAUUGGUUUGAAAAAAUAGGUGUUUGGUUAAAACUGUGGUUGAAAUUGAGGUUGAAGAAAAAGUAGUUUAAUGUGUUUGGUUAAGAAUGUUUUUGAAAUUGAGGUUAUAAAAUAAUUUAAAAAAAUAUAAAUUAAUAUUGAUGGUUUUUAAUUUAAAUAUUGUGGAUUUAACUAUUGCGGUAACAUUAUGAAAUAAAUCAUACUUUAUAUAUAAAAAAAUUUAUUGUUCUAUUAAACUAUCUACAAUUCCAUUACGUACAAAAUUUAUCUGACAAGAACUACAGUUUCCAUAAUUUUUUAGCGUGUAAUAAAAUUAGAUAAAAUAUUAUCAUGUAUAAAAUUCACUCUAAAUUAGUUUUUUUUAAAAAAAUUAACAAAAAAAAAACUUAACACACUAAAAAAAAAAAAUAUAUUCACGCAGUGCAAGUGAACAGUGCAAGAAAAGUGCACUGUUCACUAUUUUUAACAUGAACAGUGCACUUUUCGUGUACUGUUCAUGAACAGUGCAUCAUUUUGCGUUGUUUAUGUUAAUUGCACUGUUCAUUGAACAGUGCAAUUACGUGAACAGUGCAAAAAAGCAUGUAAUUCUUGCUUUGCAAAUACUGCGUUUCCAACGCAGAAAACAGGUGGGACCCAGUGAACAGUAAACUGUUUUUUUUAGUAACCAAACGGCUACAACUGCGUUUUAAAAAAAACACAGCCGCAGAGCCGAACGGGCUCUUAAUGAAACUAGCGUUCUUGAUUUCUUGGAGGUAGAAAUAACAGGACUAUUAUUAAAUUAAAAUUAAAAUUAAAAAAAAGUCAGCUCAGACUUUUACCAUGUACCAAUAGAGAAAACACGGCGUCUCUCUGUUUUUUUUUUAAGCAUUUUUGCUUUUAAUUUCAUUAUAAUAAUUUAUUUCAAUAAGCUUAUUAUGCUUAUUAUGAAGCUCUCACAGACAAGUCAAGGCCCAGAGUCGUGAAAUUCACUUUGAACCAGCCUGCACGCACUUAAAAUAGUAAUGUUGGGGAGAUGAUUUUUAAAAUUUUGAUCCCUAGAGUUUUUGCAUCUUUUAUUUUUAAUUUUAAUUUUGAUUUAAAAUUUCAUAUUAUUCAUUUUCAUGUUGUUCGUUUUUUGGUUCAAGAUGAAAGAAAGAAAGUAACAAAAAAAACUUUGAAAAAGAUAAAAAAUUAUUGGUCGACAACUUUCCGGCAACAAAAACACGUACAGUAUCUUCGUAUCAAUGGAAAACUGGUGUGCAGAUUGGAUAGCAAAUCAAGCUUCACAGUAGAUGUUGAAGUUUUCUACUGCACUGAAGCUCCCUAUGGUUGUUUGAAGCUAAAGCUUGAUGGCGUUCCUGGGGUUUUGAUGAGUGCACGAUAUUGCAUUCUAAAUGUUCUAUCAUUGGAAUAAAAUGCAAAAAUGUGAAUAAAAAUAAUUGAAAUUAAAGGGUAAGUCAAGGUCCAGAGUCGUGAAAUUCACUUUGAACCAUCCUGGACGCACUUAAAGUAGUAAAGUUUUUUUUUCUUGGAAACAGCCUGAAUGUACUUUUAAGUACUUUAAUCACAACUUUCCACUCAUAUGUCGGAUUGCUGUGAUUCUUGACGCGUUGAAAAGGUUUCUUGAAGGGCCACAAAGUAGUCUCUGACGAGGAUUUCAAAAAAAGAAGAACUAAAGCAUGUACGUCGCUGCCACAGAAGUCCUAAAAUCUAGGUUUUUGAUGAAAACGUGUGGACCAUGGAGACGUGAUGAAAAAGUGGGGCUGCCUCCUUUAGAAAAAAGAGGGCUGCCUAAUUUGAAAAGAAGGGCAUUUGGCGUCAAGGAGACGUGUGGGAAUUGCACCAGAGAAGAAAAAAAAAAAACAAGGAAGGAAAAGGGCUUAAUGUAGUUUAUGGAUUCAGUCAUGUUUCUUCUAUUAAAUGGAUUAAUUCUUUGAUUAUAUUUGGAUCAUUUAUUUAUCUGUAUUGAUUUAAUUUCCUUACUGUAAUAUUGGUCUUGAGUAUGUUGUUGUUGUCGUUGAAUUUUCUUAAUAGGUAUAAUCAUUUGCGUAUUUAGGAGCCGUUUGGGAUGCGGUUCAACCUGUGUUUCUAAAAAAUUUGAAUUUUUUUUUUGCUAAAAUUUAAUAUGAUUUGUACGUUUUAGAUCAUUUUGAUGUGCUAAUGUUAAAAAUAAUUUUUUAAAAAUAAAAAAAACAUCAUUAACAUACAUUUUAAUACAAAAAAUUAUUUAAAAAACACCCGUAACCACACUGUUAAACUCUCUUAAAAGUGAUGAAUGAUAUUUCAAAAGAGGAAAUUCUGGGAACUGAACUUCCAAUUGAAUUAUUUAAAAGUGAUUCCCGACGCUCUACUGUUUGUAGAAUUCCAGUUGUGCUUUCUCCAUUAGUCACUCUGCUUUAUUUUAAUUUGCAUUUAAAAUUAGAUUUUAUUCUCUAUUAAAUCAUUUAAUAUUUUCUUCUAUUCUUUUAAUUUGUCACUAUGUAAUAUUUUCUUCUAUUUUUUUAAUUUGUCUCCGUGGAGACUCGAUACCCCAAAGUCGGGCUACAAUCACCCCAAAAAUCUUUAUAUUUUUAACUGACAAAAAGUCACUGAAAAACUCGGAAAAAGAUGGAAAAUUAUUGGUUGAUAAUUUUUGGCAAAAAAUGAAAAAACUAUCAUCUUUGUGCUAAUGAAAAACUGGCGUGCAGAUUGGAAAGCAAAUCAUACUUUAUAGAUCGAGGGCUAAAAUAUACAUUUGUAGAAGGGAGUUGGGAAGAAAAUAAAUUUUCAUGGGUAUGGAAAAGUUCGAUGACGAGAUGUUUUGAAAGAGAGGGGUAUGACGUUCAUUGUACAUUGACUGAUGUAUCUUUUAAAAUUUUGUUUUUAGGAUUUUUAGAUUAUUUUAAUGUAAUAAUAUUAAAAAUAAAUUAGUGUAAUUAAUUGAUUUUACUCGCACUAUUGAUGUGAACGUGAACAAUAAUUUUUUUUUGUUUUUUUUUUAAAUUAGUUUAAGGUUAAUUAAAUUUGCUUGUACUGUAAUCUCAAUUUUAUUCCUGAUAAUAUUUUACCUCAUUUUGUAGUUCUUAUCUGAUGAAUUUUGUAUGUAAUGGAAUUGUAAAUAGUUUAAUGAAACAAUAAAAUUUUUUUAUAUAAAGCAUGAUUUAUUUCAUGAUGUAAUAGCAAUAGUUAAAUCCACAAUAUUUAAAUUAAAAACCAUCAAUAUUAAUAUAUAUUUUUUAAAAAUUAUUUUAUAACCUCAAUUUCAAAAACACUCUUAACCAAACACAUUAAACUACUUUUUAUUCAACCUCAAUUUCAACCACAGUUUUAACCAAACAACUAUUUUUUUCAAACCAACCUCAACUAAAAAUACUUUUUAUAAAACAAUUUUUUUCAAAGCACAACCACAACAGCUACCGCAAUACUAAACACACUCUUAAUCUAGCCUUGUCAAAACUGAUUUAUCUUUACAGUCACAAUGUGUUUUUUUAAAAUUUUGAUUUUUUUAAAAAUAAUUUUUUAAUAUUUUUAGAUUAUUUUGAUGUGUUGAUAAAAAAUAAAUUAUUUUAAAAAAUUAUUUUAAUAUAUUUUUAAAUAAAAGAUAUAUUUUUAAAAAAUUCACAGCAUGCAGAAAUAUGCUAUUCAUUUUAGAAAAUUUCAUGUGUUUAUAUUUUCCUGGCAGCUUCUUCGAAGUUUCAACAUUGUGGUGGGUCCACACGUUAAUUUAUCAUUAUUGAGGCGACCUUACUAAUAAAUAAUAGUAUGUAACUUCUCUUCCACAUCUCAUCUCAUUAUACAAUUCCCUAUUUUCCUUUCCCCAUCUCAUGAUCAGUGCGAACUUUAUUAUUUUUCUAAGCCAUAUAUUCUUCUCUGAUCUGUGAUUUCUCUUCCUUUUCUUUUGGCUGAUCACUGCUUAAGCAAACCAGCUAGCACUUGAAGAACAUCUUGAAUCCAGGUAAAUUAUUUGUACUUCAUCUUGUUGGUGUUUUUGUUUUUCUGUAUGUAACUAUUGUUCGAAUCCUUAGAGUAAUCCAUGAUAAAUAAAUCGAUCUUUUUCUCAGAUUUUGUAAUCCAUGCCUUGUGGUGUUCAUACUAAAUUAACCCUAAACCUUGAAUUCAUUGUUUUUGUCUUUUCAAAAUUCUUUGCUGUUUUUAACUCCUUAUAUAUGGGAUUUCUUUUCAAAUACUAGAUUUUGUAAUCCAUGCCCUGUGGGACUGCCAUUAAUUAUUUUUAUCCAAUAUUCUUCUGACAUAAUGAUUCAAUGAAGUUGUUUUUUACUGAUUCAUGAAUUAACUUGAUCAGUAUUAAUUACCUUUCAUUAAACUUGUUUACAACAAGUGACAAAUAAUUUAGCAUUAAAACAAAGAAUUAAAUAAUUAACAGCAACAUUUAUAUUUCCUAUUUUUCAUCCGAAUUUCUUUAACAAAUAAAUAAGUCAUAUAUAUAUAUUCUUAUCUAAUCUAUAUAUAUUCUUAUCUAAUCUGUGCUUUCUGUUCUUUUUUAAACCUCAGAUGGAAGGAGUCCCACAAUCUGCGGAGGAUGAUGUCAACUUGACAUCGAAUCAGUUUGAUCUUCAAUCACCAGAAGAUACAUUCAUGCUUGACCCUGAGCUUCUCUUGUACGUCAUUCUUAAGCAUAUUUUAUCAGAAGAUGAUUAAUAGCAAAGAAUUAUGCAUAUGUAUAAAGAAAUCACUAACAAAUGUUGCUAAUUUAGGGACCAACAAUGGACUGAUUAUCAGUUACCAAUGAGCAAUCAAGUGCCUGCGAUGCUACCUACUAGGUACUGAUCAAACUUUGGCAAUAUAUAUGCUGUCGUGUUUUAACACAGUAUUAAUACCUUUUUCUCUCGUACGUCAUUCUUAAGCAUAUUUUAUCAGAAGAUGAUUGCUUGCAAUUUAGUUAUUCUUCAGUUUAUCCUCUAUAUUAUUCCAUGGAAGCAGGCCGGCAGACAACCAAGGCUCCAUAUUAUGCAAUGAUCAAGGUGGACAGAACAAUGUGAUCAACGAUAGUAUUCAACAAACAACUGAUCAGUCUCCACCUUCAUUUCCUCAAACCAUGGUGAGUGCUCAUGCCUACUCCAAUUUGCUACAAUGUCCAUUGAAUUAGCAAGUGUUUGUAUCACCCAUUGGAUCAAAAAGUUUAUGUUUUCGUGGAUCAAUUUAUCUCGAGCAUCUUCAAAAUGUUUAUUGUUAAACAAACAGACAACAAUUGGGAGAUUUAGAUUAUUUUUUUUUGUGUGUGUUUUAUGAUGUGUAACUAAUUAAGGGCUAAAAUAGAGGGAAUUAAUUUUUGCAAUUAACAAAAAUAAUCUUGCAUUUGUUUUGCUCCCCAAAUUAUGAAUAAAUAGGAGUUGAAAGAGGUUUUUGUUCACCCCGUCAAAACAAUCAGCUCUUCUACCUUCCUUCCCCUGCUUUCUUCAACAGUUAUCCUGCAUCUUUCUAUUGAUUAUUCUAGAGUUUUAGGAUCUCGUGUCAUAAAAAGAAUUUGAGUAUGAUAAUUUAGCUUUAAAUUCAAAGGGUUAAAUCAUUAACAACAACAUUUAUAUUUCAUAUUUUUCAUCCGAAUUUCUUUAACAAACAAGAAAGUCAUAUAUAUGUUCUUUUCUGAUCUGUGCUUUCUGUUCUUUUUAAACCUCUGUACGUACUAAUCAUCUUAUACUUGUGGUCAGAUGGAAGGGUUCCUACCAUCUUCUAUGGAGGAUAAUGUCAACUUUACAUCGAAUGAGCUCGAUUUUCAAUCACUAUUGCCCGACCUUGAGCUUCUCUCGUACGUCAUUCUUAAGCAUAUUUUAUCAGAAGAUGAUUGCUUGCACUUUAGUUAUUCUUCAGUUUAUCCUAUUAUUCCCAAAAAACAAUAUAAUGUCGUCACUGUCCAUGGAAGCAGGCCGCCACCGGAGGUUCCAGUCAACCAAAGCUCCAUAUCAUGCAAUGAUCAAGGUGGACAGAACAAUGUGAUCAACGAUAGUAUUCAACAAACAACUCAGUUUCCAACUUCAUUCCCUGAAACAAUGGUGAGUACUCCAAUUUGCUACAAUGUCCAUUGAAUUAGCAAGUGUUUGUAUUAGACAAAAAGUUUUAUGUUUAGUGUAUCGAUCUCGAGCAUCUUCUAAUUGUUUACUGUUAAACAAACAGACAACAAUGGGAAAUGUGAUCAACGAUAGUAUUCAACAAACAACUCCUUUUCCAACUUCAUUUCCUGAAACCAUGGUGAGUACUCAUGCUUACUCUAAUUUGCUACAAUCUCCAUUGAAUUAUACAAAAAGUUUUAUGUUUUAGUGUUUAUUGUUAAACAAACAGACAACAAUGGGAGGUUUAGAUGGAACAUCAUCAUUAUGGAUCAACCAAAAUGAACCAAAUUGGCCUAAAACUCAAUCAAGGUAUUCAUCAUUAUUGCCAAUUUAUCGACGAGGAUCUUUUUUAAUCAUGAGUAUACACUUUUUUAAUCAUGAAAACAAUAAACUUGACCUAUCUUUACGGUGGUGUCAAAUUCUUAGUUUAACUAUUUGAAUAUUUUUCAGGCAUCAGAACUCCUUUAUUCAUCAACCUCAGCCGGGACAUGGCUAUAUGACAGCGAACACAACUACCUCACAACAUGCUGGCUUCAAUCAACCUGGACAAUCUUUUCCUGCUCCCCGGUAUCCAAGUUUUCAUAUUUAGUAUUUUCUGUAUAACAAAAACAUUAGUUUUUCAAUUAGGAAAGUAACAUUAUAGCUUGAACAUGAACCCAGCAAGAUAAUCAUAAGUUUGUAAUGCUUCAUAUUGCUUGGGAAUGAUUUUGGAUUCAGGAUUCAUUUUCUUUCUAAUCAAGGACAAGUCGGUCAAGCUGCUGUAAUUCCUAACAUAGACAAGAGAUACUGAUUGACUUUCUAGCUGUUGUGUUUUAACACAGUAUUAAUACCUUUUUGAUAAUUCGAUACACCAUUGAUUUUUAUUGCUUAAGAGAGACUACCAAAUAUUGAAAGGUUUUAUAAUAUGAUCACUUCAUUUAUAUAUAGGUCACAGAUGGAUAACCUCCAAGUCCGAGGAUUGCAAAAUCAAACUGCUAUGCCAAAUGCCUCUAAUCCUGGCCUUGGCACUUCCCUGCGAAGUCAAAAUAGGGGUUUAAAUACUCAACAAGUAAGAAGUCUAACUGAAUUAUCAUCGUCUUUUUUUCCCCUUUGAUUGUGCUAUAAACUAACUAUCAAUUUUAAUAGCAAAAUAAGGGUAACAACACUGAAGAAGUAGUUUCUCAUCCAUCUGGAUAUGGUGUAACUUGCAUUAAUUUUUAUUCUUUAUUUUGACCUACCUUUUUUUUUAUAUAGGUUGAAAUGGUUAGAUCAAAGGAUCCAUUUUGGAAUUAUAUUGAAGAUAGGACUGAUGGAAGCAUGAAGUGUAAGUUUUGUCCACGUGCAUUUGCCAAUAAAACUUCCAUUUCAAGGAUCAAAUGGCAUUUAUCAGGAGAAGAAGGGCAUGGUGUUGCCAUUUGUCGUGGGGUGCCUAAAGAAGUUCAAGAAGCAGCCUUUCUAGCUAUGUGUGGUGGCAACAAAAGACAGAAAAUCACAGCAAGUUCAGUCAAUGUUAAUGAUUGUGGAAUUUCAACAAUGGAAGGAGGAAUUGGAAGGGUACAAAGAGAAGUUCAGGUUGUAGAACCCGGAGUAGUGGAAGAGAGGAUUUCUUCACAUGCAAUAGCAGGAAACGACGUAGUAAGCAUGACCGGAAUGAGAGCACCAGAACAUGGAGUUUCCGAAGGGGCACUCGAGAGCAGACCGAGGACAGAUCCCGUGGAUCGAUCGUUGGAACAAAGCAAUGCAGUACUUGGCAAUUUGGAAGGGGGUGCUGGAAGGAUACAAGUGGGAGUUCAGGGGGUGCUGGAACAAGGUGCCGGGGAAGAGAGAAUUAAUCGGGUUAUAGUGAGGACAGAACCAGUGGAGGAGGAUGUGGAGAAUAGUCGAAGAUCAGUAGUGCAGGCUGGCGCAGGAGCUAGAUCUUCUGAAAGUCUGAAAUACAACAAGACUAGAGGAGUUCCAUUACCUACUAGCUCUAAAAAGCCAGUGGGUCAAGUAUUCGAAGAGAAUACGAAGGUGAUAUGGUCUUUGUUAAUGGAUGAUAAAGUCUCAAUCAUUAGCAUUUAUGGGAUGGGUGGGAUUGGUAAAACAACAAUACUGCAACAUAUCCAUAAUGAGCUUCUACAAAGACCAGAUAUUUGUGAUUAUGUUUGGUGGGUGACUGUGUCUCAAGAUUUCAGCAUUAAAAAAUUGCAGAAUCGUAUUGCUAAACGUCUUCAUCUAGACCUUUCAAGCGAAGAUGAUGAACUACAUAGAGCUGGCAGAUUGUCAAAAAAACUAAAGAAGAAACAAAAAUGGAUUCUUAUUUUAGAUGAUUUGUGGAACUAUUUUGACCUACACAAAGUGGGAAUUCCUGAAAAGUUGGAAGGAUGCAAGCUGAUUAUGACAACUCGAUCAGAAACAGUUUGUGAAGGGAUGGCUUGCCAGCACAAAAUCAAAGUGAAGCCACUUUCUAAUAGAGAAGCUUGGGCUUUGUUUAUGGAGAAACUUGAACGUGAUGUAGCACUUUCACCAGAAGUGGAAGGAAUUGCGAAAGCUGUUGCAAAGGAAUGUGCUGGUUUACCAUUGGGAAUUAUUACAGUGGCAGGAAGCUUGAGGGGAGUGGAUGACUUACAUGAGUGGAGAAAUACAUUGAACAAAUUGAGAGAAUCAGAAUUUAGGGAAAAGAAGGUAUUCAAGUUAUUGAGGUUUAGUUAUGAUCAAUUAGGUGAUUUAGCACUACAACAAUGUCUCUUGUACUGUGCAUUAUUUCCUGAAGAUGAUAGGAUUGAAAGGGAGGGGUUGAUAGGUUAUUUGAUUGACGAGAGAAUAAUUAAAGGAAUGAGGAGCAGGGGAGCUGCAUUUGACGAGGGCCACUCGAUGCUUAAUAUACUUGAAAAUGUCUGUCUAUUGGAAAGUGCUCAAAUGGAUUAUGAUGAUAGAAGAUAUGUCAAGAUGCAUGACUUGAUUAGGGACAUGGCCAUCCAACUACUGCUAGAGAACUCUCAAGGGAUGGUUAAAGCAGGUGCACAAUUAAAAGAGUUGCCAGAUGCAGAGGAGUGGACAGAGAAUCUGAUGAGAGUUUCACUAAUGCAAAACGAGAUCGAAGAAAUUCCUUCCAGCCAUUCACCAACGUGUCCCUAUCUAUCAACUCUAUUGCUAUGUAAAAAUAAUCUGUUGGGAUUUAUUGCGGAUUCAUUUUUCAAGCAAUUGCAUGGGCUCAAGGUCCUCGAUCUGUCUUGGACAGGUAUUGAAAAUUUGCCAGACUCUGUCUCUGAUUUGGUGAGUCUCUCUGCGUUAUUGCUCAAUGAUUGUGAGAAGUUAAGACAUGUUUCAUCAUUAAAGAAGCUCAGGGCACUGAAGAGGUUGAAUCUCUCUCGUACUGCACUUGAAAAGAUGCCGCAAGGAAUGGAAUGCCUAACCAACCUGAGGUAUCUUAGAAUGAAUGGAUGUGGUGAAAAGGAGUUCCCAGUGGGAUAUUACCAAAACUCUCUCACCUGCAAGUCUUUGUACUAGAAGAGUUAAUGGGGGAAUGUUAUGCUCCGAUAACAGUUAAAGGAAAGGAAGUACGAUCCUUGAGAUAUUUGGAAACUUUGGAAUGCCAUUUCGAAGGUUUUUCUGACUUCGUGGAGUAUCUCAGAUCUCGGGAUGGGAUCCUAUCAUUAAGCACAUACAAAGUUUUAGUAGGAGAGGUGGGUAGGUAUUUAGAGCAAUGGAUUGAAGAUUAUCCAAGUAAAACAGUUGGGUUGGGUAAUUUGAGUAUCAACGGAAAUAGAGAUUUUCAGGUCAAGUUCUUAAAUGGCAUUCAAGGACUGAUUUGUCAAUGCAUCGAUGCAAGAAGUUUAUGUGAUGUUUUGUCAUUGGAGAAUGCAACUGAACUGGAGCGCAUCAGCAUUCGGGAUUGCAAUAACAUGGAGAGCUUGGUUUCAUCUUCUUGGUUCUGCUCUGCUCCACCACGUAACGGUACGUUUUCUGGUCUUAAAGAGUUUUUUUGUUAUAAUUGUGGAAGUAUGAAGAAGCUGUUCCCGCUUGUGUUGCUGCCAAACCUCGUAAACCUGGAAAGGAUUGAAGUGAGUUUCUGUGAGAAAAUGGAGGAGAUAAUAGGAACAACAGAUGAAGAAAGCAGCACCUCCAAUUCCAUCACGGAAGUCAUUCUCCCAAAGUUAAGAAGUCUGGCAUUGUAUGUGUUACCAGAACUGAAAAGCAUUUGUAGUGCAAAACUGAUUUGCAAUUCUCUUGAAGAUAUUAAGUUAAUGUAUUGUGAGAAGCUGAAGAGGAUGCCAAUUUGUCUUCCGUUGCUUGAAAAUGGCCAGCCAUCUCCUCCCCCUUCUCUUAGAACAGUCUAUUCAUGGCCAAAAGAAUGGUGGGAGACAGUAGUGGAGUGCGAGCAUCCUAAUGCAAAGGAUGUCCUUCGUCCCUUUGUAAAGUAAUAUAAUAUAGUGUGCUUACAAUUACAUAAAUAACAUUGUUCAUUUUUUUUAUUUCAUUAGUCAUAUUUUUGUUAACUCGAUAGAUAAAUAAUUAUAAUUUGAAGUUUGAUUAAUAUUAUAUUUUUAUCCUCAUUGAAUUUCUCCAAGAUGAAAAUCCAAAAAAUAAAAAAAAUACUAUAUUGAUUUAUCACUUAAGUAACCUAAUAAAAUAAUAAAUAAUCAGUGAAAGUAUUCUUCUACACACAUUUUUAAAAUGUCUAAGAGAGAGUAUGAAUAUGGCAGUUUUGGUUUCUAAACCUGAAACUGCCAUAUUCAUAAACACAUUUUUUAAAUAACUGAAACUUCUAAUACCAAAUUUAAUACUAAAACUAGAAAGUAGCAUAGGCGUGAUUUUUAAAAUUUUGAUCCCUUUAAUUUAAAUUUUUUUAAAAAGUCCUAAAAUCUAGGCAAUUUGUUUUUGACACAACCUGGGAUUAAAUAUAAUUUUUAAAUAUUUUUAAAUAGUUAAGAUUAAAUAAUUUUUUAAUUUAAAACAAUUCAAUUUCAAUAAAAUAUCAAAAUAUUAUGAAAUUAAAAUUAAUAUUUAAAAGAAGGUUUAAAGGUGGUUUGCCCAUUUAACCAAUACCCAUUUAAAACGCAAUAGCAAACUGGGAUUAAGCAACACAGAAUUAAUCAAAUAGUUUUUUGGAUAAUGAUAAUUUUGUUGGGCCACGGAAUUAGGUCACUGAAGAACUUUUUAGUAAAGGAUUAAUUACUAUGCUCUUAUCCACACAAUCCUUCAUCACCAUCCAAUCCCAUCACUGGAAAACUUAUCCUCUUUGAUCUCAAUGCCCUUCUGCCAUCCCCAAAUAUAUGCUUUUAUCCCUUUUCCUUUGUAUCUUGUCGUUUGUGUCUUUGUCCACUGGCUUAAGGGUGUUUAGUAAUUCUACAUACGGUUUUUUUAAAAAUAUUUUUCAAAUAUAAAUAUAUUAAUAUAAUGUUUUUAAAUUUUUUUUAAUACUAACAUAUUAAAAUUAUUAAAAAAAUAUUUUUUAAUCUAAAUACAUGCAAGCAAGAUGAUACAUAAUUCCUGCAUUUAAAAAAACACAUUUAUUAAUAGAGUGUUUGAAAAAUAUAGUACCAGUUAUUUUUUAAUUUGUUUUUUUAUAAAUAUAUUAAAAUAAUAUAUUUUUUUAUUUUUUAAAAGUUAUUUUUAAUAUGAUUAUAUGAAAAUAAUUUAAAAAUAUUAAAAAAAAUAUUGAUUUAAAAUUAAAAAAUAAUAAUUUUUUAAAAAUAAAACUUUUAAAAAAUAAAAAUAAAAAUAAAACACCAACCCUGACAUUAACCCAAUGUGAACCCAAUGACCUCAUCAUUUCUUUCUGUACAUUUUGCGUGUGUUAAAGGACGCUCCUAAGGCCAAGCUCAUAACAGGACACACGUGUCUAUCCAUACAAAAAUUGGUAUUAAAAAAUGUGUUGACACCAUUCGCUCUCUCCCUUUCCCACCUUCUUUCACUGUAUGUGUGUAUUAUUUAAGAAUGUGUGUCACCCGUCGUACCAAACCUCAAAUUUUAUUGAUAUUCACGGUAGGUUAAUUUGGUUGUUAAUUUUAGAAUUUGUAGAAAUUAAUAAAGAUAUAUAUAAGCUGGUUUGGAUAUUUUAUAUAAAUAAAAAAUAUUAAAUUUUAUUUUUUUAAUUUAAAAUUUGAUAUGUAUAACACAAUAUCUUAACUUAUUCUCAUCCUUUAUCUUUUUUAAAAAACAAAUACAUUAAUCAUGACGAUAAAUCCUCUUAACAAUGAGUAUUACAUUUAAUUCCAAUGCAUGUAAUUUUUCAAAUAUUAUUCUUUAUGUGGCAAUCUCAUUUAAUAAAUAAACUUUAUGUUUAUUAUUUGUGCUAUAUAGAUGUGUUUUCUCAAAUAAAUUGAGGUGCGUAUAAAUAGAAAGCAUCAUAAUAAAUAAAAUCUUUUUAAAAAUAAUAUACUUCAUAAUGGAAUUAAGUUUCAUUUUCAAUACAUGAUCCUUGAAUUUAAAUGAUAGCAUACUCUUAGUUAAAGGAUUUAUGAUCAUCAAUUCAAUAUAAAUGCGCUUAAUGAUGACUUUUUUUUCCUAUGUUUACUUUGACUACAAUUUUUAUUAUUCUUGGCCUUCAAAACAACAAAACCGAUUGACGUGCUGCUGGUAUUUUCAUUGUGUAUACAUGGAUGCAAGGUGUACGUAGAAACUUUUGGUAAAAAAGAGGGGGUAUACUUAGCAUGAUCUUGUUUAAUUGAUAAAAUGUUUUAAUUAAUAAAAGAAUGACGAGUUUCAAAUCCUACUAUAACCAAUUUGAUCUUGUUUUUUUUUUUUUUUUUUUGUCAAAGUACCUUGUGGGUCAGAUUGGGUUUUGACUGGAUAUGGUUACUGAAUCUCUUAUUUGGUUAAACUUCAAAUCUAGCCCAGCUUUCAUGUCAAUCUACUAGGUCUAGAGUUGAAUUUAUUAAUAUGAAAUAUUUCUUUUUUAUAUAGUGUGCUUACAAUUACAUAAAUAAUAUUUUUUAUUUGUUUCAUUAUUUUUUAAGACUAUUAAUGAAUUGUCAUAUUUUUUUUAACUCGAUAGAUAAAUGAUUAUAACUUGAAGUUUGAUUAAUAUUAUUUUUCAUCCUAUUGAGUUUCCCCAAGAUGAAAAUCCAAAAAAAAAAAAAACUAUAUUGAUUUAUCAUUAAAGUAACCUAAUAAAAUAAUAGAUCUAUUCACUAGUACAAAUCAUGCAUCUAAUAUCAUUAACUAGCAAUAAAUUAUUUUUUAAAAUAUAUAAUAAAAAUUACCAAGAAAAAGAGAGAGAGAAGACACUUUAAAAAAAUAAUAACCAAGUUACAUGACUUGAAAUUUUAAAAAUUUUAUAAGAAUAUAUUUAGAAUAAAAUUUCAUACCUUUAUCUAUUUUUCUCAUGUCAUCUUAGUCUUAUUCGGAGGAAAAAAAAUUUAAAUUCAUUCUAUUUUUUUAAUUUUCCUUAUGAUUUUUAAAUUUUUAUUUUUAAGCUUUUUAGGUUUUAUGAACAAUAUAAGAAAAACUAAAAAGAUUGGUUAAUCCACUGUACAUGAAGACACAUGUUCCUAUGCAUUAUAUUAAGGAUUUGUUUAAGAGCGUGAUAAAAAUUAUAUUGCAAAAUGUGUUUUUAUUUAGAAAUAUAUUAAAAUAAUAUAUUAAAAUUUUUAAAUUUUUUUUAAUAUUAUCACAUUAAAAAAAUAGAAAAACACACAAAAAAAAAUAAUUUAAAUUUUAUUUUUUCCAAAAUGGUAAUGAGCAUUUUUCCAAUCUGUUGGGGGUGAUGCUGGUGGGCUUGGUGUUGCCUCAUGUAGCUUUCCAAAGUUUUAACAUUACAGUUAAUAGCUCCAAUUCUUUUGCACAUUACCUUGCUUUCAUGUAAUAUUAUAUUAUUUAUUAUACAUGUAAUAUUUUCACAGCAAAGAAUAUUGUAAUGUUAAAUACGUACACGUAGAACUUCACGAGAUGGGGUAAUCGGUUAAGCACGUCAAACAAUCAUAAAAUCCUUGUUCUUCUGCUUUCAAGAAUGUAACAAUAAAAUAAUAUUUUUUUAUUUUUUAAAAUGUAUUUUUAUUCAACAUAUCAAAACGGUACACAAAUAUAAAAAAUUCAAAUUUAAAUAAAAAAUAAAAUUUAACCAAUACCCAUUUAAAACGCAAUAGCAAACUGGGAUUAAGAAACACGGAAUUAAUCAAAUAGUUUUUUGGAUAAUGAUAAUUUUGUUGGGCCACGGAAUUAGGUCACUGAAGAACUUUUUAGUAAAUGAUUAAUUACUAUGCUCUUAUCCACACAAUCCUUCAUCACCAUCCAAUCCCAUCACUGGAAAACUUUUCCUCUUUGAUCUCAAUGCCCUUCUGUCAUCCCCAAAUAUAUGCUUUUAUCCCUUUUCCUUUGUAUGUUGUCGUUUGUGUCUUCGUCCACUGGCUUAAGGGUGUUUAGUAAUUCAUACGGUUUUUUUAAAAAUAUUUUUCAAAUAAAAAUAUAUUAAUAUAAUGUUUUUUUAAUUUUUUUUAAUACUACAGCAUCAAAAUUAUUAAAAAAAUAUUUUUUUAUCCAGUACAUACAAGCAAGCUAAUACAUCAUUCCCGCAUUAAAAAAGAACACAUUUAAUAAUAAAGUGUUUAAAAAUAUGGUAAUGGUUGAUUUUUAAAUUGUUUUUUUCUUAGAAAUAUUUUAAAAUAAUAUAUUUUUUUAUUUUUUAAAAAUCAUUUUUAAUAUCAUUAUAUUAAAAUAAUUUAAAAAUAUUAAAAAAUAAUAUUUUUUUUAAAAUAAUACUUUUAAAAUAUAAAAAUAAAACACAAACCCUAACCUCAAUAUUAUGUGAACCCAAUGACCUCAUCAUUUCUUUCUGUACAUUUUGCGUGUGUUAAAGGACGCUCCUAACUCCUAAGGCCACGCUCAUUUUUUUUCCCUGUUUGUGGGACUCCAAUUUAUUCUGAACUCUUGUCAGUCUUGACACCUUUCGCUCUCUCCCUUUCCCACCUUCUUAUUCAAUUAUUCAAUUCAAUUAGGAACCUGAUAGGAGUUGGAUUUUAAGUCUAGAUUUUGAUUUAUUAUAUAUUUUUUAAAUUGAUUUUUUUUAUUUUCUCCAUUAAUAUCUUUCUUUACGGGUAAAUAAAAAAACAUAUUUCAUUAUUCUUUUUUAGAAGAUAUUUGGAAUCAUUUGCUGGAUCUAUUUUCUGUUUUUAUUUUCAAAUUUUGAAAUGACUCCUCAGGAAACAAUUCCAGCCACUUAUUUGUCAUGAAAUUUGGAUGAUGUAUAAUUCCAAGUGGGCAUGCUGCAUUUCUUAGCCAGGUGUAGCAAGAAUUGAGGUAGCUUGUUUCUGGCUUUUGCUUCUCGGGGUAUGAUUUGUUGUGUUUUCGUUUUUUUUGCUAAUUUAUCUAAAUAUGAACUUUAAAAUCUUUUAAAUGAAACUAGCGUUCUUGAUUUCUAGGCGGUAGAUAUAACAGUAAUAUUAUUAAAAUGAAAAUAAAAAUAAAUAAAUAAAUAUGCUCAGACUUUUACCAUGUAGCAAUAGAGAAAACACGGCGUCUCUCUGUUUUUUUUUAAGCAUUUUUGUUUUUAAUUUCAUUAUAAUAAUUUAUUUCAAAAAGCUUAUUAUGAAGCUCUCACAGUUUAAGAAAAAACAUUUCAAUGUAGAGUUGAAGCUCUCACAGACAAGUCAAGGCCCAGGACUAGGAGUCGUGAAAUUCACUUUGAACCAGCCUGGACGCACUUAAAAUAGUAAUUCUGUUUUCUUAAUUUUACGAAUAAUUCACUCAAGGAGAGAUUGCUUAUAGAACUCCCUUUUGUUCAUCAGAAUAAACAAAGGGGGAUUUGGGAUAUAUGCAUUACAAAGAUGCGGAGCUUUGUCCCUUCAUAUAAACUCUCAUAUAUAGAAAUCAUCGGAUGAGGAAAUAGAUCGAAACAUAGCUAAUUAAUAGUAUAUUAAAGUAAUAUAAUUUUAGAAGAUGGAAAUAUUAUGAGAACCCACUAAUUAUAUGUAUGCAAAAAAACAAUCAAUUUUGAAUAAACUUGCAAAACCAGGUGUUUGCUUUGGCUUAAGGAAGUGCCUUCUGGUUUUUAGCACCAAAUUAAAAGAGAGGUGUGCAUAUAUAUAAGAAACUUCACAGAUUAAAUUGACCAGAAACUCUAAUUGUUGUCAUGAUUAAUUGCAUGUAGAAAAAUCCUGACAAUAAAUUUUUUUUUGUUUUUAUUAUUUAUGUUUUGGUUCUUUAGUAAUAAGGGUAUGAUCGAGGACCACACAACCCAUUUCACUGAUCACAAAUUCAAGAGAAAGGAACAGUACAAGCAAUGGACAAGGAGAAACAGACGACCAUACAAAUAAGAGUCGGGAGGCCGAAUGUAUUGGGGCAGCCACCUCUCUGUUUUUAAAAAAGCGUAAGCGUGUGCUCCUCUUCUCGGUCAACAGUCAAAACUAUUUUAUUUCUUAAACUUUACGCAGCACGGGCCACUUUUCUUGGCUUUUUGCUCAGAUGAUUUUUGUAUUAUAGCUCUUUUUAUUAUUGUUAUUAUUUCAGAAAAAUAUCCUGAACUGGAAAAUAAAAUGGAGCUGCUCGUCUCGCAACAUGUGAUCCUCGUAGGGCUUAAGUCUAACCAGAUUCACUGAUCAAUAAAGAAAAUUAUCAUUGUAACAAUUUUUUUAAAAUAUUUGUUAUUAAAAAAUAUAUUAAAAUAAUAAAUUUUUUAUUUUAAAAAAAUUAUUUUUUAUAGCAACAGAACAGUAUAUAAAUAUAAAAAUAAUCAAAUUUAAAUAAAUAAAAUAAAAUUUAACCAAUACCCAUUUAAAACGAAAUAGCAAACUGGGAUUAAGAAACACAGAAUUAAUCAAAUAGUAUUUUGGAUAAUGAUAAUUUUGUUGGGCCACCGAAUUAGGUCACUGAAGAACUUUUUAGUAAAGGAUUAAUUACUAUGCUCUUAUCCACACAAUCCUUCAUCACCAUCCAAUCCCAUCACUGGAAAACUUAUCCUCUUUGAUCUCAAUGCCCUUCUGCCAUCCCCAAAUAUAAGCUUUUAUCCCUUUUCCUUUGUAUUUUGUCGUUUGUGUCUGUCCACUGGCUUAAGGGUGUUUAGUAAUUCUAUAUACGGUUUUUUAAAAAAUAUUUUUUAAAUAAAAAUAUAUUAAUAUAAUAUUUUUAAACAUUUUUUAAUACUAACACAUUAAAAUUAUUAAAAAAAUAUUUUUUAAUCUAUUACAUACAAGCAAGCUGAUACAUAAUUCCCACAUUAAAAAAAGAUAUUUAUUAAUAAAGUGUUUGAAGUUGUUUUUUAAAUUAUUUUUUAUUUAAAAAUACAUUAAAAUAAUUUUUUUUAUUUUUUUUAAAUUAUUUUUAAUAUCAUCAUAUCAAAAUAAUCUAAAUAAAUUAAAAAAUAAUAAUUUAUUUUAAAAAAUACUUUUAAAAUAUAAAAAUAAAACACAAACCCUAACCUCAACCCUUUGUGAACCCAAUGACCUCAUCAUUUCUUUCUGUACAUUUUGCGUGUGUUAAAGGACGCUCCUAAGGCCACGCUCAUAACAGGACGGUGGAUGAUUACGACCAGAACAAGGGUUUAUCAAGGAUCGGAAGAGGGCCAGGAGGGUUUAGAGGACACGUGUCAAGUCUUAUCAUAAAGGUUAAAAGGUGAUUCAUGAGAUUAAGCAAGUCCUUUGAACCAGCCGCCAUCUUUGACCCUCUCCUCUGGAAUACCACUACGGGCCACAAUAUGGAUCCUUUUUUGUUUCCUGUCAAUUAUUCAAUUCAAGUAGGAACCUGAUACGAGUUAGAUUUUAAGUCUAGAUUUUGAUUUAUUAUAUAUUUUUUAAAUUGAUUUUUUUUAUUUUUCUCCAUUAAUAUCUUUCCUUACGGGUAAAUAAAAAAAACAUAUUUCAUUGUUCUUUUUAGAAGAUAUUUGGAAUCAUUUGCUGGAUCUAUUUUCUGUUUUUAUUUUCAAAUUUUGAACUGACUCCUCAGGAAACAAUUCCAACCAAUUAUCUGCCAUGGAAUUUGGAGGAUGUAUAAUUCCAAGUGGGCAUGCUGCAUUUCUUAGCCAGGUGGAGCAAGAAUUGAGGUAGCUUGUUUCUGGCUUUUGCUUCUCUGGGUAUGAUUUGUUGUGUUUUCGUCCUUUCUGUUAAUUUAUCUAAAUAUAAACUUUAUAAUCUUUUAAAUGAAAUUAGCGUUCUUGAUUUCUAGGUGGUAGAUAUAACAGUAAUAUUAUUAAAAUAAAAAUAAAUAAAUAAAUAUGCUUAGACUUUUACCAUGUAGCAAUAGAGAAAACAUGACGUCUCUCUGUUUUUUUUUUAAGCAUUUUUGUUUUUAAUUUCAUUAUAAUAAUUUAUUUCAAUAAGCUUAGCAUGCUUAUUAUGAAGCUCUCACACAAUAUUAUUAAAAUUNNNNNNNNNNNNNNNNNNNNNNNNNNNNNNNNNNNNNNNNNNNNNNNNNNNNNNNNNNNNNNNNNNNNNNNNNNNNNNNNNNNNNNNNNNNNNNNNNNNNUUUUAAUAUUAGCACAUCAAUAUCAAAACAUUAUAGGAACACUAAAACAAAUUUAAUUUAAAAUAAAAAAAAUUUAAAGUUUUAUAAAAAACAAGGUUUGACUGCACCAUGUCUCAGUCAUAUAAGUUGAUAUAUGUGUUUGGAUGGGAGGUAAAUUGUGUUUUUUUAGGUUAAAAGUAUAUUUUUUUAGCUUUUGAAAAUAUAAUUUAUACUUAAAAGAUUUUAUAUCUUAAAAAAAAAAUACAACUACAUCUUCGAGCCAAACACGUGCUUGAGUGAUUCUUGGCAAUCAAUUCCUGGAUCAAGACGAUAAGGUCCAGCCAGAGGUAAAACCUGAUGCAGCUACCGACUUAAAUAUUUUCAUUUAAGGAAGUGCAGCGUUUGUGUCCCGAGAGAAGCCACCAGGCAAAUACUAAGAUCAUUUUUUAUUUUAUAAUGUAAAUGUAUUUUUCAAAAAAAAGUUAAAAUUUGUUUUAUUUUAAAUUAAUUUUUUUUAAUAUUUUUAAAUUAUUUUAAUGUAUUAAUAUCAAAAAUAAAUUUUUUAAAAAAUAUUAUUUAUACAUAUUUUUAAAUAAAAAAUACUUUAAAAAUCAAAUCUCAUUUCAAACUGGCAGUGCCCUGUACCAAACUAUAUUAUCAACAAGAUUUUCCUCGUAUGAAUUAAAGCAUUCUGCAUUUGACACAACUUGAAAAACAUGUUUCUUCUUAAAUUAUUAUUUCCAUGUGUUUUUUAAAAUCUAAAUAUUUGAGAAUUGGUGGGGUUGAUUUUGUUAGCUUGAUAUGCUUUCGUCUUUGCUAUCCAUUUUUUUUUUGGUUACUUUUGUAUGCUUUCCUCUGUUGCUAAUAUCCACCUCAGCAAGUAGCAUCUAGUUAUAAACACCUUGGGUAUAUUAGUAAAAUAGAAAAACAUUCAUUAUAAUUUGUCUCACAAAAAUUUCAAGGUUAAGUAAAAUCACUCUGCUCUGAUAGACACACUCAAAUGCAGAAAGAUAAAAACUACCAAAUACACCUUAAACCCUGUUUAUUUUUAUAUUUUAAAAAUACUUUUAAAACAAUUUAAAUGUUAGACUGGUUUAUCUUUACAAUCGCAAUGUGUUUUUAAAAAAUAUAUUUUUAAUAUUUUUUAAUUAUUUUGAUAUUAUGAUAUAAAAAAUAAAAAAUUUAAAAAAUUAUUUUAAUAUAUUUCUAAAUAAAAAAUAUUUUUAAAAAAUAUUUACAGCAUGCAUAAAUAUACUAUUCUUCUUAGAAAAUUUCAUGUGUUUACAUUUUCUUGGCAGCUUCUUCGAAGUUUCAACAUUGGUGGGGGUCCACACGUUAACUUUUUAUAUCUUAUAAUAUAAUAUGUGUGUUUGGUAGUGAUAAUUUUUUUAUUAAUUUUUUUUUAAAUAUACAUUAUAUUUUUUUAAAUUAAAAAUAUAUAUUUUUUAUAUGGCCAUAAAAAAAAACCAAAAUAAUCUCCAAACACUCUCAUGUUUGGUAGGUGAGCGGUGGGUUGCUUCCUGACAACGUCCUUACUAUCAGGCAAUACGUUAAUUAAUUAUUAUUUUAGCUGAUUAUUUUAUUUUUAAUUUUAUAUUCAUGGGAAUUUGAGGUUAAUAAUUUAUUUUAAUUAAUUAUGAAGUUCUCAAGGUAAAAAAAAAAAAAAGCUUCAACGAUUAAUUUAAGUUGGUAUUUGAUUUGAUAAAAUUUUAUUCAAUUUAAUUUAUUAAAAAUAAUUGAAACUUUGAACAUCAAAUAUGAUACUGAAAUAAAAAAGCAGCCUGUUGUGUUUUUCAAAAUUCUGUUCCCUAGAGUUUUUGCAUUUUGCAUUUUAAUUUUAAUUUUUGAUUUUUAAUUUUAAUUCAAAAUUUUAUUUUAUUAAUUUUUUAAUCUAUGAAUUUGAGAUAAAAAAUCACUAAAAAACUCGGAAAAAAUGGAAAAUUAUUGGCCGACAAUUUUAGCAACAAAAAAACACGAUAAUCCUUGUAUUAAUGGAAAACUAGUGUGCAGAUUGGAUAUCAAAUCAUACUUUAUAGGUCGAGGGCUAAAAAUAUAAAUCUGUAGAAGGGUGUUGGAAAAAAUAAUAAUUUCCAUUGGUGUGGAAAAGUUUAAAGUUCAGAUAUACUAUUAUAGAAUAAGAUAAUUUGAUGGUGUAAUAAUUAUUAUUUUUUAAAUUAUUUUUUUAUUUAAAAAUAUAUUAAAAUAAUAUUUUUUUAUUUUUUAAAAUUUAUUUUUAAUAUUAAAAUGUCAACACAAAAUGCACAUAGUUGUAAAACAUGAUAGGAGGAAGUUUGAGUCAUAGAUUAAGAGAGGCGUUUUAUUUUUUUUUAAAAAUCAAAAUAAUAUUAUUUUAAUAUUUUUUUUUAUAAAAAAUUAAGGAAUUAAAAGCUGAGUAAAUCAAGUUAAGAAAUCACUUAGAUUCUUGAUUAAAUCAGCUGAUGACCCGUUAACUUUGGCAGGUAUACAUUAAUUUAUUUUCUUGGCAGGUUCUUCGAAGCGUCAACAUUGGGGCGGGUCCACACGUUAACUUUCUAUAUCUUAUAAUGUAAUAUGUUUGGGUUGCUUCCUGGCAACUUCCUUCCUUCCUAUCAAACAAUACUUUAAUUAAUUAAUUAAUAAAUAAAUAAUAGUAUUUGUAACAUUCGCUAGCGGCUGUAACAUUCGCUUCCACAUCUCCUCUCAUUAUAGAAUUCUCUACUUUCCUUUCCACAUCUCAUGAUCAGUGCGAACUAGAUUUAUGUAUGCUGCAACUUUAUUAUUUUUCUAAACCAUACAUUCUUCUCUGAUCUGUGAUUUCUCUUCCUUUUCUUUUGGCUGAUCACUGCUUAAGCAAACCAGCACUUGAAGAACAUCUUGAAUCCAGGCAAAUUAUUUGUCAUUCAUCUUGUCUGAAUCUUUAAAGUAAUCCAUGAUAAAUAGAUAGAUCUUUUUCUCAGAUUUUAUAAUCCAUGCCCUGUGGUGUUCAUACUGAUUAAAUUAACCCCAAACGUUGAAUUCAUUGUUUUCGUCUUUUCAAGAUUCUUUGCUGUUUUUAACUCCUUAUUUUAGAUUCACCCUUUUCUUUUCCAAUUAAUGGGACUGCCAUUGAUUUUUAAUUAAUAUUUUUCGACUUUUGUUUCUUACAAUGAUUCAAUGAAUUAACUUGAUCGGUAAUUACCUUUCAAUAAACAAAAUAAGAAUAAUUAAAAAAGAAUAAAUAGGAGUUGAAAGAGGUUUGUUUAACAGUAAACAAUGAAUCUUGCAUUUGUUUUGCUCCCCAAAUUAUGAAUAAAGAGGAGUUGAAAGAGGUUUCUGUUCACCCCGUCAAAACAAUCAGCUCUUCUACCUUCAACAGUUAUCCUGCAUCUUUCUAUCUAUCAUAAAAAGAAUUUGAGUAUGAUAAUUUAUCUUAAAAGACAAAGGAUUAAAUCAUUAACAACAACAUUUAUAUUUCAUAUUUUUCAUCCGAAUUUCUUUAACAAACAAGAAAGUCAUAUAUAUAUAUAUAUAUUCUUUUCUGAUCUGUGCUUUCUGUUCUUUUUAGACCUCAGUUUUUUUUGUCUUUUCUGAUCUUUUCUGGUCAGAUGGAAGGGUUCCAACCAUCUUUUAUGGAGGAGGUUGACAACAUGACAUGGGAUCAGCUGGGUUUUCAAUCAGAAGAAGAUACAUUCAAUAUGUCUGAGCUUCUCUCGUACGUCAUUCUUAAGCAUAUUUUAUCAGAAGAUGAUUGCUUGCAGUUUAGUUAUUCUUCAGUUUAUCCUAUUAUUCCCAAAAAACAAUAUAAUGUCGUCACUGUCCAUGGAAGCAGGCCGCCACCGGAGGUUCCAGUCAACCAAAGCUCCAUAUCAUGCAAUGAUCAAGGUGGACAGAACAAUUUGAUCAACGAUAGUAUUCAACAAACAACUCAGUUUCCAACUUCAUUUCCUGAAACAAUGGUGAGUACUCCAAUUUGCUACAAUGUCCAUUGAAUUAGCAAGUGUUUGUAUUAUACAAAAAAGUUUUAUGUUUAGUGUAUCGAUCUCGAGCAUCUUCAAAUUGUUUACUGUUAAACAAAUAGACAACAAUUGGGAGAUUUAGACAUUUUUUAUGAUAUUUUUUUAUCAUUAAGUUUUAUAUAAAAUUGGCCUCAAACUCCAUCAAGGCAUCAUAAUUCCUUUAUUCAUCAACCUCAGCCGGGACAUGGCUAUAUGACACCGAACGCAACCACUUCACAACAUGAUGGCUUCAAUCAACCGAAAUUUUCUAAAUAUGGACUUUAGAAUCCUUCUUGAUUUCUUGACGGUAGAAAUAACAGGACUAUUAUUAAAAUAAAAAUAAAUAAAUAAAUAUGCUCAGACUCUUACCAUGUACCAAUAGAGAAAACAAGGUAGAUGUCUCUCUGUUUUUUUUUAUAAAGCAUUUUUGUUUUUAAUUUCAUUUGAUAAUUUAUUUCAAUAAACUUGUUAUGGAGCUCUUGUGGUCUAAGAAGAAAAAACAAUUCAAUGUAGAGUUGAUGUUUGACUUAACAAGAUUUUGUUCAAUUUAAUUGAUUAAAAAUAAGUGAAAUUUUGACCGUCAAAUUUGAUAUUAAAAUUUUGAAGAUAAAUAUUGAAGACUGAAUUUGAUAUUAAAACUAAAAAUAAGUAGAAAGUUUUUACAAAGGUAAAUGUUAUGAAAAGAAAUUGCUAUCCAACUGGUGUGCAGAUUGGAUAGCAAAUCAAGCUAUGUUGAAGUUUUCUACUGCAGUGAAGCUCCCUCUGGUUGCUUGAAGCUAAUGCCUGAUUGUUGCGUUCCUGGGAUUUUGAUAAGUGUAUGAAAGUCUAUUUUAUCAUUAAUUUGUUUUUAUGUUUUAAAAAUAUUUUAAAAAAAUUAAUUUUUUAUUUUAAAUUUAUUCUAACUCUUUUGUUUUAUCAUUCUCAAAGUCCAAACAACAACGGUACUGUCAAGAUUGUUAUGUUUAUGCCCGCAAUCUAAACGUAAUUUGUUUUUGUACUCAGAGUUAUGUUUAUUAAAAAAUCUGGUUAUUUUAAAAAAAUAUUAAAUUAAUAUUUUUUAAUUUAUUAAUAUUAAAAAUAAAAAAAUAUUUUGAUUACUCAGAAUAAAUAAGAAGCUUUAUAAUAGUUAAGAAACGUAUUCCAAAGUUUAGUUUACUGGUUGACUCACAUAUUAACUGAAUAACUUGAGUAAAAAAGAAAACCACAUCAUAUUAUGAUGGUAUUUAUUAAAAAAUAAAAAUAAAAUAACAAUAUUUUUUUUUAAUAUUAUCUUUUUAAAUAUUUUUAUUUUAAAAAAGUUUCACAUAGUUGUAGGUAAAAAAAAAAAAAAGAUGUUUUAAUUUAGCAACGAUGGAGCAUCCACAAGAAAGAUAUUAUACGGUUAUUAAUUUUCAUUAAAAGAAAAGCUAAGAGACUUGGGAGAACUACUUCAUUGUAAAUUACAAUAGUACGCAAUUCAAGGUGUUUUGCCUUUUUUGUUUUGUUUUUUAAAAUUUGUUUUUGUUUAUUUUAUAAUAGGCUGGUUAUAAUUCAGCUUUAAUUUAUUAAUUUUUAUUCUAUUUUUUUAUAAGAUUAACGUAAUUUAUAGGUUUGUUAAAAUAACUCAAAUUAUACUAGUUUUCAGAUUUGGUGGGAUAUUUUUUUGUUUAUUAAUUAAAAGAAAAACUAAAAGGUAUAAGAGAAUCACUAUUUACCCACACUCAAUUCAUUAUAAAUUACAAUAGUAAUCUAUAGUGUUUUGUCUUUUCCCUUUUUUUCCUUUUUUUUUAUCAUUUUUAAAAAUAAUUUUUUUGUCUAUUUCAUAUUUGGGCCGAAUUAGCAUAUAUAUAUAUAUAUAUAUAUAUAUAUAUAUAUAUAUAUAUUGGGUUGGUGUUUAAUUUUACAAGUAAGUAUCUAUUUUUGUUAUCAUAUUAUUAAAUAAAAAUAAUUUUUUAAAAAAGUAUACUCCUAGUUAAGUCCAUAACCUUGUUCAUGGGUUAGAUGUGCUAGCCUAAGUUACCUGAUUCACGAGUUUGACAGGUUUAUCAAUUGAUCGAAUAUGUUUUUUUUUCUAGUCUUUUAAUUUUUUUAAUUGAUUUUUUUUAUAAUUUUGUCCUUCAAUAUUAGAUUGGUUUGGAAAUAGACUAAAUGAUUUAUUUUUGUUUGCUUUCUAUAGGGUUAUCAAAAUCUUAAAUAAAUAUUUAUUUUAGGGAUGAUACUCAAUUUUAUGAGCAUUUAUUUUUAUCAUAUAAUUAAAUUAAAAAAAAACUUAAAAAAAUUACUAAACCCAAUAGAAUCCAUGACCCAGAUCGCGAGGGACCGGGAUCGAUCAAAUUUGUCAUUGUUUCAAUUUUUUUUUUUUAAAAAAAGUUGUUGUCUAGAAGUUUUUAUUAAAAAACUAAGCCAUGCUUUACUAGUUUUCUAAGUUGUAUUUAGAUAUUAAUUGAUUUAAAUUGAGUUAAUUUCCAUACAAUUUAAUUAAAAACUUAAAUUAAAUAAAAAAUUAGAUUAAAAGAUUUUAAUAUCAACUCCCCUAACCAGGUUUAAUAAUAUCGCCAACAAACUUUCUUCACUCUUAACAUUUUAUUUUUAUAUUUUUUAAAAAUUAAUCCCCUAAAAAAACUAUGACAUAUUAUUGAGUGUAGGUUUUGUUUAUUAAAAGUAAGGAUUGAGUCUUUGACUGCAUGUAAUGGCAUUGACUGAAAACCUUUAAUCACAUGCUAUUAAUCUGUUAUUGUUAGAGCACAUGCUUUUCAAAAACUUUGAAUUAUUUUCCUUUUAAAUUAUUAUUUUUUUAUUAAAAAUAAAUUUAAAAAAUAAAAAAAUUAUUAUUUUAAUUAUUUUAAAUAAAAAAUAUUUUUAAAAGAAAAGUAUAUUAUUGUUUCUCAUAUUCAUGUGUUUACAUUUUCUAGGAAUCUUCUUCUAAGCUUCAUAAUUGGGUAGGUAAAGUAGUGUUUUUAACUCCUUAUUUUAGAUUCACCCUUUUCUUUUCCAAUUAAUGGGACUGCCAUUAAAAUAUGCUUUUCACCAUUUAUUUGUUUUUCUUUUAUUUUGACUUACGUAACGUGUGUACCCAGCAAUCCACUCGUGUGUGUGUCUAUAUAUAUAUAUAUAUAUAUAUAUAUAUAUAUAUAUAUUAAUUUGCUAUGUGCUUUCUGUUCUUUUUUCACCUCAGUAUGUACUAAUCAUCUUGUACUUUUGGUCAGAUGGAAGGGUUCCCACCAUCUUCUAUGGAUGAUCUUGAAUCACUAUUUCUCUCGUACGUCAUUCUUAAACAUAUUUUAUCAGAAGAUGAUUGCUUGCAAUGUAGUUAUUCUUCCGUUUAUCCUAAUAUAUUAUUCCAUGGAAGUAGGCCGGCACCGGAGGUUCCAGUCAACCAAGGCUCCAUAUUAUGCAAUGAUCAAGGUGGACAUAAGAAUGUGAUCAACGAUAGUAUUCAACAAACAACUCAGUUUCCAACUUCAUUUCCUGAAACCAUGGUGAGUACUCAUGCUUACUCCAAUUUGCUACAAUGUCCAUUGAAUUAGGCAUCAUUAUUCCUUUAUUCAUCAACCUCAGACGGGACAUGGCUAUAUGACACCGAAUGCAACCACAUCACAACAUGGUGAAUUCAAUCAACCUGGACCUUCUUCUCUUGCUCCCUGGUAUCCAAUUUUUCAUUUUAGUAUUUUCUGAAAAAAAAAAAAAGUUUUUCAAUCAUUAUUUAACUUCUUCUUCUUCUUCCUCUUGUUGUUGUACUUAUCAGUGAAUUCAUUAUGUUUGAAUAUAGGUAUCAGCCUAAUCCUAAUUUAUUUGAUCCUCAAUGUGCCAAUCCUUUGAGGUAAGCUAAAAUGAUAUCAAAUACUUAGUGGAUUAAUAGCAAAGAAUUAUGCAUAUGUAUAAAGAAAUUACUAACAAGUGUUGCUAAUUUAGGGACCAACAAUUGACUAAUUAUCAGUUACCAAUGAGCAAUCAAGUGCCUGCGAUGCUACCUGGACCUCAUCCUCCAAUGAAUCAAUGGUAUUAACCUCGAAUAUAUAUACACUUUUUUAAUCAUGAAAACAAUAAACCAAAAUUGACAAGGAUCUUUCAAGUCUUUCUGAGCUCUCUCUCUCUCUCUCUCUUUUUGUGCACAUAAUGGAACUAGAAAAUCAACCAAGUUAGAAUAACAGUUCUAAGUUUAACUAUUUGAAUAUUAUUCAGGCAUCUGAACUCCAAGAAUUUAGUUUUUCAAUCAGGAAAGAAACAUCAUAGCUUGAACAUGAACCCACCAAGCUAAACAUAAGUUUGUAAUGCUUCAUAUUGUCUGCGAAUGAUUUUGGAUUCAGGAUUCAACAUUUUCCUAAUCAAGGACAAGUCGAUCAAGCUUUUGCAAUUCCUAAUAUAGACAAUAUGCAACAGGAGAACUUCGUGCCUCAAAACUUUGACAACUCUACUAGGUACUGAUCAAACUUUGGCAAUAUAUAUGCUGUCGUGUUUUAACACAGUAUUAAUACCUUUUUGAUAAUUAGAUACACCAUUGAUUUUUAGUGCUUAAGAGAGACUACCAAUUAUCGAAAGGUUUUAUAAUAUGAUCACUUCAUUUUCAUAUAGGUCACAGAUGGAUAACCUCCGAGUCCGAGGAUUGCAAAAUCAAACAGCUAGGCCAAAUGCCUCAAAUCCUGGCCUUGGCACUUCCCUGCAAAGUCAAAAUAGGGGUUUAAAUACUCAACAAGUAAGAAGUAUAACUGAAUUAUCGUCGUCUUUUUUCCCCCUUUGACUGUGCUCUAAACUAACUAUCAAUUUUAAUAACAAAAUAAGGGUAACUUGAUCCGUUAAUUUUUAUUCCAUAUUUUGACCGAUUUUUAUUCUAUAUUUGACUUCUUUUUUCUUCUAUAGGUCGAAAUGGUUGGAUCAAAUGAUCCGUUUUGGAAUUAUGUUGAAGAUGGGGCUGAUGAUGGUAGCAUGAAGUGUAUGUUUUGUCCACAUACAUAUGCCAUUAAAACUUCCAUUUCAAGGAUCAAAUGGCAUUUAUCAGGAGAGAGAGGGAACGGUGUUGCCAUUUGUCGUGGGGUGACUAAAGAAGUUCAAGAAGCAGCCUUUCAAGCUAUGUGUGGUGGCAACAAAAGACAUAAAAACACAGCAAGUUCAAUCAAUGUUAAUGAUUGUGGAAUUUCAACAAUGGUAGGAGGUAUUGGAAGGGUACAAAGAGAAGUUCAGGUUGUAGAACCCGGAGUAGGGGAAGAGAGGAUUACUUCACAAGCAAUAGCAGGAAACGACGAAGUAAGCAUGACGGGAAUGAGAGCACAAGAAGGUAGAGUUUCCAAAGGGGCACUCGAGAGCAGACUGAGGACAGAACCAGCGGAUCGAGCGUUGGAACAAAGCAAUGCAGUACUUGGCAAUUUGGCAGGAGUUCAGGGGGUGCUGGAACAAGGUGCCGGGGAAGAGAGAAUUAAUCGGGUUAGACAGAGGACAGAACCAGUGGAGGAGGAUGUGGAGUGGAGGAGGAUGUGGAGAAUAGUCAAAGAUCAGUGCAGGUUGGUGCUGGAGCUAGAUCUUCUGAAAGUCUGAAAUACAACAAGACUAGAGGAGUUCCAUUACCUACUAGCUCUACAAAGCCAGUGGGUCAAGCAUUCGAAGAGAAUACGAAGGUGAUAUGGUCUUUCUUAAUGGAUGGGGAUGUCUCAAUCAUUGGCAUUUAUGGGAUGGGAGGAGUUGGUAAAUCCAAAAUACUGAAACAUAUCCAUAAUGAGCUUCUACAACAACCAGAUAUUUGUGAUCAUGUUUGGUGGGUGACUGUAUCUCAAGAUUUCAGCAUUAACCGACUGCAGAAUCUUAUUGCUGAACAUUUUGAUCUAGAUCUUUCAAGAAAAAAUGAUGAACUGCAUAGAGCUGCCGAAUUGUCAGAAAAAUUAAAAAAAAAACAAAAAUAGAUUCUCAUUUUAGAUGAUUUGUGGAACAAUUUUAAGUUACACGAAGUGGGAAUUCCUGAGAAGUUGAAAGGAUGCAAGCUGAUUUUGACAACCCGAUCAGAAAGAGUUUGUCAUGGAAUUGCUUGCAAUCACAAAAUCCAAGUGAAGCCACUUUUUGAGGGAGAAGCUUGGACGUUGUUCAAGGAGAAUCUUGGACGUGACAUAGCACUUUCAUUAGAAGUGGAAGGAAUUGCGAAAGAUAUUGCAAAGGAAUGUGAUGGUUUGCCAUUGGGAAUUAUUACAGUGGCAGGAAGCUUGAGGGGAGUGGAUGACCUCCAUCAGUGGAGGAAUACAUUGACGAAAUUGAGAGAAUCAGAAUUUAGGGAUAUAGAUGAGAAGGUAUUCAGGUUAUUGAGGUUUAGUUAUGAUCGGUUAGGUGAUUUAGCACUACAACAAUGUCUCUUGUACUGUGCAUUAUUUCCUGAGGAUGAUCAUAUUAAAAGGGAAGAGUUGAUAGGUUAUUUGAUCGAUGAGGGAAUAAUUAAAAGAAAGAGGAGCAGGGGAGAUGCAUUUGAUGAGGGCCACACGAUGCUUAAUAAACUUGAAAAUGUCUGUCUAUUGGAAAGUGCUAAAAUGGAUUAUGAUGGUAGUAGAUGUUUCAAGAUGCAUGACUUGAUUAGGGACAUGGCCAUCCAAAUACUGCUAGAGAACUCUCAAGGCAUGGUCAAAGCAGGUGCACAAUUAAAAGAGUUGCCAGAUGCAGAGGAAUGGAUGGAGAAUCUGACGAGAGUUUCAUUAAUGCAAAACGAGAUCGAAGAAAUUCCUUCCAGCUAUUCACCAAGGUGUCCCUAUCUAUCAACUCUAUUUCUACGUGAUAAUGACCGGUUGAGAUUUGUUGCGGAUUCAUUUUUCAAGCAAUUGCAUGGGCUCAAGGUCCUCGAUCUGUCUUACAAAGGUAUUGAAAAUUUGCCAGACUCUGUCUCUGAUUUGGUGAGUCUCACUGCAUUAUUGCUCAAAGAGUGUGAGAACUUACGUCAUGUUCCAUCAUUAGAGAAGCUCAGGGCACUGAAGAGGUUGGAUCUCUAUUGGACUCCGCUUAAAAAGAUGCCGCAAGGAAUGGAAUGCCUAACCAACCUGAGGUAUCUUAGAAUGAAUGGAUGUGGUGAAAAGGAGUUUCCCAGUGGGAUAUUACCAAAACUCUCUCACCUGCAAGUCUUUGUACUAGAAGAGUUAAUGGGGCAAUUUUCUGAUUAUGCUCCGAUAACAGUUAAAGGAAAGGAAGUACGAUCCUUGAGAAAUUUGGAAAGUUUGGAAUGCCAUUUCGAAGGUUUCUCUGACUUCGUGGAGUAUCUCAGAUCUCGGGAUGGGAUCCAAUCAUUAAGCAAAUAUACAAUUAUAGUAGGAAUGGUGGAUACAGAUAAGUGGAUUGGCACUUGUGCUUUUCCAAGUAAAACAGUUGGGUUGGGUAAUUUGAGUAUCAACGGAGAUGGAGAUUUUCAGGUCAAGUACUUAAAUGGCAUUCAAGGACUGGUUUGUGAAUGCAUCGACGCAAGAAGUUUAUGUGAUGUUUUGUCAUUAGAGAAUGCAACUGAACUUGAGCUCAUCAGAAUUGAGGAUUGCAAUAACAUGGAGAGCUUGGUUUCAUCUUCUUGGUUCUGCUCUGCUCCACCACCAUUGCCAUCAUAUAAUGGUAUGUUUUCUAGUCUUAAAAUGUUUUAUUGUUAUGGAUGUGAAAGUAUGAAGAAGCUGUUCCCGCUUGUGCUGCUACCAAACUUCGUUAACCUGGAAAGGAUUGUUGUUGAGGAUUGUAAGAAAAUGGAGGAGAUAAUAGGAACAACAGAUGAAGAAAGCAGCACCUCCAAUUCCAUCACGGAAGUCAUUCUCCCAAAGUUAAGAACUCUGAGAUUGUUUGAAUUACCAGAACUGAAAAGCAUUUGCAGUGCAAAACUGAUUUGCAAUUCUCUUGAAGAUAUUGAUGUAGAGGAUUGUCAGAAGCUGAAGAGGAUGCCAAUUUGUCUUCCGUUGCUUGAAAAUGACCAGCCAUCUCCUCCCCCUUCUCUUAAAGAAAUCACGGUAUAUCCAGAAGAAUGGUGGGAGACAGUAGUGGAGUGGGAGCAUCCUAAUGCAAAGGAUGUCCUUCGUCGCUGUGUAAGGUUUUGGUAGGAGGAGACUCCUCUGCUGCCCUUAAUAUAAUAUAAUAUAAUAUAGAACAGAGGGUAAGCAUCAUCUCUCUCAAUCGAAUUGUACCUUUCGUAUUGUUAAUCCUUUCGUUGUUAGAAUACUUCUUUGUUGCAUCAUUUAUCAAUUCUAUCCUAAUGCAAAGGAUGUCCAAAGGACCUUUUUCUCUCGAAAUAAUUAAUAUGUAGAAUGGUUAAUUACUAACCAUUACUCCGUUAAAUGUAAUAAUACGUAUCCUUCUUUUAUUAUAGGCUGGUUUAGAAUUCAGCUAAGACAUCUAAUAAAAUAUUUUUAUUCUUAGAAAUUUUGUGAAGAACAAUCAGAAAACUAAUUUAAUUAGGGAUUAAUUGAGUAAUUAAUUACCUUAACCUUACAGAGGAUUUUCUUUUAAAAUCCCAAUAGCCUGAUUCUUGGAUCACAGAAGCUUGAGACAUGGCAUUCUAACAACUUCACUUCAACUUUAUUUUAUAUUUAUAAUAAAUAAAAAGCAUGACUGUGUUGAGAAUCUAUUUUCUGUUUUUAUUUUUCAAAUUUGAGAUGACUCCUCAAAAAACAAUUCCAACCAAUUAUUUGCCCUGGAAUUUGGAUGAUGUGUAAUUACAAGUGGGCAAUAGGUGGAGCAGGAAUUGAGGUAGCUUGUUUCUGGCUUUUGCUUCUCUGGGUAUGAUUUAUUGGGCUAGUUUAUAGGAUUUUUGUCCUUUCUGUUAAUUUUAUAUUAAUUUUUUUAAUUUUUAAUUUAAUUAUUUUUUUGUGUUUUCAAAUUGUUUUGAUGUGUUGAUAUUAAAAAUAAUUUUUUAAAAAUAAUAAUAAAAUAUUAUUUUGAUACAUUGCCAAAUAAAAGAUAUUUUGAAAAAUAAUUGAUAUUGUACUCUCAAACAUCCUUAAAUGCUCUAUUAUUGAAAUAAAAUGCUAAAAUGUGAAUAGAAAUAAUAGAAAUUAAUGUGUAUUUUUGAAUUAAAUUUCUAUUUACUUUGAUAUACUCUUGAACAGGUCUUUAUGUUUGAUUUCAGAGUUUAUAGAAGAGCAAGUCAAGGCCCAAUCAAAUUCAAAGGAGUCGUGAAAUUCACUUGAAACCAGCCUGGAUACACUUAAGUAUUUUAAUCACAACUUUUCACUCACAUAUCAGAUUGCUGUGAUUCUUGACGUGUUGGAAAGGUGUCUUAAAGGGCUACAAAUUAGCCUCUAAUGAGGAUUUCGAAAGAAGAACUCCUAAAGCAUGUACACGGGGAUCAUGGAGACGUGAUGAAAAAGGAGGGCUGCUUCCUUUAGAAAAAGGGAUAUUUGUUGGCAAUUGCGCCAGAGAAAAAAAAAAGAAAAAAAAAGAAAAAGGAGAGCAGGCAAGGAAAGGAAUGGCUAAUACAGUGAUGUGUAGCGAAAUUGUUCAGAUUUCCAAUUAUUCCAACUCUUUUGUUUUAUCAUUCUCGAAGUCCAAACAACAACGGUACUGCCAAGAUUGCUAUGCCCGCAAUUAAAAUAUAAUUUAUUUUUAUUUUUGGAAUUAUGUUUGAGUGCAUUUAAAAAUCUGUUUAUUUUAAAAAAAUAUUAAAUUUGAGUGCAUUUAAAAAUUUGUUUAUUUUAAAAAAAUAUUAAAUUAAUAUUUUUUAAUAUAUUAAUAUUAAAAAUAAAAAAAAUAUUUUGAUUACUAAUAACGAAUAGUUAAGAGACGUACUGGUUGACUCACAUAUUAACUGAUUAACCUGAGUAAAAAACAAAACCACAUCAUAUUAUUUAUUUAUAAAAACUAAAACGAUGGUAUUUAUUUUAAAAAAAACUAAAAUAACAAUGUUUUUUAAAAUAUUUUUAUUUUAAAAAAGUUUCACAUAGUUGUAGAUAAAAAAAAAUAUUUUAAUUUAGCAACGAUAAAGAAUCCAUAAGAAAGAUAUUAUACAGUUAUUAAUUUUCAUUAAAAGAAAAGCUAAGAGACUUGGGAGAACACCUAUUUAUUCACACCUAUUUCAUUGUAAAUUAUAAUAAGUAAUCUAAUGUGUUUUGUUUUUUUUUUUUGUUUUUUUUAUUAGUGGGCUGAUUUAAAAUUCAACUUUGUAAUUUAUUUAUUUUUAUUAUGUUUUUUAUAAGAUUAAUAUAAUUUACAGGUUUGUUAUAAUAACUCAAAUUAUAUUAAUUUACUGAUUUAAUAUUUUAAAAAAAUUAAUCCAGCACGGAAAAACACUAGCCACCAAAACUAGCACUAGGUUUUGUUCAUUAAAAGUAAGGAUGGAGUCUUUGACUAGCACUAGGUUUUGUAAAGCAAGGAUGGAGUCUGUGACUGCGUGUGCCUCUAAUCAGCAACAGAUUGGUAACGGCAACGAUUGAAAACCUUUAAUUUGUCUUCUAAUUUUUUCCCUAUUAGUAAUUGUUACGUAAUCAGAUUCGCUUCAUGUUCAAUAAUUGUUUUUUUAUUUUUUAAAAUUUAUUUAUUUUAUUUUUAAUAUUAAUAUAUUAAAAUUAUAAAAAAACAUUAAAAAAAUCUAUUUAUCUUUUUUAAAAAACAACUAAAAACAAAAGCAAUCACCUGCUCUUAAUUAAUCACAUCUUUAAUAUUUAAAACAUUGUUAAAGCACACGUUUUUCAAAAACUUUGAAUUUUUUUCUUUUUAAAUUAUUAUUUUUUUAUGAAUGAUGAAAAUAGUCCUUUAAAUCAACAAGGAUAUUUUUAUUAAUUGAUAUUAAAAUUACUUGCAUGAUGCUUUUGGAUUAAAGAUGCUCAAUGGUUGGAUUUGGGUCGGUUUGAAAUUGUAUUGCCAAUUCCAUAUUUCAAAGAAAAAUCGAAGCCUAACAUGAAUUCAUAGAAAGAGCGUUUAUUAAUAUGAAAUAUUUCUUUUUUAUAUUGUGUUCUUACAAUUACAUAAAUAACAUUUUUCAUUUUUUUAUUUAUUUCAUUAUCUUUUUAAGACUAUUCAUAUAUAUAUUUUUUAACUCGAUAGAUAAGUAAUUAUAAUUUGAAGUUUAAUUAAUAUUAUAUUUUCAUCCUAUUGAGUUUCUCCAAGAUAAAAAUCCAAAAAAUAAUAAAAAACAAUAUAUUGAUUUAUCAUUAAAGUAACCUAAUAAAGUAAUAUGUCUAUUCAUCAGUACAAAUCAUCUUAUAUCAUUAACUAGCAAUAAAUUAUUCUUUUAAAAUAUAUAAGAAAAACAAAUUAAAGAGAGAAGACAAUUUAAAAAAAGAAUGACAAUCGAAUUACAUGACUUGGAAUUUUGAAAUUUUUAUAAGGAUAUAUUUAGAAUAAAAUUUCAUACCUCUAUCUAUUUUCCUACUACAAAAAUUCAUUCUAUUUUUCUACAUUCGUCAAGAUUUUUUAAUCUGUAUUUUUAAGUUUUUUCUGUAUUUAUAGAAACAAAAAAAAAACUAAAAGGAUUGGUUAAUCAACUCCUCAAGAUUUUUUAAUUUGUAUUUUUUAAGUUUUUUUUUUGUCUUUAUGAACAACAUAAAGUUGUUUUUUCUGUCCAUUUACAAAAAUAUAUAUCAAAAUGAAGUUUUCUACUUAGUGCCUGGUGGUUUUGUCUGAAUAAAAGGGAUAGAUGCUAAGUUCUGAGUUCAAGGAAGAGAGACAAAAAGUGGAAGGGACAACUGUGUCGAUUGUUCUCUUGAUCUGAGCUUAUUCUGUAUCAUUUUGUUGGCUGCAUUAAUUAUACCUUCACCUCCAUACGCAACUCCUCUUCAUCUCUUAAUGUUAAUAAAAAUGUAAGAAUUUAGGAACAUUUUCACAAUGAAGAUUAACUCAUCUCCAUAGCAUAAUACAGGAAAUAGAAGAUCCAUUCAUUUCAUCGCAUCUCUUCGAACAUUCUUGAAUUCUGGUCAAUCCAAAUCACAACAAAUAUCGUAAACAUGUUAAAAGUAUUCUUCUACCUCAAUGAAUUUCAGUAAAACUACUACACAGAAGAUGAGUUUUGGUUUCUAAACCUGAAACUGCCAUCAUAAGAACUAGCUAGGGAAGUUAGGAUGAGCUUUUCUUGUCAUUAUAUCACUUUUUUCUGCUAAGAUAAUGCUCUCUAUAUUCUCUGCUACUAUUGCUUAUAAUUUUCUUGCCUCUGGUAUCUUUUCCAACCCAUUUGAGGGAUGCUUGUCGAAUAGAGUUGACCUAGGAAUCCAGAAGUUAUUGGUGACAGAGGAUUUGGAUCCUUUUUCGAGAAAAAGUGAGUUGAACUGUUACAUUUUGUUUACAUUAUCUUGUUGCACUAAAUCAAGAAGUUUACUAGACUUUUUAUUCUGUAAAUUUGCUUUCUGAAUGCUGAGCAUUUUAAACGACCAUGUGAUCGGAGAGAUUUGAUUCUCAUAUAAUUGUUGGCAGCUUAUUUGUGAGCCAAGAAGUAUUAUUGAAUAAAAAUACUUUUAUUCUUUAUUUUCGGCUGGAAAGUGAAUUGAACAUUUAUUAGCUGAGUUUUCUUCUCCAUUUUAUUGAAUAAAAAUGAUUUUUUUUCUGAUUUUAUUAAGUUUUUUUAUAAGCCUGAUAAUUUGUCAGGUAAUUUUAGUAGAGUCAUUACCUAUGUAUGCUGGUCAAAAGUCAUUCCCAUCAAUAAGAUGGAGUAGCAUGAACAAUUUAUUUAUUUAUUUGUGGUUUCUGCUAACGAUUUGUUUGAUGAUUAAUAUCGAUUUAUUUCCACUUUCAUAGUAGCCUAGGUGUGUUUUUUCCGGAAUGGUUAUGAGCAUUUUUCCAAUCUGCUGGGGGUGAUGUUGGUGAUUUUUAAUCUUGGGCUUUUGGCGAGGCUUCACGCUGCUACCUUUUUCGUUCAUGAAUUUGAGAUUAAAAAAAUCACCAAAAAGCUUGGAAAAAGAUAAAAAGUUAUUGGUUGAUAAUUUUUCAACAACAAAAAAACACGAUCUUUGUAUUAAUGGAAAAAUCAUGUGCAGAUUGGAUAGCAAAUCAUAAGCAUAUGUUUGGAAUUAUAAUAGCGGUUAUAAGAUAUUAAUUUGAUAAAAUUUGAUCGAUCCAAUCAAACUUAGUUUAUAUCUGAUUAGAUUAAUUAAAAAAAUAAAAUGAUAUUAUUUUAAUAAAAAUAAUUAAUUUGAAUUAACUUAAUAAAUGACAUAUAAUAUUAAAAAAUUAUCUUAAACCAAAAAAUUUAAACAGAUUUAAAAAUAUUAUAAUGUUACUUUCUCAUAAUUUAGUAAGGAUUUGGAAGAUAUAUAUUCAAAAACAAAUUUUAUCAUGAAAUUAAGUUAUUUAAAAAAUCUGAGUCAAUUAGAACAUUGUUUGGUAAGGUGAUGGACCAUAACAAAAACAUUAUUUUUUAUGUUUUUAUUGGCAAAAUAAAGGUAUAACCAUAUUACAUCAUGUUGCCAAACAAACACAAAUCUUGAAUUUUAUUUUUAUUUGUUUUUUUUUUUAAAUUGAAAAGGCAAAUAUACUAUCAUGGACUAAGAUAAUAUUUGAUAUUGUAGUAAUGAUUUUUUUCAAAGUAUUUUUUGUUUGGAAAUUUAUUGAAAUAAUAUUUAUAUUUUAUAUUAGUAUAUCAAAAUAAUGCAAAAAUAUUAAAAAAAACAUUAAUUUGAAGCCAAACAAAUAAUAAGAAUAUUUUCACCUCGGAUUGUAUCUCUUCAUCUUUAAAAUUGUAUCUAAAAAAAUAACUAAUAAAGUGUAAUUAAUUAAUCUAAUGCUGGAAUUAUUAUUUACCCUGGAAUUUGGAUGACGUAUAAUUCCAAGUGGGCAUGCUGCAUUUCUUAGCCAAUGAAACUAUAAUUUCUUCAUAAUUUUUCAAGUUCCAACAAUAAAUGUAAUUUUCGAACUAUUAAAUAUAUUAAAAUCUUAAAUGAUAACUUGAAAAAUAAAAUCAUUCAUCAAUCAAUUUAAGAUUUCUACACUGUAAUUUGUUAAUAUUAGUUAAAAAAAAUAUAAAUUUUAUGUAAAUAAAAAUAAUUUAAUUAACUGGUGUGGUGAAUCUCACUUCAUAACGAAUUCAUAUAUCGGUCCAAUAAAUUAGGUCCAAUUUAAUUAACUUGUGUGGUGUAUAUAUAUAUAUAUAUAAAAAUAAUCAUCAAUAGUUUUGACAUUAGAAGUCAAUUCACCAACAACUUAAAAAUUCAACCUCUUUAAUAAAAAUACUUUUUAUAUUAAAAAAGUUGAAUUUUCCAUGAAUGAUUGGUGAGAGAAUUUUUAUUGAUUUCAUAUAAUAAUAAUAGUUUUUUUUGUAAAAAUGAUACCGAGAAAAAAUAAUCACAAGUAUACAAGACAAAAUUCAACCUCUCCACAUUGAUGUGUUAGGUUGGAAUCCUUAAACUGUUUUUGCCACAGUUCUUCGACUAGGUUUUAAGUUUAGAUUUUGACUUGUUAUAUAUUUUUUAAAUUGAUUUUUUUUAAAAAAAUCAUUAAUAUCUUUCCUUACGGUAAAUAAAAAAAACAUAAUUCAUUCUUCUAUUUAGAAGAUAUUUGGAAUCAUUUGCUGGAUCUAUUUUCUGUUUUUAUUUUCAGAUUUUAAAAUGACCCCUCGGAAAACAAUUCCAACCAAUUAUUUGCCAUGGAAUUUGGACGCUGUAUAAUUCCAAGUGGGCAUGCUGCAUUUCUUAGCCAGGUGUAGCAAGAAUUGAGGUAGCUUGUUUCUGGCUUUUGCUUCUCGGGGUAUGAUUUGUUGGGCUAGUUUAUAGGCCUUUUGCACUAGGGUUUUUGUCCUUUCUGCUAAUUUAUCUAAAUAUAGGCUUUAGAAUUUUUUUAGAGUGUAUUUGGUAUUGCGGUAGUUGUUGUGGUUGUUGUUUAAAAAAAAUUGUUUUAUAAAAAGUACUUUUAGUUGUGAUUGGUUUGAAAAAAUAGGUGUUUGGUUAAAACUGUGGUUGAAAUUGAGGUUGAAGAAAAAGUAGUUUAAUGUGUUUGGUUAAGAAUGUUUUUGAAAUUGAGGUUAUAAAAUAAUUUAAAAAAAUAUAAAUUAAUAUUGAUGGUUUUUAAUUUAAAUAUUGUGGAUUUAACUAUUGCGGUAACAUUAUGAAAUAAAUCAUACUUUAUAUAUAAAAAAAUUUAUUGUUCUAUUAAACUAUCUACAAUUCCAUUACGUACAAAAUUUAUCUGACAAGAAAUACAGUUUCCAUAAUUUUUUAGCGUGUAAUAAAAUUAGAUAAAAUAUUAUCAUGUAUAAAAUUCACUCUAAAUUAGUUUUUUUAAAAAAAAUUAACAAAAAAAAAAACUUAACACACUAAAAAAAAUAAAAUAAUAAUAAUAAUAUUCACGCAGUGCAAGUGAACAGUGCAAGAAAAGUGCACUGUUCACUAUUUUUAACAUGAACAGUGCACUUUUCGUGCACUGUUCAUGAACAGUGCAUCAUUUUGCGCUGUUUAUGUUAAUUGCAUUGUUCAUUGAACAGUGCAAUUACGUGAACAGUGCAAAAAAAGCAUGUAAUUCUUGCUUUGCAAAUACUGCGUUUCCAACGCAGAAAACAGGUGGGACCCAGUGAACAGUAAACUGCUUUUUUUAGUAACCAAACGGCUACAACUGUGUUUUAAAAAAAACACAGCCGCAGAGCCGAACGGGCUCUUAAUGAAACUAGCGUUCUUGAUUUCUUGGCGGUAGAAAUAACAGGACUAUUAUUAAAUUAAAAUUAAAAUUAAAAAAAAGUCAGCUCAGACUUUUACCAUGUACCAAUAGAGAAAACACGGCGUCUCUCUGUUUUUUUUUUAAGCAUUUUUGCUUUUAAUUUCAUUAUAAUAAUUUAUUUCAAUAAGCUUAUUAUGCUUAUUAUGAAGCUCUCACAGACAAGUCAAGGCCCAGAGUCGUGAAAUUCACUUUGAACCAGCCUGCACGCACUUAAAAUAGUAAUGUUGGGGAGAUGAUUUUUAAAAUUUUGAUCCCUAGAGUUUUUGCAUCUUUUAUUUUUAAUUUUAAUUUUGAUUUAAAAUUUCAUAUUAUUCAUUUUCAUGUUGUUCGUUUUUUGGUUCAAGAUGAAAGAAAGAAAGCAACAAAAAAAACUUUGAAAAAGAUAAAAAAUUAUUGGUCGACAACUUUCCGGCAACAAAAACACGUACAGUAUCUUCGUAUCAAUGGAAAACCGGUGUGCAGAUUGGAUAGCAAAUCAAGCUUCACAGUAGAUGUUGAAGUUUUCUACUGCACUGAAGCUCCCUAUGGUUGUUUGAAGCUAAAGCUUGAUGGCGUUCCUGGGGUUUUGAUGAGUGCACGAUAUUGCAUUCUAAAUGUUCUAUCAUUGGAAUAAAAUGCAAAAAUGUGAAUAAAAAUAAUUGAAAUUAAAGGGUAAGUCAAGGUCCAGAGUCGUGAAAUUCACUUUGAACCAUCCUGGACGCACUUAAAGUAGUAAAGUUUUUUUUUCUUGGAAACAGCCUGAAUGCACUUUUAAGUACUUUAAUCACAACUUUCCACUCACAUGUCGGAUUGCUGUGAUUCUUGACGCGUUGAAAAGGUUUCUUGAAGGGCUACAAAUUAGUCUCUGAUGAGGAUUUCAAAAAAAGAAGAACUAAAGCAUGUACGUCGCUGCCACAGAAGUCCUAAAAUCUAGGUUUUGAUGAAAACGUGUGGACCAUGGAGACGUGAUGAAAAGUGGGGCUGCCUCCUUUAGAAAAAGAAAUCUAGGUUAACUUGAUUAUGUCGUGAACAGGAUAUUAAACCGAAAUAACUCUAUAAAAUAAUAAACAAAAUCAUGAAACUCACCUCAUAUCCUAAUAUUAAAAAAUAUUGAAAAAAUAUAAUUUUUUAAAUGAAAAAAAAACUAAAAGUAAAUCAAACUAAUUUUUGAAACAUGUGACUCGGGUUUCACCUUCUGCUAUCUGCCUAGCAGUGAUAUAAAACGAUUUGAGUCCAUAUUGGAAGGAAUAGCAUCCACGAGGAAGUCCAAAUUAAUUAAAUGCGUAGGCCUCCUCUUUCUUCAAUCUUCUGCUGCUGUGAUUAUUAAAGCCUUGCCAAUAAUUACAGAUCAUAGCAUCCACGAGGAUGACGUUCAUUAAAUUUUUCUCUACAGUCAAUCUUUUUCCUUGACAAGCACAGGCAGGCAAUAUUAGUGGUAAAAUUUGGGAUGUUAAUUCCUUGACAAGCACAGGCAAUAUUGUUGAUUCAACUUUCCAAAAUGUAAUCUUUAGCCACCACAAAGCUUCACACACACACACACACACACACGAGUGUGAAAGUUUAUACACUUCAAAGUAAAGUUAAAGACAAGAGCAUAUAUAAUUGUUAAACCCCGUAUGAUUUGUUUCUGGCUUGUGCUUCUCUGGGAAUGAUUUGGUGGGCUAGUUUAUAGCUCUUUUGCACUAGGGUUUUUGUCCUUUCUACUAAUUUAUCUAAAUACAGGAUUUAUAAUCUUGAUGAAUGAAACUAGCAUUCUCGAUUUCUAGGUGGUAGAAAUAAUAGGACUAUUAUUAAAAUAAAAAUAAAUAAAUAAAUAAAUAAAUAUGCUCAGACUUUUACCAUGUACCAAUAGAGAAAACACCGCGUUUCUCUGUUUUUUUUUAAAAAAUUAUUUUUAUUUUAAAUUUUAUCAUAAUAGUUUAUUUCAAUAAGCUUAUUAUGCUUAUUAUGAAGCUAUUAAGAAAAAACAUUUCAAUGUAGAGUUGAAGCUCUCACAGACAAGUCAAGGCCCAGGAGUCGUGAAAUUCACUUUGAACCAGCCUGGACGCACUUAAAAUAGUAAUUUUUUUCUAUUUUUUUAAUUUGUCUCCGUGGAGACUCGAUACCCCAAAGUCGGGCUACAAUCACCACAAAAAUCUUUGUAUUUUUAACUGACAAAAAGUCACUGAAAAACUCGGAAAAAUAUGGAAAAUUAUUGGUUGAUAAUUUUUGGCAAAAAAAAAAAAAAAACUAUCAUCUUUGUGCUAAUGAAAAACUGGCGUGCAGAUUGGAAAGCAAAUCAUACUUUAUAGAUCGAGGGCUAAAAUAUACAUUUGUAGAAGGGAGUUGGGAAGAAAAUAAAUUUUCAUGGGUAUGGAAAAGUUCGAUGACGAGAUGUUUUGAAAGAGAGGGGUAUGACGUUCAUUGUACAUUGACUGAUGUAUCUUUUUAAAUUUUGUUUUUAGUAUUUUUAGAUUAUUUUAAUAUAAUAAUAUUAAAAAUAAAUUUUACAAAAUAAAAAAAUUACCAAACACACCUGCAAGCGAAUAUUGGUUGACUCAAAACCUUUAAUUUGUCUUUUAAUUUCUUUGUAUCCCAAUUAGUAAUUGCUACGUAAUUAGAUUUGGAGCCUCACUAUCAUUUGCACACUUAAUCUAGCCUUGUCAGAGCUGAUUUAUCUUUACAGUUGUUUUUUAAAAAUAAUUUUUUAAUAUUUUUAGAUUAUUUUGAUGUGUUGAUAAAAAAUAAAUUAUUUUAAAAAAUUAUUUUAAUAUAUUUUUAAAUAAAAAAUAUUUUUUAAAAAAAUUCACAGCAUGCAGAAAUAUGCUAUUCUUUUUAGAAAAUUUCAUGUGUUUACAUUUUCUUGGCAGCUUCUUCGAAACUUCAACAUUGGAGCGCGUCCACGCGUUAAUUAAUUAUUAUUGAGGCGACCUUACUAAUAAAUAAUAGUAUGUAAAUUCUCUUCCACAUCUCAUCCCACAAUAGAAUUCCCUAUUUUCCUUUCCCAUCUCAUGAUCAGUGCGAACUAGAUUUAUGUAUACUGCAAGUACUUUAUUAUUUUUCUAAGCCAUAUAUUCUUCUCUGAUCUGUGAUUUCUCUCUCUGUUUUUUUUUUGGCUGAAUACUGCUCAAGCGAACCAGCACUUGAAUCCAGGUAAAUGAUUUUGUCAAUUUGAGUUAAGCAGCCAUGAUUGUUUUUGUUCACCCGUCAAAAAAAUCAGCUCUUCUACCUUCCUUCCCCUGCUUUCUUCAACAGCUAUCCUCUUCUGCAUCUUUCUAUCUAUCAUUCUAGAGUUUUAGGAUAGAAUUUGAGUAUGAUAAUUUAGCUUUAAAUACAAAGGGUUAAAUCAUUAACAACAACAUUUAUAUUUCCUAUUUUUCAUCCGAAUUUCUUUAACAAACAAGAAAGUCAUAUAUAUGUUCUUUUCUGAUCUGUGCUUUCUGUUCUUUUUAAACCUCUGUACGUACUAAUCAUCUUCUACUUGUGGUCAGAUGGAAGGGUUCCUACCAUCUUCUAUGGAGGAUGAUGUCAACUUUACAUCGAAUCAGUUCGAUCUUCAAUCACUACUGUCGGAGCUUGAGCUUCUCUCGUACGUCAUUUUUAAGCAUAUUUUAUCAGAAGAUGAUUGCUUGCAAUUUAGUUAUUCUUCAGUUUAUCGUUUUAUUCCCAAAAAACAAUAUAAUGUCGUCACUGACUGUGGAAGCAGGCCGCCACCGGAGGUUCCAGUCAACCAAAGCUUCAUGUUAUGCAAUGAUCAUGUUGGACAGAACAUGGUGGUGGAUAACAAUGUGAUCAACGAUAGUAUUCAACAAACAACUGUGUUUCCACCUUCAUUUCCUCAAACCAUGGUGAGUGCUCAUGCCUACUCCAAUUUGCUACAAUGUCCAUUGAAUUGGCAAGUGUUUGUAUUAUACAAAAAGAUUUAUCUAAUUGUUUAUUGUUUAACAAACAGACAACAAUGGGAGGUUUGAAUGGAACAUCAUCAUCAUGGAUCAACCAAAAUGAACCAAAUUGGCCUCAAACUGAACCAAAUCAGCCGGGACAUGACUAUAUGACACCGAACGCAACCACUUCACAACAUGGUGGCUUCAUUCAACCUGAACCUUCUUUUCCUCCUCUCCGGUAUCCAAUUUUUCAUAUUUAGUAUUUUCUGUUAAAAAAAAAUUAGUUUUUCAAUUAGGAAAGCAACAUCAUAGCUUGGACAUGAACCCAGCAAGAUAAUCAUAAGUUUGUAAUGCUUCAUAUUGCUUGCGAAUGAUUUUGGAUUCAGGAGUCCAUUUCUUUCUAAUCAAGGACAAGACGAUCAAGCUGCUGUAAUUCCUAACAUAGACAAUAUGCAACAAGAGAACAUCGUGCCUCGGCACUUUGGCAACUCUACUAGGUACUGAUUGACCUCUAGCUGUUGUGUUUUAACACACUACGUAUUAAUACCCUUUUGAUAAUUAGAUACCACCAAUUAUCGAAAGGUUUUAUAAUAUGAUCACAUCAUUUAUAUAUAGGUCACAGAUGGAUAAUCUCCAAGUCCGAGGAUUGCAAAAUCAAACUGCUAGGCCAAAUGCCUCAAAUCCUGGCCUUGGCACUUCCCUGCAAAGUCAAAAUAGGGGUUUAAAUACUCAACAAGUAAGAAGUAUAACUGAAUUAUUGUCGUCUUUUUUUCCCCUUUGACUGUGCUAUAAACUAACUAUCAAUUUUAAUAGCAAAAUAAGGGUAACUUGAUCCGUUAAUUUUUAUUCCAUAUUUUGACCGAUUUUUAUUCUAUAUUUGACUUUUUUUUUUCUUUUUCUUCUAUAGGUCAAAAUGGUUGGAUCAAAUCUGUUAUUGUUUCAAUAUUUUUUUUUAAAAAAAUUAUUGUCUAGAAAUUUUUUUAAAAGCUAAGCCAUGUUUUACUAGUUUUCUAAGUUGUAUUUGGAUAUUGAUCGAUUUAAAUUGAGUUAAUUUCCAUAUAAUUUAAUUAAAAAUUUAAAUUAAAUAAAAAGUUAGGUUAGAAGAUUUUAAUAUUAACUCCCCUGACCAGGUUUAAUAAUAUUGCCAACAAACUUUCUUCACUCUUAACAUUUUAUUUUUAUAUUUUAAAAAAAUUAAUCCCCUAGAAAAACUAGGACAUAUUAUUGAGUGUAGGUUUUGUUUAUUAAAAGUAAGGAGUCUUUGACUGCAUGUAAUGGCAUCGACUGAAAACCUUUAAUCACAUGCUAUUAAUCACAUAUUUAAUCUGUUAUUGUUAGAGCACAUGCUUUUCAAAAACUUUGAAUUAUUUUCCAUUUAAAUUAUUAUUUUUUUAUUAAAAAUAAAUUUUAAAAAAUAAAAAAAUUAUUAUUUUAAUUAUUUUAAAUAAAAAAUAUUUUAAAAAGCAAAGUAUAUUAUUGUUUCUCAUAUUCAUGUAUUUACAUUUUCUAGGCAUCUUCUAAGCAUCAUAAUUGGGUAGGUAAAGUAGUGUUUUUAACUCCUUUUCUUUUCCAAUUAAUGGGACUGCCAUUCAUUAAUGGGACAUAUUUAAUCUUUCAUGUAUUUACCUCAGUAAUCCACUCAUAUAUAUAUAUAUAUAUAUAUAUAAUUUGCUAUGUGCUUUCUGUUCUUUUUUCACCUCAGUAUGUACUAAUCAUCUUGUACUUGUGGUUAGAUGGAAGGGUUCCCACCAUCUUCUAUGGAUGACUUGACAGAGUUCGAUCUUGAAUUACUAUUUCUCUCGUACGUCAUUCUUAAACAUAUUUUAUCAGAAGAUGAUUGCUUGCAAUUUAGUUACUUCAGUUUAUCCUAUUAUUGACAAAAACUAAUAAUGUCACUGUCCAUGGAAGCAGGCUGCCACCGGAGGUUCCAGACAUCCAAAGCUCCAUAUUAUGCAAUGAUCAAGAUGGACAGAACAAUGUGACCAUGGUGAGUACUAAUUCUUACUCCAAUUUGCUGCAAUGUCCAUUGAAUUAGCAAGUGUUUGUAUUAUACAAAAAGUUUUUAUGUUCUUAUCUCGAGCAUCUUCAAAUUGUUUAUUGUUAAACAAACAGACAACAAUGGGAGAUUUAGACAUUUUUUUAUGAUAUUUUUUUAUCAUUAAGUUUUAUAUAAAAUUGGCCUCAAACUCUAUCAAGGCAUCAUAAUUCCUUUAUUCAUCAACCUCAGACGGGACAUAUGACACAGAACGCACCCACAUCACAACAUGGUGAAUUCAAUCAACCUGGACCUUCUUUGCCCGCUCCCAGGUAUCCAAUUUUUCAUGUUUAGUAUUUUCUGGAAAAAAAAAUUUAGUUUUUCAAUCAUUAUGUAACUUCUUCUUCUUCUUCUUCCUCUUGUCGUUGUACUUAUCAGUGAAUUCAUUAUGUUUGAAUAUAGGUAUCAGCCUAAUCCUAAUUUAUUUGAUCCUCAAUGUGUCAAUCCCAUGCUGCCUGGACCAUCAAUGCCUUUGUGGUAAGCUAAAAUGAUAUCAAAUGCUUAGUGGAUUAAUAGCGAAGAAUUAUGCAUGUGUAUAAAGAAAUUACUAACAAAUGUUGCUAAUUUAGGGACCAACAAUUGACUAAUUAUCAGUUACCAAUGAGCAAUCGAGUGCCUACCUUAAACUUUUUUAAUCAAUGGUAUUAACCUCGAAUAUAUAUACACUUUUUUAUGUUUAGUAUUUUCUAUAAAAAAAAAAUUAGUUUUUCAAUCAGGAAAGAAACAUCAUAUCUUGAACAUGAACCCAACAAGCUAAACAUAUUGUUUGCAAAUGAUUUUGGAUUCAGGAGUCAAUAUUUUUCUAAUCAAGGACAAGUCGAUCAAGCUGCUGUAAUUCCUAACAUAGACAAUGUGCAACAAGAGAACUUCGUGCCUAGGUACUGAUUGACUUCUAGCUGUUGUGUUUUAACACCAUUAACUUUUACUGCUUAAGAGAGACUACCAAUUAUGGAAAGGUUUUAUAAUAUGAUCACUUCAUUUAUAUAUAGGUCACAGAUGGAUAACCUCCAAGUCCGAGGAUUGCAAAAUCAAACUGCUAGGCCAAAUGCCUCAAAUCCUGGCCUUGGCACUUCCCUGCAAAGUCAAAACUAGGGGUUUAAAUACUCAACAAGUAAGAAGUAUAACUGAAUUAUCGUCGUCUUUUUCCCUCCUAUGAUUGUGCAAUAAACUAACUAUCAAUUUUAAUAGCAAAAUAUGGGUAACAACACUGAAGUAGUAGUUUCUCAUCCAUCUGGAUAUGGUGUAACUUGCAUCAAUUUUUAUUCUUUAUUUUGACCUACCUUUUUUUUUAUAUAGGUCGAAAUGGUUAGAUCAAAGGAUCCAUUUUGGAAUUAUAUUGAAGAUAGGACUGAUGGUAGCAUGAAGUGUAAGUUUUGUCCACAUACAUUUGCCAAUAAAACCUCCAUUUCAAGGAUCAAAUGGCAUUUAUCAGGAGAGGAAGGGCAUAAUGUUGCCAUUUGUCAUGGGGUGCCUAAAGAAGUUCAAGAAGCAGCCUGGAAAGCUAUGUGUGGUGGCAACAAAAGACAUAAAAUCACAGCAGGUUCGAUCAAUGUUAAUGAUUGUGGAAUUUCAACAAUGGUAGGAGGAAUUGGAAGGGUACAAAGAGAAGUUCAGGUUGUAGAACCCGGAGUAGUGGAAGAGAGGAUUUCUUCACAUGCAAUAGCAGGAAACGACGUAGUAAGCAUGACCGGAAUGAGAGCACAAGAAGAUGGAGUUUCCGAAGGGGCACUCGAGAGCAGACUGAGGACAGAACCAGUGGAUCGAUCGUUGGAACAAAGCAAUGCAGUACUUGGCAAUAUGGCAGGGGGAGCUAGAAGGAUACAAGUGGGAGUUCAGGGCAUGGAACAAGAUCCAGGAGAAGAGAGAAUUCAGUCGCAUCUACAAGCGGAAAAUGGCAUGGAAAACACUGGUGAAGGAUCUUUUCAGCAUGAUGCAUUUGAGACUGUACCAAGAACAGAGAAAGUGCAGACUCUGGAGCCUCGAUGAGAUUCAUCCCAAUUUUGUCAUGGCAUUGGAAGAUGUUAUGAUCAACCUUGUGCUCCAUCAGGAAACAAUGAUGUAACUAGUCAUGAUGAGCAGCAUAUGGUUAGAGUGAGGACACAACCAGUGCAGAAAGAGGAGGAUGUGGAAAAUAGUGGAAGAUCAGUAGUGCAGGCUGGCGCAGGAGCUAGAUCUUCUGAAAGUCUGAAGUACAACAAGACUAGAGGAGUUCCAUUACCUACUAGCUCUACAAAGCCAGUGGGUCAAGCAUUUGAAGAGAAUACGAAGGUGAUAUGGUCUUUGUUAAUGGAUGAUGAAGUCUCAACCAUUGGUAUUUAUGGGAUGGGGGAGUUGGUAAAACAACAAUACUAAAACAUAUCCAUAAUGAGCUUCUACAAAGACUAGAUAUUUAUGAUCAUGUUUGGUGGGUGACUGUGUCUCAAGAUUUCAACAUUAAUAGAUUGCAGAAUCUUAUUGCUACACAACUUCAUCUAAACCUUUCGAGAGAAGAUGAUGAUCUGCAUAGAGCUGCCAAAUUGUUAGAAGAACUAAAGAAAAAACAAAAAUGGAUUUUUAUUUUAGAUGAUUUGUGGAACAAUUUUGAGCUUGAGGAAGUGGGAAUUCCUGAGAAGUUGAAAGGAUGCAAGUUGAUUAUGACAACUCGAUCAGAAAUGGUUUGUCAUCGGAUGGCUUGCCACCGCAAAAUCAAGGUGAAACCACUUUCUGAGGGAGAAGCUUGGACUUUGUUCAUGGAAAAACUUGGACGUGACAUAGCACUUUCACGAGAAGUGGAAGGAAUUGCGAAAGCUAUUGCAAGGGAAUGUGCUGGUUUGCCAUUGGGAAUUAUUACAGUGGCAAGAAGCUUGAGGGGAGUGGAUGACCUGCAUGAGUGGAGAAAUACAUUGAAGAAAUUGAGAGAAUCAGAAUUUAAGGACAAGGAAGUAUUCAAGUUAUUGAGGUUUAGUUAUGAUCGGUUAGGUGAUUUAGCACUACAACAAUGUCUCUUGUACUGUGCAUUAUUUCCCGAAGAUGAUAGGAUUAAGAGGGAGAGGUUGAUAGGUUAUUUGAUCGAUGAGGAGCAUGAAAGAUGCAUUUGACGAGGGCCACACGAUGCUUAAUAAACUUGAAAAUGUCUGCCUAUUGGAAAGUGCUCAAAUGAUGUCUACAGGUAGUAGAUAUGUCAAGAUGCAUGACUUGAUUAGAGACAUGGCCAUCCAUAUACUGGUAGAGAGCCCUCAAUACAUGGUUAAAGCAGGUGCACAAUUAAAAGAGUUGCCAGAUGCAGAGGAGUGGACGGAGAACCUGACGAUAGUUUCACUAAUGCAAAACAGAUUUGAAGGAAUUCCUUCCAGCCAUUCACCAAAAUGUCCAAAUCUGUCAACUGUAUUUCUAUGUGAUAAUGAAGGGUUGGGAUUUAUUGAGGAUUCAUUUUUCAAGCAAUUGCAUGGGCUCAAGGUCCUCGAUCUGUCCUGGACAGUUAUUAAAAAUUUGCCAGACUCUGUCUCUGAUUUGGUGAGUCUCACUGCGUUAUUGCUCAAUGAGUGUGACAAUUUAAAACAUGUUCCAUCAUUAAAGAAGCUCAGGGCACUGAAGAGGUUGGAUCUCUCUAGACUCUAGUACUGCACUUGAAAAUAUGCCGCAAGGAAUGGAAUGCCUAACCAACCUGAGGUAUCUUAGAAUGAAUGGAUGCGGUGAAAAGGAGUUUCCUAGCGGGAUAUUACCAAAACUCUCUCACCUGCAAGUCUUGGUACUAGAAGAGUUUCCUAGUGGGAUAACAGUUAAAGGAAAGGAAGUAGGAUCCUUGAGAAAUUUGGAAACUUUGGAGUGCCAUUUCGAAGGUUUAUCUGACUUUGUGGAGUAUCUCAGAUCUCGGGAUGGGAUUCAAUCAUUAAGCACAUAUAAAAUUUUAGUAGGAAUGGUGGAUUACUUGUAUUGGGAAAACAUUAAUGAUUUUCCAAGUAAAACAGUUGGGUUGUGUAAUUUGAGUAUCAACAGAGAUGGAGAUUUUCAGGUCAAGUUCUUAAAUGGUAUUCAAAGACUGAUUUGUGAACGCAUCGAUGCAAGAAGUUUAUGUGAUGUUUUGUCAUUAGAGAAUGCAACUGAACUGGAGGACAUCAACAUUCGGGAUUGCAAUAACAUGGAGAGCUUGGUUUCAUCUUCUUGGUUCUGCUAUGCUCCACCACCAUUGCCAUCAUAUAAUGGUAUGUUUUCUGGGCUUAAAGAGUUUUAUUGUGGUGGAUGUAAAAGUAUGAAGAAGCUGUUCCCACUUGUGCUGCUGCCAAACCUCGUAAACCUGGAAAGGAUUGAAGUGAGGUGCUGUGAGAAAAUGGAGGAGAUAAUAGGAACAACAGAUGAAGAAAGCCGCACCUCCAAUCCCAUCACGGAAUUCAUUCUCCCAAAGUUAAAAACUCUGAAAUUGUCUGUUUUACCAGAACUGAAAAGCAUUUGCAGUGCAAAACUGAUUUGCAAUUCUCUUAAAAAAAUUAGGGUAAGUUUUUGUAAGAAGCUGAAGAGGAUGCCAAUUUGUCUUCCGUUGCUUGAAAAUGGCCAGCCAUCUCCUCCCCCUUCUCUUAAAAAAAUCGAAGCAAGUCCAAAAGAAUGGUGGGAGACAGUAGUGGAGUGGGAGCAUCCUAAUGCAAAGGAUGUCCUUCGUCCCUUUGUAAAGUUUGGGUACUGGUAAUCCUUCCGUUGUAAGAAUACUAAUCGAUUGUAACCUUAAAUUUGCUCAUAUUCAAUAACAUUCAAUUCUUUCAAUCAUUUUUGUUAAAAAUCACGUGCAAAACAUAAUAUAUGUUUUUUCGAUAUGAAUGAUGAAAAUAGUCCUUUAAAACAACAAGGAUAUUCUUAUUAAUUAUAAUUUGAAGUUUGAUUAAUAUUAUAUUUUCAUCCUAUUGAGGUUCUCCAAGAUGAAAAUCCAAAAAAUAAAAAAAUACUAAAUUGAUUUAUCAUUAAAGUAACCUAAUAAAAUAAUAGAUGUUUUGAAAGAAAGGGGUAUGGCGUUCAUUGUACUCUAAACUCAUUGACUGAUGUACCUCUUAAAAAUUGUAUAUGUUACCAGAACUGAAAAGCAUUUGCAGUGUAAAACUGAUUUGCAAUUCUCUUGAAUAUAUUUGUGUAAUCGAUUGUGAUGAGCUGAAGAGGAUGCCAAUUUGUCUGCCGUUGAAUGAAAAUGGCCAGCCAUCUCCUUCCCCUUCUCUUAAAAAUAUCUAUUCAAGUCCAAAAGAAUGGUGGGAGUCAGUAGUGGAGUGGGAGCAUCCUAAUGCAAAGAAUGUCCUUCGUUCUUUUGUAAAGUAAUAUAAUACAGUGUGCUUACAAUUACAUAAAUAACAUUUUUCAUUUUUUUUUAUUUCAUUAAAGACUACUGAAUUGUCAUAUAUAUAUUUUAACUCGAUAGAUAAAUAAUUAUAAUUUGAAGUUUGAUUAAUAUUAUAUUUUCAUCCUAUUGAGUUUCUCCAAGAUGAAAAUCCAAAAAACAAUAAUAAAAAAAAUACUAUAUUGAUUUAUCAUUAAAGUAACCUAAUAAAAUAAUAAAUCUACACACAUUUUUAAAAUGUCUAAGAGAGAGUAUGAAUAUGGCAGUUUUGGUUUCUCAACCUGUAACUGCCAUAUUCAUAAACACAUUUUUUAAAUAACUGAAAUUCUAAGACCAAAUUUCGUACUAAAACUAGAAAGUAGCAUAGGUUAAUAAUUAUUAUCUUUUUUAUUUUUAAUUAUAAUCUAAAAUUUGUAGUGUGUGGUCCCGCACCAUGUGAUGGGGGGACCACCACAUUAAUCAAGAAGAGAGGCAGUUGGCUGCCUCUUUAAUUUAAAUGUGUCUGCCACUGUAGAAGGUAGACGAGAGAGAGAGGGAGAACAAAAUUAAAAGAGAGCAAAAACAGAAGAGAAAAACGUGAGAAAGAAAGAAGAGGAGGCAGCAGAGCAGUCUGUCUUCUUUCUUCGAUUUCCAGUUCGUUCACCGUUGGAUCGAGCUGAGAUUUGGACAGAAUCUUCUAGACAUGUUACUCUUCAUUUUGAACGGUUGGAUUGAAGAUUGGUGGUGUGGAAGCUGGUUGUUUUGACAGAAAACGGGGCUGUCAGUGUUGUGAGCUUUUCUCUAACAUUGCUCUCUUUAAUCUUGUUGUAAUCCCAGAAUAUGUUGUUCUUGAUGAUAUAUAUGUUGUAGCCCUUAGUUAAUCUGAGGAAGAACUAUUGUGAACCCAUUAUUUGUGAUAGUGGAAGUUUUUAGGUGGACUCCGAUCCCGUGGUUUUUCCCGCAUCGGGUUUUCCACGUAAAAAUCUUGGUGUUGAUGUGUGUGAUUGUUGCAUUAUAUUUGUUCAUUGUUUGAUUCUGUUUUUUACUGCACAAAGAGGGAAAAAGGAUUGGGACUUGUUAAUUGUGAAUUGUAUUCCGCUGAAUUGAUCCGGUUAUUUGUCCCUAGUUUUCCCAACAGAGUGGUAUCAGAGCAUUUGGUUGUGUAGAUUGAAUUCUUAUGCAGUUAAAAUGGAAAAGGAAGAUUCGGGUAUGAAAAAGCUCACUUCCUCAAAUUAUUUUCUAUGGAAAACAAUGAUGGAGGAUCACUUAUAUUGCAAUGAUUUGGCUUUGCCAAUUGAAUGUAAAGGAAUAAAGCCUGAUGAUAUGGAUGAUGCAAAAUGGAAUGGACUUAAUAGAAAGGCUACCGCUAAUGUUAGAAAAUUGGUAUCUUCUAAGUCCAUUAAUCAUAUUUCUCAAGAACAUGACUGCUAUACAGUGUGGAAGAUGUUGGAAGAAACAUUUGCCAAGGAGAGUGCACAAAACAAGGUUUUUGUAAUUAAAGACCUUGUGAAUUUGAAGUAUAGAGAUAGUGAAGAUGCUUCAGUGCAUAUAAAUGUAUUCCAAGGGUUCUUGAAUCAGCUGUCAUUGAUGAACCUUGAGUUAGCCGAUGAAAUGCAAGCAUUAAUCCUAUUGAGUUCAUUGCCGGAUAGUUGGGAGACUUUGGUAGUGUCACUUAGCAAUUCUACUCCGAAUGGAAAGCUCACUUUGAAAACAGUGAAGGAUUGUAUCCUCAAUGAAGAGAAGAGGAGGAAAGGGACAAGCACUUCCGAGUCUCAUGCACUUGUUACAGAAAGUCGAGGGAGAAGUCAAAGCAGGUUCUCUCACGGCAAGCAAGAUGGAGAAUCUAGCAAUAGAAAAGGCAAAUGAAAGCCAAGAGGAAGAUCUCAGUCAAGGAAGGGUUUUAAGUGUUAUUAUUAUGACAAGCCUGGGCAUGUGCAAAAGGAUUGCAGAAAGUAUAAAAGAGAUAAAAAGGGUAGAGAUGAAGACAAGAAUGAAGAGAAUGGUACAGCUGCAGUUGUAUCUGAUGGUGAUGUUGCCAUUGUGUGUGAUGAUGGUUGUGUUAAUCUUGCAUGUCAAGAUACCACCUGGGUUGCAGAUUCAGCAGCUUCUUACCAUAUUACACCCCGACAUGAUUUUUACACAUCCUACACUGCUGGUGACUUUGGUCAAGUUAGGAUGGGAAAUCAAGGGAUGGCUAGUGUUGUGGGCAUUGGAGAUAUUUGGUUGGAAACCAAUACUGGGUGCAAGUUGCUACUCAAAGAUGUUAGGCAUGUGCCUGAUAUGCGCCUACAUUUGAUCUCUACUGGUACUCUUGAUGAAGAAGGCUAUCAUAGUUACUUUGGAGAUGGUAAAUGGAAGCUCUCCAGAAAUUCCCUAAUUGUUGCUAAAGGGAAGAAGAUGGGUCUUUACAUGUCACAAGCCAAGGUGAUCAAAGGGGAGGUGAAUGCAAUUGAAGAUUGCUCUACUGAUCUAUGACAUAAGCGAUUUGGACAUUUGAGUGAGAAAGGUCUUGGCAUCCUUGCCAGGAAGAACUACCUUCCUUUAAAAGGUAUGAACCUGAACACAUGUACUCAUUGUUUAGUUGGUAAACAACAUAGAGUUGCAUUUCAAAGAUCACCUUCACAUAGAAGGUCACAUGUUCUUGAUUUAGUUCAUACUGAUGUUUGCUCUAUGAUUGAUAAGUCUCUUAGAGGUGCAUUGUACUUUGUUAAUUUUAUUGAUGAUCACUCCAGGAAGAUUUGGGCCAUUUAUUUGAAAUCCAAAGAUCAAGUGCUUGAUGUCUUUAAGGAUUUCCAUGCCAGAGUUGAAAGAGAAACUGGUAGAAAGCUGAAAUGUGUUCGAGCAGACAAUGGUGGUGAAUACAGGGGUCCUUUUGAAAAGUACUGCAGGGAACAUGGUAUCAAGUUGGAGAAGACAGUUCCUAAGACUCCACGGCAGAAUGGAGUUGGUGAGAGAAUGAACAGAACCAUUGUUGAAAGAAUUAGAUGUAUGCUCUCUCAUGCAAAGUUGCCUAAGUCCUUUUAGGGUGAGGCAAUGAAGACUGCAGUUGCCAUGAUCAAUCUUUCUCCAUCAGUUCCUCUUGAGUUUGAUGUUCCAGAUAGAGUGUGGAAAGGAAAGGAUGUUUCCUAUGCACACUUGAGAGUGUUUGGAUGCAGAGCAUUUGUACAUGUUCCAAGGGAUGAAAGGUCCAAGCUUGACAGCAAGACAAAGCAGUGUAUUUUCUUGGGAUCUGAAGAUGAUGAGUUUGGCUAUAGGUUGUGGGAUCCAAAGGAGAAGAAAAUUGUGAGAAGCAGAGAUGUUAUCUUCUUUGAAGAUCAAACCAUUGAAGACUUUGAACUGAAGGAGAAAACAGAGUCUACAACUUUUAUUCCAUCUAAUUCAAAUCCAAGAUCUACUCCACAGUUACCUUUGAUGCCUGCUAAUCAUGGGGGAGAUUUGCAAAAUGAUGAUAAUGGUGGUUUUCUUAUUGAGCCAUUAGUUGGUGAUCAUGAAUCAACUAAUGAUGAUAUUGAUGUUAUUCCUGAACAGGUUAUGCAGGAAGCUCUAGAUGAGCCACAAUUGAGGAGGUCAACCAGACCUCGCCAACCUUCCACCAAAUAUUCUCCUCAUGAGUAUGUGCUAGUUACUGAUGGGGGAGAGCCAGAAUGCUUUGAUGAAGCCAUGUCACAUGAGAAGAAAAGUGAGUGGUUGCAAGCAAUGCAAGAAGAGAUGAAAUCCUUGCAUGAAAACCAUACCUUUGAGUUAGUGAAGCUUCCUAAAGGUAAGAGAGCACUCAAGAACAAAUGGGUGUUCAGGUUGAAAAUUGAUGAACAUUGCUCACAACCAAGUACAAGGCAAGAUUGGUUGUGAAAGGUUUCGGUCAGAAGAAGGGUAUUGAUUUUGAAAAAAUCUUUUCACCAGUGGUCAAGAUGUCUUCAAUCCGAGUUGUGUUUGGCUUAGCUGCUAGUUUGAAUCUUGAAGUUGAGCAACUUGAUUGAAAACUGCCUUUCUCCAUGGUGAUUUAGAUGAGGAAAUCUACAUGGAGCAACCUGAAGGGUUUGAAGCAAAAGGUAAAGAGCAGUUAGUUUGCAAGUUGAAAAAGAGCCUAUAUGGGUUAAAGCAAGCUCCAAGACAAUGGUAUAAGAAGUUUGAUUCUUUCAUGGUGGAUCAUGGUUAUGACAGGACUACUUCUGAUCAUUGUGUAUUUAUGAAAAGGUUUCCAGAUGGAAACUUUAUUAUUCUCCUAUUGUAUGUGGAUGAUAUGUUGAUUGUUGGCCAUAAUGCUAAGAAGAUUCAGAUGUUGAAGGAAGAGUUAAGCAAGUCUUUUGCAAUGAAAGACUUAGGACCGGCAAAACAGAUUCUUGGCAUGAAGAUCACACGUGACAGGAAGAAGGAGAAACUUUGGCUAUCUCAGGAGAGAUAUGUCCAAAAGGUACUUGAGAGAUUCAACAUGAGCAACUCCAAACCGGUUUGUUCUCCAUUUGCAAGCCACUUUAAACUAAGUUCUAAGCAGUGUCCUUCAAGUGAUGAAGAAAGAGAUGAGAUGAAAAAGGUUCCUUAUGCAUCCGCAGUUGGUAGCUUGAUGUAUGCUAUGGUUUGCACAAGGCCGAAUAUAGCUCAUGCAGUUGGUGUGGUUAGUCGGUUCCUCUCCAAUCCUGGUAAAGAACACUGGUCAGCAGUGAAAUGGAUACUCAGGUAUCUCAAAGGUACUUCUAGUUUCAGCUUAUGUUUUGGUAAUGAUAAACCUGUGUUGGAUGGAUACACAGAUGCAGAUAUGGUUGGUGAUGUUGAUUCUAGAAAGUCCACAUCAGGAUACUUGAUGAAGUUUGCAGGGGGAGCUGUCUCAUGGCAAUCAAGGUUGCAAAAAUGUGUUGCAUUAUCCACUACAGAGGCUGAAUAUAUUGCUCUUACUGAAGGGGGCAAAGAGUUGUUAUGGAUGAAGAAGUUCCUACAUGAACUUGGCCUAGUUCAAGAGAACUUUGUGUUGCACUGUGAUAGUCAAAGUGCAAUCCAUCUCAGUAAGCAUCCUACUUUUCACUCUCGAUCAAAGCACAUAGAGGUUAGAUAUCAAUGGAUUCGUGAUGCUAUGGAGAUGAAGUCAUUUGUUGUUGAGAAGAUCCAUACCGAUAACAACGUGUCAGAUAUGAUGACCAAACCUCUACCAAGAGAGAAGUUUGAGUUUUGCAGAAGGGAGGCAGGCUUGUCAGAGCCUCCUAAAUUGAAGCUUACAUGUUGAUCGCCAGUAUGGCGAAUUCCUCACAUGGUGCGUGAGGGGGAGAUUUGUUGUGUGUGGUCCCGCACCAUGUGAUGGGGGGACCACCACAUUAAUCAAGAAGAGAGGCAGCUGGCUGCCUCUUUAAUUUAAAUGUGUCUGCCACUGUAGAAGGUAGACGAGAGAGAGAGGGAGAACAGAAUUAAAAGAGAGCAAAAACAGAAGAGAAAAACGUGAGAAAGAAAGAAGAGGAGGCAGCAGAGCAGUCUGUCUUCUUUCUUCGAUUUCCAGUUCGUUCACCGUUGGAUCGGGCUAAGAUUUGGACAGAAGCUUCUAGACACGUUAAUCUUCAUUUUGAACGGUUGGAUUGAAGAUUGGUGGUGUGGAAGCUGGUCGUUUUGACAGAAAACGGGGCUGUCAGUGUUGUGAGCUUUUCUCUAACAUUACUCUCUUUAAUCUUGUUGUAAUCCGAGAAUAAGUUGUUCUUGAUGAUAUAUAUGUUGUAGCCCUUAGUUGAAUAUGAGGAAUAACUAUUGCGAACCCAUUAUUUGUGAUAGUGGAAGUUUUUAGGUGGACUCCGGUCCCGUGGUUUUUCCCGCAUCGGGUUUUCCACGUAAAAAUCUUGGUGUUGAUGUGUGUGAUUGUUGCAUUAUAUUUGUUCAUUGUUUGAUUCUGUUUUUUACUGCACAAAGAGGGAAAAAUGAUUGGGACUUGUGAAUUGUGAAUUGUAUUUCGCUGAAUUGAUCCGGUUAUUUGUCCCUAGUUUUCCCAACAAAAUUUUAUUAUGUUUACCUUUUGGUCACGAGUUUAAGAUGAAAGCACACAAAAAAGGAACUGCUAAAGCCUAAAUUUUAGGCAAUUUGUUUUUGACACAACAGGGAUCAUGGAGACGUGAUGAAAUAUAAUUUUAAAAUUUAAAAUAUUUUUAAUUAGUUAAGAUUAAAUAAGUUUUUAAAUUAAAACAAUUUAAUUUCAAUAAAAUAUCAAAAUAUUAUGAAAUUAAAAUGUUUUAACACUAAUAUUUUAAAUAUAAAGUUAGGUCAAUGUUAUCAAGGCUAAUGAGAUCUAAAAUAUUCAUUUUUUUUGCUUAAAUUCCUACAAAGUAUAAACUUGAAAAAAACAACAUGAAUAUAAACCAUAUAUAUUAGUGAUAAAUCUAAUUUUAAAAAAUUAAUAUCAUAGUUAAUGAAAAUAGUAAUGAAAAAGAGCUUUUUAUACUUUGAUGUUUUAAUUAUUAAUUGAACCAGGUUCAAUUUGAUUUAAUGGCUUUUUAAGACCAGAACAGAACAUGUGGAAUGAAACCGGAACAUUCCAAACGGAAUUUAGCCAAAAAAUCCGGAAAGGACCGAAAUUUGAAAUGAGAUGAAAAUUAUUUCGUUUUAUUCUAUUUUUUGAAUUAGUAUAAAAUCAUUACAAAUAAAACGAAACGAAAUUAACAACUUUUAUUUUAAUAUAUUUAUAAAUCCCCUAAAAAACUUUCUUCACUCUUGACAUUUUAUUUUUAUAUUUUAAAAAAAUUAAUCCCCUAAAAAAACUAGGACAUAUUAUUGAGUGAGGUUUUGUUUAUUAAAAGCAAGGAUGGAGUCUUUGACUGCAUGUAACGGCAUCGGCUGAAAACCUUUAAUUUGUCUUCUAAUUUUUUCUCUAUUGUUACAUAAUCAGAUUCGCUUCAUCUUAAAUAAUUAUUUUUUUAAUUUUAGAUUAAAUUUAAAAUUGUGAUAUAUAAUAUUUUUUAAAAAAGUAUUUUUUAUUUAAAAAUAUAUUAAAAUAAUAUUUUUUAAGAUUUUUUUUAUUUUUAAUAUCAACACAUCAAAAUCAUAGAAAAAUAAAAAAAAAUUCAUUUAUCUUUUUUAAAAAACAACUAAAAACAAAAACAAUCACAUGCUAUUAAUCACAUAUUUAAUCUGUUGUUGUUAGAGCACAUGCUUUUCAAAAACUUUGAAUUAUUUUCCUUUUAAAUUAUUAUUAUUUUUAUUAAAAAUAAAUUUUAAAAAAUAAAAAAAUUAUUAUUUUAAUUAUUUUAAAUAAAAAAUAUUUUAAAAAGCAAGUAUAUUAUUGUUUCUCGUAUUCAUGUGUUUACAUUUUCUAGGCAUCUUCACGCGUUAACUUCCUAUAUCUUAUAAUAUAAUAUUUGGCAGGUUAAGUAGUGGGUUGCUUGCUAGCAACUUCCUUCCUAUCAAACAAAACAAUAAUUUGUUUAUACUGCUACUUUAUUAUUUUUCUAAAUCAUAUAAUCUUCUCUGAUCUGUGAUUUCUCUUCUCUUUAAAUCCUCAGGACGUACUCAUCAUCUUCUACCUCUUUUCCUUUCCACAUCUAACCAGUGCGAACUAGAUUAUAUUUAUGUGAUUUCUCUUCUGUUUUUUUUUUUUUGGCUGAAUACUGCUCAAUCAAACCAGCGCUCGAAGAACAUCUUGAAUCCAGGUUAAUUAUUUGUACUUCAUCUUCUUCAUCUUGUUGGUGUUUUUGUUUGUAUAUAUGUAACUAUGGUUUGAAUCUUUAAAGGAAUCCAUGAUAAAUAAAUUGAUCUUUUUCUCGGAUUUUAUAAUCCAUGCCUAGUGGAGAGUUCAUACUAAAUUAAUACUGAAUUCAUUGUUUUCGUCUUUUCAAAAUUCUUAGCCGUUUUUAACUCCUUAUUUUAGAUUCACCCUUUUCUUUUCCAAUUAAUGGGACUGCCAUUCAUCAAUAUUUUUCAACUUUCUAUUUUCUUACAAUGAUUCAAUGAAUUAACUUGAUCAAUAAUUACCUGAAUCUUUUUGAACAAAACAAUAUCCUAUUAUUAUUUUUGUGUGUGUUUUAUGAUGCGUAACUAAGGGUUAAAAUAAUCUUGCAAUAUAAAUAGGAGUUGAAAGAGGUUUGUUCACCCCGUCAAAACAAUCAGCUCUUCUACCUUCAACAGUUAUCCUGCAUCUUUCUAUCUAUCAUAAAAAGAAUUUGAUUAUGAUAAUUUAUCUUAAAAGACAAAGGAUUAAAUCAUUAACAACAACAUUUAUAUUUCAUAUUUUUCAUCCGAAUUUCUUUAACAAACAAGAAAGUCAUUCAUAUAUAUAUAUAUAUAUAUAUAUAUAUAUAGAUAGAUAGAUAGAUAGAUAGAUAUUCUUUUCUGAUCUGUGCUUUAUGUUCUUUUUAGACCUCAGUUUUUUAUGUCUUUUCUGAUCUUUUCUGGUCAGAUGGAAGGGUUCCAACCAUCUUUUAUGGAGGAGGUUGACAACAUGACAUGGGAUCAGCUGGGUUUUCAAUCAGAAGAAGAUACAUUCAAUAUGUCUGAGCUUCUCUCGUACGUCAUUCUUGAGCAUAUUUUAUCAGAAGAUGAUUGCUUGCAAUUUAGUUAUUCUUCAGUUUAUCCUAUCAUUCCCAAAAAAACAAUAUAAUGUCGUCACUGUCCAUGGAAGCAGGCUGCCACCGGAGGUUCCAGUCAACCAAAGCUCCAUAUCAUGCAAUGAUCAAGGUGGACAGAAGAAUGUGAUCAACGAUAGUAUUCAACAAACAACUCCGUUUCCAACUUCAUUUCCUGAAACAGUGGUGAGUACUCCAAUUUGCUACAAUGCCCAUUGAAUUAGCAAGUGUUUGUAUUAUACAAAAAGUGUUUGCAUUUUUGUUUUUAAUUUCAUUUGAUAAUUUAUUUCAAUAAACUUGUUAUGGAGCUCUUGUGGUCUAAGAAGAAGAAACAAUUCAAUGUAGAGUUGAUGUUUGACUUAACAAGAUUUUGUUCAAUUUAAUUGAUUAAAAAUAAGUGAAAUUUUGACCGUCAAAUUUGAUAUUAAAAUUUUGAAGAUAAAUAUUGAAGACUGAAUUUGAUAUUAAAACUAAAAAUAAGUAGAAAGUUUUUACAAAGGUAAAUGUUAUGAAAAGAUCGAAAUUGCUAUCCAACUGGUGUGCAGAUUGGAUAGCAAAUCAAGCUAUGUUGAAGUUUUCUACUGCAGUGAAGCUCCCUCUGGUUGCUUGAAGCUAAUGCCUGAUUGUUGCGUUCCUGGGAUUUUGAUAAGUGUAUGAAAGUCUAUUUUAUCAUUAAUUUGUUUUUAUGUUUUAAAAAUAUUUUAAAAAAAUUAAUUUUUUAUUUUAAAUUUAUUCUAACUCUUUUGUUUUAUCAUUCUCAAAGUCCAAACAACAACGGUACUGUCAAGAUUGUUAUGUUUAUGCCCGCAAUCGAAACAUAAUUUGUUUUUGUACUCAGAGUUAUGCUUAUUAAAAAAUCUGGUUAUUUUAAAAAAUAUAUUAAAUUAAUAUUUUUUAAUAUAUUAAUAUUAAAAAUAAAAGAAAAAUAUUUUGAUUACUCAGAAUAAAUAGGAAGCUUUAUAAUAGUUAAGAAACGUAUUCCAAAGUUUAGUUUACUGGUUGACUCACAUAUUAACUGAAUAACCUGAGUAAAAAAGAAAACCACAUCAUAUUAUGAUGGUGUUUAUUAAAAAAAACUAAAAUAACAAUUUUUUUUUAAUAUUAUCUUCUUAAAUAUUUUUAUUUUAAAAAUUUUUCACAUAGUUGUAGAUAAAAAAAAAAUGUUUUAAUUUAGCAACGAUAGAGCAUCCACAAGAAAGAUAUUAUACGGUUAUUAAUUUUCAUUAAAAGAAAAGCUAAGAGACCUGGGAGAACUACUAUAUAUCCACACCUAUUUCAUAAAUUACAAUAGUACGUAAUUCAAGGUGUUUUGCCUUUUUUGUUUUGUUUUUUAAAAUUUGUUUUUGUUUAUUUUAUAAUAGGCUGGUUAUAAUUCAGCUUUAAUUUAUUAAUUUUUAUUCUAUUUUUUUUAUAAGAUUAACGUAAUUUAUAGAUUUGUUAAAAUAACUCAAAUUAUACUAGUUUUCAGAUUUGAUGGGAUAUUUUUUUGUUUAUUAAUUAAAAGAAAAACUAAAAGGUGUAAGAGAAUCACUAUUUACCCACACUCAUUUCAUUAUGGAUUACAAUAGUAAUCUAUAGUGUUUUGUCUUUUCUGUUUUUUUCCUUUUCUUUCCUUUUUUUUUAUCAUUUUUAAAAAUAAUUCUUUUGUCUAUUUCAUAUUUGGGCCGAAUUAGCAUAUAUAUAUAUAUAUAUAUAUAUAUUGGAUUGGUGUUUAAUUUUACAAGUAUAAGUAUCUAUUUUUGUUAUCAUAUUAUUAAAUAAAAAUAAUUUUUUAAAAAAGUAUAAUCCUAGUUAAGUCCAUAACCUUGUUCAUGAGUUUGAUGUGCUAGCCCAAGUUACCUGAUUCACGAGUUUGACAGGUUUAUCAAUUGAUCGAAUAUGGUUUUUUUUUGUUUCUGGUCUUUUAAUUUUUUUAAUUGAUUUUUUUUCAAUUUUGUCCUUCAAUAUUAGAUUGGUUUGGAAAUAGACUAAAUGAUUUAUUUUUGUUUGCUUUCUAUAGGGUUAUCAAAAUCUUAAAUAAAUAUUUAUUUUAGGGAUGAAACUCAAUUUUAUGAGUAUUUAUUUUUAUCAUAUAAUUAAAUUAAAAAAAAGUUUAAAAAAAUUAUUAAACCCAAUAGAAUCGAUGAUCCAGGUCGCGAGGGACCGGGAUCGAUCAAAUUUGUCAUUGUUUCAAUAUUUUUUUUUAAAAAAAAAUUGUUGUCUAGAAGUUUUUUGUCAUAGAAUCGAUGACCGAGAGCAAAAAUUGUUUUCGUUUUGCUCUUCCCCUGCUUUCUUCAACAGUUAUCCUGCGUCUUUCUAUCUAUCAUUCUAGAGUUUUAGGAUCUCGUGUCAUAUAAAGAAUUUGAGUAUGAUAAUUUAGCUACAAAGACAAAGGAUUAAAUCAUUAACAACAACAUUUAUAUUUCAUAUUUUUCAUCCGAAUUUCUUUAACAAACAAGAAAGUCAUUCAUAUAUAUAUAUAUAUAUAGAUAGAUAGAUAGAUAGAUAGAUAUUCUUUUCUGAUCUGUGCUUUAUGUUCUUUUUAGACCUCAGUUUUUUUAUGUCUUUUCUGAUCUUUUCUGGUCAGAUGGAAGGGUUCCAACCAUCUUUUAUGGAGGAGGUUGACAACAUGACAUGGGAUCAGCUGGGUUUUCAAUCAGAAGAAGAUACAUUCAAUAUGUCUGAGCUUCUCUUGUACGUCAUUCUUAAGCAUAUUUUAUCAGAAGAUGAUUGCUUGCAAUUUAGUUAUUCUUCAGUUUAUCCUAUUAUUCCCAAAAAACAAUAUAAUGUCGUCACUGUCCAUGGAAGCAGGCCGCCACCGGAGGUUCCAGUCAACCCAAGCUCCAUAUCAUGCAAUGAUCAAGGUGGACAGAACAAUGUGAUCAACGAUAGUAUUCAACAAACAACUCCGUUUCCAACUUCAUUUCCUGAAACCAUGGUGAGUACUCCAAUUUGCUACAAUGUCCAUUGAAUUAGCAAGUGUUUGUAUUAUACAAAAAGUUUUAUGUUUAGUGGAUCGAUCUCGAGCAUCUUCAAAUUGUUUACUGUUAAACAAACAGACAACAAUAGGGAGAUUUAAACAUUUUUUAUGAUAUUUUUUUAUCAUUAAGUUUUAUAUAAAAUUGGCCUCAAACUCCAUCAAGGCAUCAUAAUUCCUUUAUUCAUCAACCUCAGCCGGGACAUGGCUAUAUGACACCGAACGCAACCACAUCACAACAUGGUGGCUUCAAUCAACCUGGACCUUCUUUUCCUCCUCCCUGGUAUCCAAUUUUUCAUCUUUAGUAUUUUCUGUAAAAAAAAAAAUUAGUUUUUCAAUCAUUAUUUAACUUCUUCUUCCUCUAGUUGUUGUACUUAUCAGUGAAUUCAUUAACAAAUGUUGCUAAUUUAGGGACCAACAAUGGACUGAUUAUCAGUCACCAAUGAGCAAUCAAGUGCCUGCGAUGCUACCUGGACCUCAACCUCCAAUGAGUCAAUGGUAUUAACCUCGAAUUUACACUUUUUUAAUCAUGAAAACAAUAAACUUUACCAAAAUUGACGAGGAUCUUUCAAGUCUUUUUGAGCUCUCUAUCUCUCUUUUUUUUUUUAUGCACAUAAUGGAACUAGAAAAUCAACCAAGUGAGCAUAACAGUUCUAAGUUUAACUAUUUGAAUAUUCUUCAGGCAUCAGAACUCCUUUAUUCAUCAACCUCAGCCGGGACAUGGCUAUAUGACACCGAACGCAACCACUUCACAGCAUGGUGGCUUCAAUCAAUCUGGACCUUCUUCUCCUGCUCCCCGGUAUCCAAUUUUUCAUUUUUAGUAUUUUCUGUAAUAAAAACAAUUAGUUUUUCUAGCAAGAUAAUCAUAAGUUUUUUUACGAAUGAUUUUGGAUUUAGGAUUCAAACUUUUUCUAAUGAAGGACAAAUAGAUCAAGCUGCUGUAAUUCCUAACAUAGACAAUAUGCAACAAGAGAACUUCGUGCGUAGGUACUGAUUGACUUCUAGCUGUUGUGUUUUAACACCGUAUUAAUACCUUUUUUUUAUAAUUAGAUACACCAUUGAUUUUUAUUGCUUAAGAGAGACUACCAAUUAUCGAAUGGUUUUAUAAUAUGAUCACUUCAUUUUUAUAUAGGUCACAGAUGGAUAACCUCCAAGUCCGAGGAUUGCAAAAUCAAAUUGCUAGGCCAAAUGCCUCAAAUCCUGGCCCUGACACCUCCUUUCAAAGUCAAAUUAGGGGCUUAAAUACUCAACAAGUAAGAAGUCUAACUGAAUUAUCGUCGUCUUUUCCCCCUAUGAUUGUGCAAUAAACAAACUAUCAAUUUUAAUAGCAAAAUAAGGGUAACUUCCAUCAAUUUUUAUUCUUUAUUUUGACCCCGUUUUUUUUUUCUAUAGGUCGAAACGGUUGGAUCAAAGUAUCCAUUUCGGAUUCAUGUUGAAUAUAGGGCUGAUGGUAGCAUGAAGUGUAAGUUUUGUCACCAUACAUGGGCCAAUAAAACUUCCAUUUCAAGGUUCAAAUGGCAUUUAUCAGGAGAGGAAGGGCAUGGUGUUGCCAUUUGUCGUGGGGUGACUAAAGAAGUUCAAGAAGCAGCCAUUCUAGCUAUGUGUGGUGGCCACAAAAGACAAAAAAUCACAGCAAGUGCAGUCAAUGUUAAUGACUGUGGAAUUUCAACUUGUCUACAAGAACAAAACAUUGAGAAUGAAAAUACGGGAGGCGGUAUUGGAAGGGUACAAAGAGAAGUUCAGGUUGUAGAACCCGGAGUAGUGGAAGAGAGGAUUUCUUCACAUGCAAUAGCAGGAAACGACGUAGUAAGCAUGACCGGAAUGGGAGCACAAGAAGAUAGAGUUUCCGAAGGGGCAGUCGAGAGCAGACUGAGGACAGAACCAGUGGAUCGAGCGUUGGAACAAAGCAAUGCAGUACUUGGCAAUAUGGCAGGGGGUGCUGGAAGGAUACAUGUGGGAGUUCAGGGCAUGGAACAAGGUCCAGGAGAAAAUAGAAUUCAGUUGCAUCUACAAGCGGAAAAUGGCAUGGAAAACACUGGUGAAGGAUCUUUUCAGCAUGAUGCAUUUGAGAAUGUACUUAGAACAGAGCAAGUGCAGCUUCUGGAGCCUCAAGGAGAUUCAUCCCAAUUUUGUCUUGACAUUGGAAGAUGUGAUGAUCAACCUUGUGCUCCAUCAGUAAACGAUGAUGUAAAUAGGCAUGAUGCACUGGACAUGGUUAGAGUGAGGACAGAACCAGUGGAGGAUGAUGAUGUGGAGAAUAGUGGAAGAUCAGGAGUGCAGGCUGGCGCAGGAGCUAGAUCUUCUGAAAGUCUGAAAUACAACAAGACUAGAGGAGUUCCAUUACAUACUAGCUCUACAAAGCCAGUGGGUCAAGCAUUUGAAGAGAAUAAGGAGGUGAUAUGGUCUUUGUUAAUGGAUGGUAAAGUCCCAAUCAUUGGCAUUUAUGGGAUGGGGGGAGUUGGUAAAACAACAAUAAUACUACAUAUCUAUAAUGAGCUUCUACGAAGACCAGACAUUUAUGAUCACGUUUGGUGGGUGUCUGUGUCCCAAGAUUUCACCAUUAAUAGAUUGCAGAAUCUUAUUGCUAAACGUCUUGAUCUAAAACUUUCAAGCGAAGAUGAUGAUCGGCACAGAGCUGCCAAAUUGUCAGAAGAACUAAGAAAGAAACAAAAAUGGAUUCUCAUUUUAGAUGAUUUGUGGAACAAUUUUGAGCCUGACAACGUGGGAAUUCCUGUCUCAUUGAAAGGAUGCAAGCUGAUUAUGACAACUCGAUCAAAAAUAAUUUGUAAUCAGAUGGCUUUCCAACACAAAAUCAAAGUGAAGCCACUUUCUGAGGGUGAAGCUUGGAAUUUGUUCAUGGAGAAACUUGGACGUGACAUAGCACUUUCACUAGAAGUGGAAGGAAUUGCGAGAGACAUUGCAAGGGAAUGUGCUGGUUUGCCAUUAGGAAUUAUUACAGUGGCAGGAAGCUUGAUGGGAGUGGAUGAUCUACAUGAGUGGAGAAAUACAUUGAAGAAAUUGAGAGAAUCAGAAUUUAGGGACAUGGAUGAGAAGGUAUUCCAGGUAUUGAGGGUUAGUUAUGAUCGGCUAGGUGAUUUAGCACUACAACAAUGUCUCUUAUACUGUUCAUUAUUUCCUGAAGAUCAUGUGAUUGAAAGGGUGGAGUUGAUAGAUUAUUUGAUUGACGAGGGAAUAAUUAAAGGAAAGAGGAGAAGGGAAGAUGCAUUUGAUGAGGGCCACACGAUGCUUAAUAGACUUGAAAAUGUUUGCCUAUUGGAAAGUGUUAAAAUGGAGUAUGAUGGUAGUAGAGGUGUCAAGAUGCAUGACUUGAUGAGGGACAUGGCCAUCCAUAUACUGCAAGAGAACCUUCAAUACAUGGUUAAAGCAGGUGCACAAUUAAAAGAGUUGCCAGAUGCAGAGGAGUGGACGGAGAAUCUGACGAUAAUUUCACUAAUGCAAAACGAGAUCGUAGAAAUUCCUUCCAGCCAUUCACCAAUGUGUCCAAAUCUAUCCACUCUACUUCUAUGUCAAAAUCUUUGUUUGCGAAUCAUUGCAGAUUCAUUUUUCAAGCAAUUGCAUGGGCUCAAGGUUCUUGAUCUGUCUUCUACAGCUAUUAAACGUUUGCCAGACUCUGUCUCUGAUUUGGUGAGUCUCACUGCAUUAUUGCUCAUUGAGUGUUACAACUUAAGACAUGUUCCAUCAUUAAAGAAUCUCAGGGCACUGAAGAGGUUGGAUCUCUCUCAUACUUCACUUAAAAAGAUGCCGCAAGGAAUGGACUGUCUAUCCAACCUGAGGUAUCUUAGAAUGAAUGGAUGUGGUGAAAAGAAGUUUCCUAAUAGGAUAUUACCAAAACUCUCUCACCUGCAAGUCUUUGUACUAGAAGAGGUUUUUGAGGGAAGUUAUGCUCCGAUAACAGUUGAAGGAAAGGAAGUAGGAUCCUUGAGAAAUUUGGAAACUUUGCAAUGCCAUUUCGAAGGUCUCCCUGACUUCGUGGAGUAUCUCAGAUUUCGGGAUGUGACCCAAUCAGUAAGCACAUGCAAAAUUUUAGUAGGUAUACUGGAUGAAUUACUUUAUUACGGAAUAACUGAGUGUCCUUUUCCAAGUAAAACAGUUGGGUUGGGUUAUAUGAGUAUCAACAAAGAUAGAGAUUUUCAGGUCAAGUUCUUAAAUGACAUUCAAGGACUGGUUUGUCAUAGCAUCGAUGCAAGAAAUUUAUGUGAUGUUUUGUCAUUAGAGAAUGCACCUGAACUGGAGGUUAUCCAAAUUUGGGAUUGCAAUAGCAUGGAGAUCUUGGUUUCAUCUUCUUGGUUCUGCUCUGCUCCACCAUCAUUGCCAUCAUAUAAUGGUAUGUUUUCUGGUCUUAAAGAGUUUUAUUGUCAUGGAUGUAAAAGUAUGAAGAAGUUGUUCCCACUUGUGUUGCUGCCAAACCUCGUAAACCUGGAAAGGAUUGAAGUGAUGGAUUGUGAGAAAAUGGAGGAGAUAAUAGGAACAGCAGAUGAAGAAAGCAGCACCUCCAAUUCCAUCACGGAAUUCAUUCUCCCAAAGUUAAGAACUUUGAAAUUGUCUGAAUUACCAGAACUGAAAAGCAUUUGCAAUGCAAAACUGAUUUGCAAUUCUCUUGAAGAUAUUACUAUAAUGUUUUGUGUUGAGCUGAAGAGGAUGGCAAUUUCUCUUCCAUUGCUUGAAAAUGGUCAGCCAUCUCCUCCCCCUUCUCUUGAAGAAAUCAUAGUAUAUCCAGAAGAAUGGUGGGAGACAGUAGUGGAGUGGGAGCAUCCUAAUGCAAAGGAUGUCCUUCGUCCCUUUGUAGAGCUUGGUUUAGCAUCAUCCCCGUAGAAGAGGAUUUUGUUUCUCAAAAUAAUUAAUAUGUAUGGUUAAUCCUUUCGUUGUAAGAAUACUAAUCGACUGUAACCUUAAAUUUGCUCAUAUUCAAUAAUAUAUCAUUCUUUCAAUAUUUGUUUGUUAAAAAUCAUGGGCAAAACAUAAUUAUUUUUUAUAUGAAUGAUGAAAAUAGUCCUUUAAAUCAACAAGGAUAUUUUUAUUAAUUAUUAUUGAAAUUACUUGCAUGAUGCUUUUGGAUUAAAGAUCGAUUGCUCAAUGGGUGGAUUUGGGCUGGUGUGAAAUGGAAUUGCCAAUUAUUUUUUAUAUGAAUGAUGAAAAUAAUCCUUUAAAUCAACAAGGAUAUUCUUAUUAAUUAAUAUUUAAAUAGUCCUUUGUCCCUUUGUACCUUUUUUUUUAACUCGAAUGAUAAAUAAUUAUAAUUUGAAGUUUGAUUUAUAUUAUAUUUUCAUCCUAUUGAGUUUCUCCAAGAUGAAAAUCCAAAAAAAAAAAAAAAUACUAUAUUGAUUUAUCAUUAAAGUAACCUAAUAAAAUAAUAUAUCUAUUCACUAGUACAAAUCAUCUUAUAUCAUUAACUAGCAAUAAAUUAUUCUUUUAAAAUAUAUAAUACAGAUUAAAAAAAAUAUCAAAAUGAAGUUUUCUACUAGGGUUGAUGAUGAAUCUCAAGGUUGAAUUGGUUCUUAUGAAGUUUUCUACUAGUGCCUGGUGGUUUUGUCUGAGUAAAAGGGAUAGAUGCUAAGUUAAGGAAGAGAGACAAAAAGUGGAAGGGACAAUUGUGUCGAUUGUUCUCUUGAUCUGAGCUUAUUCUGUAUCAUUUGUUGGUUGCAUUAUACCUUCACCUCCAUACCCAACUCCUCUUCAUCUCUUAUUGUUAAUAAAAAUGUAAGAAUUUAAGAGCAUGAGAGAAUACUUUCACAAUGAAGAUUAAUUCAUCUCCAUAGCAGAAUACAGGAAAUGGAAAAUUAAAUCAAUAAAAGAAAGGUAUUUCAUCGCCAAUGAAUUCAUCUCUUCGAACAUUCUUGAAUUCUGGUCAAUCCAUAUCACAACAAACAUAGUAAACAUGUCAAAAGUAUUCUUCUACCUCAGCAUUGAGAAGAUCAAAUGAGGAAGGCUAAGAUUCUCUUUUAAAUGCCCCUGAGAGAGUAUGAACUGAACAUACAUUUUUUGUUGGAUGAGUUUUGGUUUCUAAACCUGAAACUGCCGUCAUAAGCACUGGCUAGGGAAGUUAGGAUGAGCAUUUCUUGUCAUUAUAUCACUUUUUCUGCUAGGAUAAUGCUGUCUAUAUUCUCUGAUACUAUUGCUUAUAAUCUCCUUGCCUCUGUUAUCUUUUCCAACCCGUUUGAGGAUGCUUUCUAAAUUUUUUUGUUAAAUUGUGAAUUUGUUGUUCACUUGCACAGUUGAACAGGGUUGACCUAGGAAUCCAGGAGUUAUUGGUGAGAGAGGAUUUGGAUCCUUUUCGAAGGAAAGUGAGUGGUUCAACGAUGAUAUUUAAUUAAAAAAAAAUAACAAUGUCUUUUUUAAUAUUAUAUUUUAAAAUAUUUUAUUUUAAAAAAGUUACACAUGAUUGCAAUAAAAAAGAUGUUUUAAUUUGGCAUCAUUGAGCAUCCUCGAGGAAACUAUUAUAGGGUUAUUAAUUUUUAUUAAAAGAAAAGUUAAAAGACAUGAAAGAAUCAUUAUCUAUCCACACUCAUUUCAUUGUAAAUUACAAAAUAAUUCAAGCUUUUUUUUUUGUUUUUUUUAAAUUAUUUUUGUUUAUUUCAAUAUUACACUGGUUCGUAAUUUAUUUAUUUUUAUUUUAUUUUUAUAAGAUUAACAUGAUUUAAAGAUUUAUUAGAAUAAUAUCUUUGCUACUGUAACAUUAUCUUCCACAUCCCAUCUCAUUAUACCAUUGAUUUCCCAAUUUCCCUCAUCAAAUUUCUUAAACCUUUCUGAAGAUCAGUGCUUCCUUUUCUGAUUGAAUCAAAUCAUCUGGAGUUCAACAUCUUGGAACUUUCUUGUUAUUUUUAAACUAUAUAUUCUACUCUGUUCUUGUCUUUUUUGCUGAAUAAUGCUUAAGCAAACCAGGACCUGAAGAACAACUUGAAUCCAGGUAGAUUAUUUAUACUCCAUCUUCUUCAUUUUCUUUUUCACAUGUAACUCUGGUUUGAAUCUUUCAAGGAAACCACAAGUUGUAGAAAUUCUAAUGAGAAACUUUGGAGUUAGGAUCAUCAACAGUUUCCAAAAAUAAAAAUAAUUUAAUCUUUCUCAGUUUUAACAAUCCAUGCCUUAUGGAGUUCAUACUAAUUAAAUUGACCCCAAGUUAACCUUGAAUUCAUUGUUUUUUCUUCUUAAUUUCUUUGCUGUUUGUAACUUAUUAUUUUUGCUGUUUGUAACUUAUUAUUUUUGCUGUUUGUAACUUAUUAUUUUAGUUUCACCUUCCUUUUCCUUUUCCAAUUAAUGUACUUCCAUUAAUUGUUAUUCAAUAUUUUGACCCUUUUUAUCUAUAGGACAAAAUGGGUAGAUCAGAUGAUCCGUUUUGGAAGGAAGUUGAAGAUAUGAAUGAUGGAAGCAUGAAGUGUAAGUUUUGUGGGCAUUUAUUUGCCAAUGGUACUUCCAUUUCGAGGAUCAAAUGGCAUUUAUCAGGAGAGAGAGGGCAUGGUGUUGGCAUUUGUGGUCAGGUGCCUAAAGAAGUUCAAGAAUUAAGCAGCCUUUCUAGCUAUGCAUGGUGGCAACAAAAGACAUAAAAGCAUAGCAAGUUCAAGCAAUGUUAAUGAUUAUGCCAUUUCCACCUGUCCACAAGAACAAGACAAUGCAGUACUUGGUAAUUUGGCACAAGGUGUUGGGCCUGAGAGAAUUCAUUCGCGUGUAGAAGCGGCAAAUAGCAUGGAAUACACUGGUGAAGGAUCUUUUCAGCAUGUUGACAGAAGUGUCUCUCCUUGGGGACUCAGAGUUGAUGCUCGUGAGAAUAGAGGAGAAGCAACACAAAGAACAGAUUUAGUGGAUCAUUUGCUGAUGGUACUUGGGUUCAGAUACACUCUGGCCUUUCAAAGGNNNNNNNNNNNNNNNNNNNNNNNNNNNNNNNNNNNNNNNNNNNNNNNNNNNNNNNNNNNNNNNNNNNNNNNNNNNNNNNNNNNNNNNNNNNNNNNNNNNNCUGAAUGAAAUCUCUACCUAUUUAAUGCAGGAAGAUGAGGAUGUGGAGCGUCUGCAUGAUGCAUUUGAAACUGUACCGAGAACAGAAGAAGUGCAGCAUCUGGAGAGAGGUAGCUCUUGUGAGAGGCCAUCAAUUAAUCAAGCUGAUGAGCCUCGAGGAGAUUCAUCACAACCAACAGAUUCAUUGUGUCUUGAUCAUGGAAGAUAUUAUGAUCAACUAUUUACUCCGUCAAUAAACAAUGAUGUCAUUAUGAAUGAUGUGCAGAACAUGGUUAGAGUGAGGACAGAACCAUUGGAGGAGGAGGAUGUGGAGAAUAGUGGAAGUUCAGUAGUGCAGGCUGGCGCGGGAGCUAGAUCUUCUGAAAGUCUGAAAUACAACUAGAGGAGUUCCAUUACCUACUAGCUCUACAAAGCCAGUGGGUCAAGCAUUUGAAGAGAAUAUGAAGGUGAUAUGGUCUUUGUUAAUGGAUGAUAAAGUCCCAAUCAUUGGCAUUUAUGGGAUGGGAGAAGUUGGUAAAACGACAAUACUGCAACAUAUUCAUAAUGAGCUUCUACAAAAACCAGAUAUUUGUAAUCAUGUUUUGUGGGUGACUGUCUCUCAAGAUUUCAGCAUUAAUAGAUUGCAGAAUCUUAUUGCUAAACGUCUCUAUUUAGAUCUUUCAAGUGAAGAUGAUGAUCUGCAUAGAGCUGCCAAUUUGUCAGAAGAACUAAGGAAGAAACAAAAAUGAAUUUUCAUUUUAGAUGAUUUGUGGAACAAUUUUGAGCUACACAAAGUGGGAAUUCCUGUCACGUUGAAAGGAUGCAAGCUGAUUUUGACAACUCGAUCAGAAACAAUUUGUCAUCGGAUUGCUUGCCAACACAAAAUCAAAGUGAAGCCACUUUCUGAGGGUCAAGCUUGGAAUUUGUUCAUGGAGAAACUUGGACAUGACAUAGCACUUUCACCAGAAGUGGAAGGAAUUGCGAGAGAUAUUGCAAGGGAAUGUGCUGGUUUGCUAUUGGGAAUUAUUACAGUGGCAGGAAGCUUGAUGGGAGUGGAUGAUCUACAUGAGUGGAGAAAUACAUUGAAGAAAUUGAGAGAAUCAGCUGAAUUUAGGGACACGGAAGUAUUCAAGUUAUUGAGGUUUAGUUACGAUCAAUUAGGUGAUUUAGCACUACAACAAUGUCUCUUGUACUGUGCAUUAUUUCCCGAAGAUAGUGAGAUUGAAAGGGAGGAGUUGAUAGGUUAUUUGAUCGAUGAGGAAAUUAUUAAAGGAAUAAGGAGCAGGAAAGAUGCAUUUGACGAGGGCCAGACGAUGCUUAAUAGACUUGAAAAUGUCUGCCUAAUGGAAAGUGUUAAAAUGGAGUAUGAUGGUAGUAGAAGUGUCAAGAUGCAUGACUUGAUUAGGGACAUGGUCAUCCAUAUACUGCAAGAGAACCUUCAAUACAUGGUUAAAGCAGGUGUACAAUUAAAAGAGUUGCCAGAUGCAGAGGAGUGGACGGAGAAUCUGACGAUAGUUUCACUAAUGCAAAACGAGAUCGAAGAAAUUCCUUCCAGCCAUUCACCAAUGUGUCCAAAUUUGUCAUCUCUACUUCUACGUGAUAAUGAAGGGUUGCGAUCUAUUGCGGAUUCAUUUUUCAAGCAAUUGCAUGGGCUCAAGGUCCUCGAUCUGUCUUGCACAGUUAUUAAAAAUUUGCCAGAGUCUGUUUCUGAUUUGAUGAGUCUCACUGCAUUAUUGCUCGAUGGUUGUUGGAAGUUAAGAUACGUUCCAUCAUUAAAGAAGCUCAAGGCACUGAAGAGGUUGGAUCUCUCUUGGACCAUGCUUGAAAAGAUGCCGCAAGGAAUGGAAUGUCUAUCCAACCUGAGGUAUCUUAGAAUGAAUGGAUGUGGUGAAAAGGAGUUUCCUAAUGGGAUAUUACCAAAACUCUCUCACCUGCAAGUCUUUGUACUAGAAGAGGUUUUUGAGGAAUGUUAUGCUCCGAUAACAAUUAAAGGAAAGGAAGUAGUAUCCUUGAGAAAUUUGGAAACUUUGGAAUGCCAUUUCGAAGGUCUCUCGGACUUCAUAGAGUUUCUCAGAUGUCGGGAUGGGAUCCAAUCAUUAAGCACAUACAGAAUUUCAGUGGGAAUUCUGAAAUUCUUAUAUGGCGUUGAAAAGUUUCCAAGUAAAACAGUUGCGUUGGGUAAUUUGAGUAUCAACAAAGAUAGAGAUUUUCAGGCCCUUUACGAAUUGUUCUGGCAGCGUGCUAAUAGCCUACUCCAUAUGGUUGCUCAGUUCGAUCUCAAUGAUAAAAAAAAAGGGAAAAAACAACUUAAAGGGAAUUCGAACAACAACGGCACUGCUGUAUUAUAAAAAAAAGAAAAAAAGUGAAAAAUAACUUGCUAUUAUCUUAAAAUACUGCAGGUUUUAUUAUUUGUCUCUUGUUCGGUUAGAAGAAUAACCAGGGUGGAAUUCAGCUGAUAAGAAUUGGUUCCUUCACCAAUAAACUAAACAACUAUAUAUUUUCCUGUUACUCUAUAUCAUGAGUGGAUUGGACAGGAGGAGUUCUGUAGUAAGCUGGCAUGGUUUCCAGGAAGAAUGUUGCUCUAAUUCCUUCUGCCUUUAUAGUAUAGGGAAGAUGAUGCCUGAUCCAACCUGAAAAUUGACAAAAAUAAAAAUUUAAGUUUGUCUAGGAAACUCAUGGUGAGAAUAACAGUUCAAACAAAAAAGCUUCUGAUAGUAAGAGUAAAGAAAGCUGGAGAUACAGACCAAAAUUAGUCUAGCCGCUAUGCACAUGCGUUUUGGUGUAGGAAAUGGAAGCAAUAAGCGGCCAACAGCGUAGGCAAGCAUGGCAAAGCAGUGGAAAACCAAGCUCAACGGGUCAGGGUUUAGACCAGACAGAAGAGCCAUCAGUCCAUCUGAGAAAACGCCUCCAAGGCUGAAAUAAUUGAAGAAUGCUUCUUUCAUUUCCUUCCUUGAUGGAUCCUGAUCCGAUGAAGAGAUUUCUGUGUGUAGGCAAAUGUGUUGCUUGCAAAUGCCGUUGGCUGCAACCAAUAAUAAGUUAAUAGUAUCUACCAACCGCAUAGAAAUAUGGUUAUGUUGUGUUUCACUCAGCAAUGCUUGAAAUAUGAAGUUUCUUUAAGCAAUUCCUGUUCAGAGUUUGUUCCGAGGAAGACUGGCCGAAGAAAUAUUAGCUAAGCAUAUUCAUGCAAGUGCCGAUACCAUACGCAGAAUGCAAAAGGAUUAAGAUAUUUGCAAAUGGAAGCUGCAUUGCUAAGAUCAUUCAGAGGCCUAAGAAGAUGUCGCAGUAGAACAACACCAGAAAGUCCCACGGUCAUUCCUCCUCCUGUUACAGCAAGGCGCAUUUUCAACGAAUCCCCUAUCAUAAAUGCACCAGGGGUUGGAUAGCGAGACGCAGGCAUGAUUCUGUUUGGCAUUGUUCUUAUGUUGCCCUUAUCAAUUGCACAUAUGAAAGCAUUGUAUAGCUCAGAUAUUAUUAACAACACUAAGGAGGUCCUUCUACCCUUUGUAAGUUUUUUAUAUAUAAGGAAGGAAGAUGAAGACAAAUCAAACGUUUAGAGAGGAACACCUCAUCCAUUUCUGGCCAUUUCUGAUAUAAGGUUUUCUCGAUGCCUUCACACUCCAUAUUUUUAUUUGUAUCUUCUAAACCUUAUAGCUUCUUCUUCUUUUAGUUUAUUGAUUGCUCUGUUUAUUUAUUAUUUGUAUUAAUAUAUAUUAACUAAAUGGAUUCAUGACCAUUAAAAACAACAUUUAUAUAUAUAUAUUAUUUUGGAAAACUCAAAAUACAACGGAAAUACAAUUUUGAGAUUCAUCUUAUUCAUUUCAUGUGGUACAUCAUGAGGAUUGUUUCAUGUUUGUUCAUGUUGUUCCUCAUGCUUCAUAAAUUCAGCUGAUAAGAAUCGGUUCCUUUACCAAUAAAAUAAACAACUAUUUCCCUGUUUCUCAAUCAUCAGUGGAUUGGACAGGAGGAGUUCUGUAGUAAGCAGGCGUGGUUGCCUGGAAGAAUGUUGCUCUGAUUCCUUUUGCCUUAAGUAUAGGGAAGAUGAUGCCUGAUCCAACCUCAUGCUUUAGGAUAGGCCUAAGAAGAUCUCGCAGUAGAACAACAUCAGAAAGUCCAACAGUCAUUCCUCCUCCUGUUACAGCAUGGCGCAUAUUCAAUGAAUCCCCUAUCAUAAAUGCACCAGGGGUUGGAUAGGGAGAUGCAGUGUAGUUUUUAGCAGAAUAGAGACACAAAAAACAGAGAAAACCAGCACAUAUAAAGGGUUGUUUUGAGACUUCAAAAUCAUUACUAUUUUUAUUGAUUGAAUCACUCUUUUAGACAAGAGUUUUGAUAACUAAUUUCAGAAAAAUAAUGACAUGAUUUAAUGGAAUAAGAGUUGUUCUACAGCAGCUUUAUUUGCUACUAACUUCCUAACUUGUUGGAGCUGAUCUUGACUCAAUCGUUUCAGCUCCAAAAACCGCUUCUUCAGCAGCAAAUGAGGCAACCAGCAACACGCAGGCAUGAUUCUGUUUGGCAUUGUUCUUAUGUUGCCCUUAUCAAUUGCACAUGUGAAAGCAUUGUAUAGCUCAGAUAUUAUUAAAACAAAUCCGUGAUCAAGCGUGCUCUAUAAAUUAAUCAGAAUAUGCUUCAGUUCAUUAACAGUAUAGCUUCUUCUACUUUUAGUUUAUUGAUUGCUCUGUUUACUUAUUAGUUGUAUUAAAAAUAUUAAUUUGUCUAUCAAAGUGCUAAUGAGUAAUGCAACUCAAAGUCGUUCGAUUUACUGUGCUCUUGGAUAUUGAUAGCUCUUAUUUAAGGACUUGGAAAGAAAGCAUAUCUCCUCCUGCUGAUUCGUUGCCAUCAAAUAUUGAUCCAAAACCCUCUUUAACCAUGUUGGUGAUUGAUUAGCUAGUAGUUUUGGUAUAAUUCACGAGCAUUUUUGUGCUAUAAUGGGCCCAAACCCUCUUUAACCAUGUUGAUGAUGUUUCUAAUUUGCAAGUGCUGAUACACACACACCACAAAACGUAAUGUAUAUAGCUCACAUAUAUUGACACAUGAGCAUAAACUACCCAUGAAUAGGAGGAAAUUAUCAUAACAAAUAUUAGGAGCUCAAUGUUUCUCAAAAAUUGAUUUGUGAUUUAAGUAUCACCGGUUAAGGAUUAGAAAUGAUGAUAUUCCUAAAUCUGUAUUUAGAACUUGUUAUGGACACUAUGAAUUUCUAAUAUUGUCUUUUGGGUUAGCAAAUACACUAGUAACCUUUAUAGACAUGAUCAACAGUGUUUUUAAGCCAUUUAUUGAUAGAUUUGUUAUUGUAUUCAUUGAUGAUUUUUUAGUGUAUUUGAGGAGUGAAGAGGAAUAUGAAGAGCAUUUGUUACUGGUUCUUUAAACUCAGAGAAAUCAUCAAUUGUAUGAGAAAUUUUUGAAAAGUGAGUUUUGGUUGGAGAAUGUUGGGUUUUUGGACAUGUGAUGUUGAAAAAUGGGAUAGAGGUUGAUCCACUAAAGGUGAAGGCAACUAAGAAGUGGCCUAGACUGACUAUAAUAUCUAAGAUUAGGAGUUUCUUGAGUUGAGCACGAUACUAUAAGUGGUUCAUGGAGAGCUUUUCACAAAUUGCAGCUUCAUUGACCAAGUUGACAGAAAAAAAUCAAGUUUUAGUGGCCAAAAUAGUGUAAGAAGAGUUUUCUAGAGUUGAAGGAAAGGUUAAUUAAGACUUUGAUUUUGAUAAUACCUUCAAAGUUCGGUGGCUUUACUGUGUAUUGUGAUGCAUUAAGAAUUGGAUUGAGUUGUGUUUAAAUGCAAAAUGAUAAUGUAAUUGCUUAUGCCUCAAGGAAAUUGAAGAAAGAUAAACAAAAUUACCCCACACAUGAUUUAGAGAUGGUUAUGGUAGUGUUUGCUCUUAAGAUUUGGAGACACUACUUGUUUGGAAAGACAUGUGAGAUGUUUUCAGAUUAUAAGAUUUUUCAAUAUAUCUUCCAAUAAAAGAAUCUGAAUAUAAGACAAAGAAGGUGGAUAGAAUUUUUAAGUGAUUAUGAAUGCAUGAUUCAAUAUCACCCGAAAAAAGUGAAUGUUGUUGCCGAUGCCUUGAGCAUAAAAUCUAUGGUGGUUUGGCUUAUAUUCAAGAGGUGAGGAGGCUAUUGAUUAGGGAGUUACACAAGUUAUUGGAUGAAAAGGUUAGUUUUGAGAUUGGGGAACUAGGAGCAUUGUUGGCUCACUUUCAAACUAAAUCGAACUUGUUAGACCAGAUUGAAGCAAUUGACGAGAGAUGAGCAGCUAUAUAAGAUUCAAGAUGAGUUAGAGUUAGGAAAGGCUCCAAGUUUUGUUGAUGGUGAGGAUGGUUUGUUGAGAUUAGGUUUUUGUGUGCUUGAGGUGAAUGAUUUGAACAGAAAUACGAUGACGGAAGCAUAUCAAACCACCUAUAAUGUACAUCCUAAUUUUAACAAGAUGUAUAGACUUGAAACAAUUCACUAAUGAAAUGGCAUAAAAAACAUUAUUGAGAAUACUUAACCUAUCAAAGAAUUAAAAGCGAGCAUCAGAAGUUAUUAGGGUUUUUACAACCAUCGUUAAUUCCUGACAUUUUCAAUCAUUAUUGAUUUUUGAAUGGAAAUGAUAUAAACUCAUUAUAGAUUUUAUGUCAAGUUUGUCUCGGAAGAGUUAUAAUUCAAUUUGGGGGAUAGUUGAUUGUUUCACCAAGUCAGCUCAUUUGUACCUUUCCCAUGAACUAUCUGAAUGAAAUUAAUUAUCUGGUGGAAUAUUGUUGGUGGUAUCCGACGUGAUUAAAGUUACGUAACAUGAUCCAUCAUCACUAGUCUCUCCUCAUUGCUGCUAUCCGACAUGAUCAAGGUUUCCAAAGGGAGAACCUUUAAUUUGGAAAAUUUUAUCUUCAUCUGAAACCAUUUGAGCCCAUGAUCUGGACUUUUGUUCUACUUUUUAAGCCUUUGUCUUUGUCUUUCUGUUUAGAUGGCAUUGGGUCGUCUUCCCUGCCAAAAAAACCUCUUAUAAAGGUAGGAAAUUUGAAUUUUCUUUAUACAUUUAAUAUAGAAUCGAAAAUGCUUAAAAUAGCUUGUUUUUUUGGGCAAAAGAUAUCCCAUUUAUUCUAACUCUUCUCCAAAUAAUCAUAGGAUUUAUGCAUUUUAUGCAUUCAGUCACGCUUUUUCUAGCUAUUGAAUGGAUUAAUUAUUUUAAUACACUUGAAUCAUUUAUUUAUCUGUAUUGAUUUAAUUUUUUUGCUGUGAUAUUGCUACUCGUGUAUAUUGUUGUUGUCAUUAAAUUUUAUUGAUAGGAACAAUUAUUAAUUUUAUAAGAUUUAAAGUUAAUGACUAUAUAAACAUCUAGUGAUCUUGAUAUUUUUGAGAUUUGAACUGAUGAUAUUUAAGGAGUAAAUCUAGAAGCUGACCAGUUAAAGAUGAAGAUUGUUAGGAUACAAAAAAGAUAUAAUUUGUUUUUUUAUUUAAAAUUGUAUAUAUUUUAAAAAUUUAUUUGUCUUGAAAAAAUAUAUUUUUAAUAUAAUAACAUUAAAAAUAAAAAUAAAUUAGUUUGAUUAAUCAAAUCUCCAAGCAACUUUAAUUUUCCAGGCAGCUUCUUCAAAGUUUCAACAUUAGGGGGGUCCACACGUUAACUUUCUAUAUCUUAUAAUAUAAUGCUUGGUAGGUAAGCGGAGGGUUCCUUCCUAGCAACUUCCUUCCUUCCUAUCAAACAAUACAAUAAUUAUUUAUUUAUUAUUAUUAUUACCAUUCUCUGUUUUCCUUUCCCUCUCAGCACUGCAACUUUAUUAUUUUUCUAAAUCAUAUAAUCUUCUCUGAUUUGUGAUUUCUCCUCUUUUAAUCCUCAGGACGUACUAAUCAUCUUCUACCUAUUUUCUUUUCCACAUAUCUUAUAUUCUUCUCUGAUCUGUGAUUUCUCUUCUCUUUUUUUGGCUGAUUACUGCUCAAGCAAACCAGCCCUUGAAGAACAUCUUGAAUCCAGGUAAAUUAUUUGUACUUCAUCUUCUUCAUCUUGUUGGUGUUUUUGUUUUUAUAUUUGUAACUAUGGUUUGAAUCUUUAAAGUAAUCCAUGAUAAAUAAAUUGAUCUUUUUCUCAGAUUUGUCAUAUGUAUAUACUCUUCUCUGAUAUGUGCUUUCUCUUCUUUUUUCACCUCCUGUACUAUUCAUCAUGUACUUGUGGUGAGAUGGAAGGAGUUCCCACCAUCUGUAAAAAAGUUUAUUUUUUCAAUCAGGAAAGAAACAUCAUAGCUUGAACAUGAACCCAGCAAACUAAACAUAAGUUUGUAAUGCUUCAUAUUGUUUGCGAAUGAUUUUGGAUUCAGGAGUCAAUAUUUUUGUAAUCAAGCUGCUGUAAUUCCUAAUAUAGACAAUAUACAACAAGAGAACUUCGUGCCUCGGCACUUUGGAAACUCUACUAGGUACUGAUUGACUUCUAGCUGUUGUGUUUUAACACAAUAUUAAUACCUUUUUGAUAAUUAGAUACACCAUUGAUUUUUGGUUUUAUAAUAUGAUCACUUCAUUUUUAUACAGGUCACAUAUGGAUAACCUCAAACUCAGAGGAUUGCAAAAUCAAACUACUAGGUCAAAUGCCUCAAAUCCUGGCCUUGACACUGCCCUGCAAAGUCAUAUUAGGGGUUUAAAUGCUCAACAAGUCGGAUAUGAUUCAUUUUGGAACUAUGUUGAAGAAAGGGCUGAUGAUGGUAGAAUGAAGUGUAAGUUUUGUCCACAUACAUAUGCCAUUAAAACUUCCAUUUCAAGGAUCAAAUGGCAUUUAUCAGGAGCAGAAGGGCAUGGUGUUGCCAUUUGUCGUGGGGUGUCUAAAGAAGUUCAAGAAGCAGCCUUUCUAGCUAUGUGUGGUGGCAACAAAAGACUUAAAAGGACAGAAAGUUCAAUCAAUGUUAAUGAUUCUGGAAUUUCAACUUGUCCACAAGAACAAGACAUUAAGAUUGAAAAUAUGGGAGGAGGUAUUGGAAGGGUACAAAGAGAAGUUCAGGUUGUAGAACCUGGAGCAGAGGAAGAGAGGAUNNNNNNNNNNNNNNNNNNNNNNNNNNNNNNNNNNNNNNNNNNNNNNNNNNNNNNNNNNNNNNNNNNNNNNNNNNNNNNNNNNNNNNNNNNNNNNNNNNNNNNNNNNNNNNNNNNNNNNNNNNNNNNNNNNNNNNNNNNNNNNNNNNNNNNNNNNNNNNNNNNNNNNNNNNNNNNNNNNNNNNNNNNNNNNNNNNNNNNNNNNNNNNNNNNNNNNNNNNNNNNNNNNNNNNNNNNNNNNNNNNNNNNNNNNNNNNNNNNNNNNNGUUUCUCAUCCAUCCGGAUAUGGUGUAACCUCCAUCAAUUUUAAUUUUUAUUUUGACCCUCUUUUUUUUUCUAUAGGUUGAAAUGGUUGGAUCAAAGGAUCCAUUUUUGAAUUAUAUUGAAGAUAUGGCUGAUGGUAGCAUGAAGUGUAAGUUUUGUCCACAUACAUUUGCCAAUAAAACCUCCAUUUCAAGGAUCAAAUGGCAUUUAUCAGGAGCAGAAGGGCAUGGUGUUGCCAUUUGUCGUGGGGUGUCUAAAGAAGUUCAAGAAGCAGCCUUUCUAGCUAUGUGUGGUGGCAACAAAAGACUUAAAAGGACAGAAAGUUCAAUCAAUGUUAAUGAUUCUGGAAUUUCAACUUGUCCACAAGAACAAGACAUUAAGAUUGAAAAUAUGGGAGGAGGUAUUGGAAGGGUACAAAGAGAAGUUCAGGUUGUAGAACCUGGAGCAGAGGAAGAGAGGAUUUCUUCACAAGCAAUAGCAAGAAACGACGAAGUAAGCAUGACCGGAGUGAGAGCACAUGAAGAUAGUGUUUCCAAAGAGGCACUCGAGAGUAGACUGAGGACAGAACCAGUGGAUCGAGCGUUGGAACAAAGCAAUGCAGUACUUGGCAAUUUGGCAGGGUGUGCUGGAAGGAUACAAGUGGGAGUUCAGGGCAUGGAACAAGGUCCCGGAGAAGAGAGAAUUCAGUCACAUUUACAAGCAGAAAAUGACAUAGAAAACACUGGUGAAGGAUCUUUUCAGCAUGAUGCAUUUGAGAGUAUACCAAGAACAGAGCAAGUGCAGCUUCUGGAGCCGCGAGGAGAUUCAUCCCAAAUUUGUCUUGACAUUGGAAGAUGUUAUGGUCAACCUUGUGCUUCAUCAGUAAACAAUGAGGUAACUAUGCAUGAUGAGCAGGACAUGGUUAGAGUGAGGACAGAACCAGUGGAGGAGGAGGAUGUGGAGAGUAGUGGAAGAUCAGUAGUGCAGGCUGGCGCAGGAGCUAGAUCUUCUAAAAGUCUGAAAUACAACAAUUCUACAGGAGUUCCAUUACCUACUAGCUCUACAAAGCCAGUGGGUCAAGCAUUUGAAGAGAAUACAAAGGUGAUAUGGUCUUUGUUAAUGGAUGAUGAAGUCCCAACUAUUGGUGUUUAUGGGAUGGGGGGAGUUGGUAAAACAACAAUACUGCAACAUAUCCAUAAUGAACUUCUACAAAGACCAGAUAUUUGUGAUCAUGUUUGGUGGGUGACCGUGUCUCAAGAUUUCAGCAUUAAUAGAUUGCAGAAUAUUAUUGCUAAACAUCUUGAUCUUGACAUUUCAAGGGAGGUUGAUAAUCUGCAUAGAGCUGCCAAAUUAUCAGAAAAACUAAUGAAGAAACAAAAAUGGAUUCUUAUUUUAGAUGAUUUGUGGAACAGUUUUGAGCUCCAAAAAGUGGGAAUUCCUGUCCGGUUGAAAGGAUGCAAGCUGAUUAUGACAACUAGAUCAGAAACAGUUUGUCAUCAGAUGACUUGCCAACACAAAAUCAAAGUGAAGCCACUUUCUGAGGGAGAAGCUUGGACUUUGUUCAUGGAGAAACUUGGAAGUGAUAUAGCACUUUCACCAGAAGUUGCAAAAGCUAUUGCUAGGGAAUGUGCUGGUUUGCCUUUGGGAAUUAGUACAGUGGCAAGAAGCUUAAGGGGAGUGGAUGACCUACAUGAGUGGAGAAAUGCAUUGAAGAAAUUGAGAGAAUCAGAAUUUAGGGACAAUGAAGUAUUCAAGUUAUUGAGAUUUAGUUAUGAUCGGUUAGGUGAUUUAGCACUUCAACAAUGUCUCUUGUAUUGUGCAUUAUUUCCUGAAGAUUGUGAGAUUGAAAGGGAGAUGUUGAUAGGUUAUUUGAUCGAUGAGGGAAUAAUUAAAGGAAUGAGGAGCAGGAAAGAUGCAUUUGACGAGGGCCACACGAUGCUUAAUAAACUUGAACGUGUCUGCCUAUUAGAAAGUGCUCAAAUGACACAUGUCAAGAUGCAUGACUUGAUUAGGGACAUGACCAUUCAUAUACUGCUAGAGAACUCUCAAGUCAUGGUUAAAGCAGGUGCACAAUUAAAAGAGUUGCCAGAUGCAGAGGAGUGGACAGAGAAUCUCACAAGAGUCUCACUAAUGCAAAACCAAAUUAAAGCAAUUCCUUCCAGCUAUUCACCUAGGUGUCCCUAUCUAUCAACUCUAUUGCUUUGUCAAAAUCGUUGGUUGGGAUUUAUUGCAGAUUCAUUUUUCAAGCAAUUGCAUGGGCUCAAGGUCCUCGAUCUGUCUUGCACAGGUAUUAAAAAUUUGCCAGACUCUGUCUCUGAUUUGGUGAGUCUCACUGCAUUAUUGCUCAAUGAUUGUUGGAAGUUAAGACAUGUUCCAUCAUUAAAGAAGCUCAGAGAACUGAGAAGGUUGGAUCUCUCUUGCACUACACUUGAAAAGAUGCCUCAAGGAAUGAAAUGCCUAACCAACCUAAGGUAUCUUAGAAUGAAUGGAUGUGGUGAAAAGGAGUUUCCUAGUGGGAUAUUACCAAAACUCAUUCACCUGCAAGUCUUUGUACUAGAAGAGUUUUUUAAGGAUUUUUAUGCUCCAAUAACAGUUGAAGGAAAGGAAGUAGGAUCCUUGAGAAAUUUGGAAACUUUGGAAUGCCAUUUCAAAGGUGUCUCUGACUUUGUGGAGCAUCUCAGAUCUCG
rnacentral:lncRNA from 1 species